AGGAAAACUUGUUCAGAUUUACUUAUUCACACGACUGCUAUUCAUCUAUUUAUAAUGCUUUAUAUUCCCUGAAGUAUGAAUCAAAGUUUGCACAAUCAUAGCCAAGGGAGGAAAACACUCUUAUAUGGUCUUCGUCUUGUUUGAGAACGUUUCCCAUUUGCUCUCGAUAAUUAUCGUCUACAUAUUUAUGCAUAAAUUUGUGUUCUCAGAUUGGAGUCGACAAAGGGUACAUACACAAAAGAGUGGGCCAAAUGGGAGAAGCAGCUAAGAGACACUCUUUCUGCGGCUUCUGAGUAUCUAACUUCCAUUCAGGUUUGCUCGUUCAACAGCCACAAACUGUACUUUCUGGUCUAAAAUAUUCUCUAGAAUUUUUUUUAUCAAUACUCAGAUUUCCCCCCCUGCACAAAAUUCCAAUUCUCUAGGUUCCAUUUGAUUCUGCCGUUCAACAAGUACUGGAGCAGCUAAAGAGUACUGCCAAGAAAGACUACAGAACCCCAACAAGUACAGAAAAGAGGGCAUUAGGAACAAUUGUUUUUGCCGCUGCCAGUUUACAAGUCUCGGAAAUCUCCAGCUUUCUUGAUGAUGUAAGCCGAGUCCUAUUCUUCUUUUUGUCGUGUUUGUUUACCCUUUUUGACUCAGCCGUACUACAUUCUAAUCUUAUCGCAUUAAAUUUGAGCAGCUAGCGCAGAAGAACCCCGAGGCCAAACUGUUUCUCAAAGACAAGGACCUGGCACAGAACCUUCAAAGGGCUCACGUGACUCUAGCUCACAAAAGAAGUCAUGGCGUUACAGCAGUAGCUAAAUUCGGACAAUUUAUCCACCGAAACGUUCCGGUGGAGUUCACUGCACUUUUCUUCACUACCAAAAUGGCUGCACUAGAGGCACAGGUCGGGUCGGUGGAUGGCGAGAAAAUCGAAUCGAAGAACGAAUGGCCCCAUGUCACUCUAUGGACAGCACAGGGCGUUCCACCUAGGGAGGCAAACACACUACGGAAAUUGCAUUCCGAGGGGAAGGCAACUCGAGUUGAGAUCAAUCCGCCAGUCACGCUUUCCGGAACUGUUGAGUUCUUCUGAGUUUGUGUAAACAUCUUCAAUUUUGACCGUAAACAGACAAAAGUUUCUGUAAAUAUCUUCAAUUAUGAAGGAGAUUAUGAACACAACGCUGGCCAACGGGAUAAACAUCACCUGUUAAACCUGGAAUGAAAUGGCCACAUAGUGAACAUGGUUCCUACUCUGCUCGAAUAUUCUGUUAGAAUCUCUAACGUUAGUGAAUAAAACUUGUUUUUUUCCCCAGGUAGGAAACACUCAAGAAGUAUUAUAUAUGAGUGUUCGUUUCUGAGGUGAAAAUGAGUACUUUUGUAGUCCUACAACAUUAUCAACUAGGCUACUACUCUACUCUAGUACUCUACUUGGACACAUUUGUCAAUUAAAAUCUAUUCUAUUACUACUUCGUUUUCUUUUAAACAGAUUUUAUUCACUUUUUCUCCAAUGGUUGUUGGGUGUUAUCCUUCGCAAGCAGUACAUCUCUGGCCAGUUCUAACUAGUUAGAGGGUUAUUCGGUCGUAAUGUAAGACUUUUCGAUCACGCAAUACAUCUCCACCAUACUAGACUGGUUAUUUACAAUAAUAAAGAAUGUGUCAUCUGAAUCUAGAGCAUAUAUAUCAUGGUUUAGUUUUUCUAUUCUACGUUAAUGUUAAACUAACUAAAUUAAUUUUGGACUUUUAAAUUUAAAAUUGAAAAUUAAUUAGAGCUACAAAUUUAAAAUAUUUGGACUUUGGUUGGAUGUGUAUAAGGAUAAUAAAUGAAUUAUUAAAAUGGUGCUCUAAAAUAGUGCCAAUAAGUUGCAUAAGAGGGAGGUCUUAUGUUUAAUACUUGGAUAACAAAAUAGGGAAGAUUUUGUACUUCAUUUAUCUUACAAGUAGGAACGCUGACCAUUUGGUAAGUAUGUUUAAAUUUAGGAGCUAAAUGUGAACUUUAUAAUGGCUUUAAGAUUUAAGAAGUUGUAAAUUACUAAAUAUAAUAAUGGAUUUACCGACCUGGAAAAUGGAAAUCCGCAACUGACAAAAAGAUGACCAGGUUUUUAGCGGAGAACAAAGUUAGUUACAGCCUGACUGACAGAGAAAAUUUCUGGACUGACGAGGAGACUUUGGAUCAAGCUCGUAACUGAGAAUCAAGCUCCAAUGGCGGCGAAACCCAACGAGCUCCCCCUCCCCAUCCCGAUCUUCCCAUCCCUCGAACCAGUCUAUGGCGGUUCUCAGCUCGAAGAAGCUCAGCUCCGGUUCGACAACUUGAAGUCCAAGUUCCUCCAAGUAUUCAGCCAUCCGCCUGACGUCUACGCUCGCGCUCCAGGUCCUGAUCGCCUCCAAUUUCGUGAUCGCUCGCUGAGAAAAUGGAAAGAGAAAAAAGAAAAUGAACAGUCGUAUUCACAAACUUGUUUGUUCUAGGUUGCGGUUGUUCCACUUUAGGUUAUGAUGAUUGCGACUUGGAUCGCAGCAAUGAUUGUUGAAUAAUGAAUAAUUGAAUAUUGAGUACUUUUUUGCUUUUCAUUUCCUUGUUCACAGGGAGAGUGAAUUUAAUCGGGGAGCACAUUGAUUACGAAGGAUACUCUGUGCUACCAAUGGCAAUUCGGCAGGAUACGAUCGUUGCGAUCCGUAAGCGCUCUCCUUCCGAAACGGAGAAGCUUCUUCGGAUUGCAAAUGUUAACGAGAAGUAUACAACGUGCACUUAUCCUGCGGAUCCUAACCAGGUUUACCUUCUUUUUUACCACCGUCCUCUGUAAUCAUUGCGAAACUGAACUUCGGAAAAAAAUGGCCUUAUCAAUCAUGAUGUUCGAUCGGUGCAGGAAAUUGACUUGAAAAAUCACAGAUGGGGUCAUUAUUUUAUCUGCGGGUAAGAUAGAAACAUCUGUUUGUACUUGUGUUAGUAUAAUACAGCAUGCGAAAGUAUCUUUGUUAUUGAGGAUUAUGGUGUGCCGCUACUUCUACAGGUAUAUAGGUUUUUAUGAAUACGCCAAAGAGAAAGGGAUCAGUGUUGGUAUUCCGGUUGGACUUGAUGUUAUGAUUGAUGGAACUGUUCCAACUGGUAUGUUAAUGCGCUCUCCAAUUCAGUUCUGUGUUGGGUGAACUCCAUUUUGUGGGAUAGAUAACCUUACAGUAUGAAUGUUGCUUAAUUCAGGUUCCGGACUUUCGAGCUCUGCUGCAUUUGUUUGCUCAUCUACCAUAGCAAUUAUGGCUGCUUUUGGUGUCAGCCUCCCAAAGGUGAACAAACCAAAACUUAAAUUUUGCGGAUUUGUAUUUCUUCUCAGCUUCCUUCUGGAAUUACAGUUCUUCUUGUUACCCAUCUACAGAAAGAAGUUGCUCAACUUACUUGUGAUUGUGAAAGGCACAUAGGAACUCAAUCUGGAGGGAUGGAUCAGGUUUGUUAAGUCUAUACAGUAGUACCUCUUUGGUCUGAAAAUAUCAAUUUUCCAUAUCUGCUACAGAAACUAUUAGAUACUAGCUGAGAGUUAUGUAGUGGGUGUGUCUCAUGUGUUACUUUGGCAGGCGAUCUCUGUUAUGGCUAAGGCUGGAUUUGCUGAACUUAUCGAUUUCAAUCCUGUUCGAGCAACUGAUGUUCAUCUUCCUGAUGGGGGAACUUUUGUGAUUGCACAUUCUUUGGCUAAUUCUGAGAAGGCUGUCACUGCUGCGACUAACUACAAUAACAGAGUUGUUGAAUGCCGCUUAGCUGCGGUAAGAGUUCUUUUUAUCCGUUCAAAUUUAAAUAUCACUCUUCCUUCCCAAAUCUGAUACAAAGAGUUUAGACUGCUUGAAAUCUGGAAUCAUCUGUCUUCACUUUACUGCUUGAUUACAUUUCUACAGAUCAUGCUCGGAAUUAAGCUGGGAAUGAAACCAGAGGAGGCUACAUCAAAAGUCAAAACUCUUUCCGAUGUAGAGGGAUUAUGUGUAUCUUUUGCCAAAAAACAUGGUUCAUCUGAUCCUGUUAUUGCUGUUAAGGUAUAACUAUUACUCGGCUCUUGAUAUUUUUUCAUUUCUACUUUUUGGGGUUUGCAGAUGGCAAGCAGUGUAGGUGUUCACUGGGUUGUGGUUUUAGCCUCCUCAUCAUUGGAGAUCAUUGUUGUAUCCCAAUGCUGCAGGAAUUUUUGAAAGAAGAACCAUAUACAGCUGAAGAUAUCGAGAACAUAACUGGACAGAAGCUGACAUCCUUACUUAGCAGUUCUGCAUCCUCAUUGGAGGUUCUAAAGGCAGCUAAGCACUUCAAGUUGCAUCAGGUAUGUUCAUGUUUACUCAGAGGCCAGUGAUGUCAUUUCAUAGAAAUUUUCACAGGGUCGAAGCUUUUUCUUCUUCUUCUUCUUCUUCUUCCUAUCCCCUUUUCGGUUUCACUUAGUAAUUAAUUUUGACACUUUUAAAUUACCCUUCUGUCGCAGAGGGCAGUUCAUGUUUACUCAGAGGCCAAGCGAGUGCAUGCUUUUAAAGAUACCGUGUUGGCAAAACUCAAGUAUGCAGUCGAGUCAAAAUUGCUAGUUGCUGACAAAAUCUGUUCAAUAAACAUUAGCAAAGCCUGAGUAUUGAACUUUUUUUUGUAGUGAUGAUGACAAGCUGAAGAAACUAGGGGAGCUAAUGAAUGACAGCCACCACAGCUGUAGUGUUCUAUACGAAUGCAGGUCCGAAAUAAUCCAUUCCAGCAAGUCCCAAAUACUUCUUUGUCUCUGAUAAUUAUAAUACUCACAUCCCUCUGAAACUUUCAACUACAGUCUGAAUAUGAUUGUUUAAUCCACUUUGUCUCAAUAGCUGCCCAGAGCUGGAAGAGCUCGUCAAAGUCUGCCACGAAAACGGAGCAUUGGGGGCUAGGCUUACAGGAGCUGGAUGGGGCGGUUGUGCAGUUGUAUUGGUGAAGGAAGCCAUUGUCCCACAGUUCAUCCUAAAUUUGAAGGUACAUUUGGGAAACUAAUUCACGGUCGAACCAAUAGAACCGGUCAGUACGGUACGAUGUCACCAAUGCCUGAUUGUUUACCCGUUGUUUUGCAGGACAAAUUUUAUCAGUCGAGAAUAGAGAAAGGUGUGAUAAACAAGUCGGAACUUGGGCUCUAUGUGUUUGCUUCAAAGCCUUCGAGCGGGGCUGCUAUUUUCAAGUUCUAGGUUAGAAGUGGCUGUUUAACAACUCGCCCUUUUUUUCUCUGUGCUGGCAACUUGUUAGAAGUCAUUUUUUAAAACCUUUAUUUAAUGCACCAUUAGUAGUCCUCUCUGUAGUCUCUAUACCGUAUCGAGCAGAGGACUGAUGGUUUCGGCCGGGGUAAUUCGAUAGUACGGCCGGUUGCUUUGGUUACGAUUUGUGGGUCAUUGACGGAUUGACAACAAAAGAACACAUUCAAACUGCUGCAGUGUACAAUAGAGCUCUUGCAUGCCGUCUCUUUGCUUUGAUGCCUUUUGUAUUGCGAAGAAUCAAGGACAUGUUAAGGACAUGAAAAGCUAACCGGAUCGAUCUGAAAGAGAAGUUAUCAUAGAAGUUCGUUAAGCUGAUCUAAUACAAAAGGGUUUGAAAAGUUGAGCUACAAAUGUGUAUUAGUGUAUUAGGCCUUACAAUCCAACUGUACAUUAAGCCUUCCUUAUAGGCGAUUGGUAGCGGAUGUAAAAGAUCAUUAAGCAUCGUUGGAAGAAUGGUCACCUGUUGGAGGACUCGUUUUGGACCUAACCGAUAUUUUGUGAUCAUUGAUAACAUGUGAAAGAAUUAGAUCGAAUUAUUUAAGACAAACACACAAAAUAUAAACAUCCUAUUGUUGCACACUCAAUAUACACUAAUGACCAAGUCACCUUCUUACUACAUAUCAGAAGGAAAAACUCUCUAAUUAGAAAAUUCUAUAUUACGGAACAUCCAAACACAUGAAAAUUAAGUCUCUCGAUCCGAUACCAAAUAAUAUGACACAAUUGGACCACCAAACAAGACUUAUUACUUAUUCGAUGGAACAAGACGAGGCCAACAAUACAUACUUUUAGAGGAAAAACAAAAGAAAAUUAGUAUAUCAGAGAUAAAGAUACUGGUGUCUCUAGUCAGCAUCAAUGACGAAAGCAAUUUAAAUGCGGUGGUUGAGCUUCAAAUUGAUUUUCUAAUUCGUAAAACUAUUAGAAAUUUCCCUGGUGGAGGGAGGAAGCUUGAAAGUGAUUUUGGGGACUGAAGACUGAGAGUGAAGUCUUUCUUUCAGCGUUGGCCCUAAAAUAAUAAAUAAUAAUAAUUUUUUAAAAAAGGUGAGACUGAGAGUCGUUUCGUUUCUUUUUCAUAAUGGGCUGAACACCCGAAGGACAGGCAAGAUUGGCCCACUAUCUAUCCCCAAUUUACCGGAUUUCCUGAAUCUGUAUUACACGUGCUCUUGUCUUAACCUCCGCUAAUUCCCCCGACAACAACCCAUCUGACUAAAUUUCACUACACACAACGUACUCUCCUGCCGCCUCUAAUGAGCUCAGUUUCUACCUCGUAUCACCGUGAAAGGAAAUUUUGGGGUGAAACAAAACUAGGACGUUUAAUUAUUAUUAUUAUUAUUAUUAUUAUUAUUAUUAUUNNNNNNNNNNNNNNNNNNNNNNNNNNNNNNNNNNNNNNNNNNNNNNNNNAUUAUUAUUAUUAUAUGUGGUUUCGAAUAUUGUGAAGAAAUAUAGUAAAAAGAAGAGUGAAAAUGAUUUUACAAAUUGCAGAAUUGAGGUGUGCCUCGCCAACAGUACAUAUUAUGAAUGGAAUGAACUGGCCUCUGUGGGAGUGGGGAGGAGCAAGAACAAAUUAAAGAGAGCCAACCAAAUGACCUUUCCAAAGGGAAAUUACUCGCUAAGUGUCUGGUCUUAGAAUACGAUAUCAAGCAUAUUGUAGACGUGUAACUCUGAUCUGUAUAUGUUCUUUAGAUGGAGUGGUGGCUAGGAACAUAUAACAAGUUGGAUCAUUAAACGGAUUCUAUUCAACUCGUGAUAACAGCAAGGUGGAUCCGGAGGACACUACUCCAUAUCUCAUCUUCACCCGUUCUAAUGAUUUCUAUGUAUACCUAUAACCUAUGGUAAUUAGGACUCAUUAUAAUAAUUAAUUCCAUAAAGCCAUAAAAACGCAUCAAAGGAUUCGUUUCAAUGACUAAGUAAGAAUUUGUAGUCGAGAGUUUGAGUGAUAGAGUUCAUCCACUAUAUAUCCGACGAAUCCGUAUAACGAAAUGUAUCUCCAAAGUAGUUGGUCACAUAAUGAUAUCCGACUAAAGACGACUCAUGAAUGGUUAAAUCUCAACAUCCUAUCUUGAAGGAAAAAAGUUGGAAAUUGUAAUCAUCCAAACCGACUCUCUCAAAUCUUAAAGACCCAAUUAAUACGGCAAAUUAAGGGAUGAAUAAUAAUAAUAAUAAUAAUAACGUAUAUUGUUUGGCCAGCUGCUAUAAAUUUGGCAGUGGGCGUUGUGGCCGUUGGGAUUUAGGAUACUAAAUUCGACCACUUUAAUUACCACUAUUACCUAACCUUAUCCCCUGUUUGUCCCAUCCAGCAACCCUACGAAAUACAAACUCAAAAGCUUUUCUUAUCCCUCCGUCUGAUUCAUCGUUUCUUUCGAUAAUUAAGUUACGACUCAUAUUCAUACCGUGGAUUGAGAAGAUUAUAUGCUACAAAACAAUAAUUCACAGAUUAAAUUAUAUUCAGUUGAUUGGACGUCGACCGGGUGUUGAGCCGAUUGGUUUACUCUUAACACUACGGGAUUAGCGACCGGGUAAUAUACUGAGUUGUCGCACCUAAGAGCAACCGUGAAUGACCCAUCAAUCGUCAUUUACAAAAUUCCGGUCCUUAAUACUAUGCAUAUUAGUUACCGUUUUCUCUCUACGUGAAUGUUGGAAAUUAAAAUACAAAAAAUUUCCUCUUCAUAAAUAAUAUGAAAGUUAAUCUGAAUUCUCUUCUAACAAUUUAAAUUAAUGGGCUGUAAAAAUUCUUAACAUGAUAUCAAAGCUUUUAAUAAAAACCAAAAAAAUUUCAUUUCGAAUUCUGAUAACCUACAUAUCAUACACAUAACUUGCCGAAACUGUACAAGACUAAUUAUUCUAGAAGUUUCAAUUUCAAAAAAUAUUGUCCUAACCAUUAAAAUUAUUAACACACACAAGUUUAUAACAUUAUUUAAUCUAGUGCACCAUCCAUCAUUAGAACAACUUUGAUGGGAUCAUACACUCACAUAAAUUUUUUUAUGAUUUCUAUCUUCUUUAUUCUUUAUAUGAAAAUUAUUUAUUCAUACUUGUUAUAAAAUGACAACCAUAAGUAAUGAAAUUUAUUUCUUUCCUACUUGUUAUUUAUCCAUACUUGUUAUAAAAUGGCAAUAAAUGUGGAGUGUAGUAAAUAGUCUAGUUAGACUCUGAAAUAUUGAAAUAUAUAAUAAUGAAGUGAUGCUACACAGGACUGACGACUGAUGAGGUUUGCAAAAUAAUAAAUUCCACGUCGUCCAACAUUUCACAACCUUGUACGGUUUAGUCGAACCAGUGUAUUUCUGAGUAUGUUACUCGGAAAUCAUAUGUAUUCGGAUUAAUUUCAAUAAAUAGAACACUUUGUUUGUCUAGCUAAUAUGUUCUUUAUAGUCUCCUCUCCUUGCUUGGCGCAUGAGAUUGAUAUAUGACAUGACGGGUUUUGCAACACACAAUUAGUUUGCUGCCCAUAACGUGUUUACCGUGAAUAAACGAGUUGUUUGAGCAUCAAUUUCACCAUUUAAUUGGGGUGGCAGAAUCUUUUUCAUGGUCGUGAGCUUCUUCUGAAAGGUCUCCAAUGACGGAUAGGCAACGGACUCUCCAUUCUCACUCUCCGACAAUCCUAGCUUCCUGAGCUGGAUCCUAACCGCCCCGUGCCUCGCAUGGUUCUCCCUUAUGUUGGACCCCGACACGUGAGUGACUUCAUCUCCGAUGACUAGUGGCGGCUCGACGUCCUCCAGGCCCAUUUCACGCUGGCAUCGGUCUCUCAUAUCUUGACCAUACCGCUGCCUCUCUCUCCGCGGGAUGAUCGUUGGAUAUGGCAUUACUCUCCUACGAGUGUCUUCUCCACAUCCUCUGCCUUCCUCCAGGCCCGGCGUUCGGUGCUUGCGACUGCAGCCCCAUUGGUGCCCCUUGGGAUCUAAGGUUUGACACUCGGUUUGGCAUUUUCCGGUCCUUCCAAAACUGCGAUUCUUUCUUUGGAGGAUUUUUCGUCAAAUUGUUAUCUUGUGAGUCAUCACGUCCCACUGACUGACAUUCGUUGUCCGGUGUGCUGGGACCAUGAAGAGACAGUCGAACAUCUUUUAUUUGAGUGUUCGGUCGCAGUCCGAGUCACCUCCCUAGCUGUUCUGUCGGUCUGCCCCCACCUACAUGUUUUGGUGGUCUCCCGUACCACCAAUAGAGCUGCCAUUUAGUGGCCCGCCAUGCUCUCUUAUUUUCCGGGUCGUGUAAAGGUUAAUCUCACUGUUCUUGUUUCUCCUUUUUUGAAAUUAUCUACGACCAAAAAAUUAUUAUUUAAUUCAUAAAAAAAAUGUCACGACAAUGAAGUUAAAAAGGAAGUAAAUUGCGUUCGCCAUCUCUUGGAUUCCGAAAUUUGUCCCGUUAAUUUGCCGUCUCUUUAAUCCCCACAGAUUAACAAACACUAAUCCUUGUUUACUAGCGGUGGUUAGCAAUAAUGGAACGAAAAAGGCAUCUGAAAAGGAAAUUAUCUCCAAAAUAAAUUAUAUUAUUUAAUAAAAUUAUUAAAUACUCACUCCGAAACGUUUCUCUCUCUCUCUCUCUUUCCGCUCCUUAUUAUAAAUUGAAUGCCACGAAAAGAUAGGUGGCGUGAAGCCUCGACUUGCCAUCUGUCGGUCACCGACGGCCAAUAAAAUACACGUGCUCCAUUACCUUCCUUCCUCCUCCCUCCCACCGCCGGCCAGAUUCCUCCCUUCCACUCCGGUGAGUCCUCCUUUUUCCGUUAUUCUCCAUUUACUAUUUCAAACUCUGCAAAAGCUUGUGAAAUCCCGGACCAAGCUUUCCGGCUGAAAACCCGACCCGAAUCUCUCGUGCCCCAUCCCCUUUUCUUCCGCCUCCUCUCUCUCUCUCUCUUUCAUUAUUUAUUUACCGUGAUUACAAAUCUAGAGGCUUCUUCUUCUGGUUCUUUUCCUUUCCUUUUCAUCUCUCUCUCAGGCUAUCAAGCAUAAAAAAAUUGAUAGCCUCGUGUUUCCUUUCCUCCGGCUAUUUCUCCGAUCCGCUAUUCUUUCCCUCUCCAUUCUCGCUUCCUCCUCAAGGUAAUUCGAAUACCUUCGUUUCUGAUUUCUCCUCCCGCUUUCAGCUUCAAGUCGAUCCCAGGGUUUUGAUUUCUUGUAAUGCUGUUCAUUAUUUUGUUCGUUUGUUGAUAUCUAUCGUUUCGUGAUGAUUCCGCCUCUGUGCUGGUUUAGAUUUUGGGGAGGUUUCCAUUCCCAAUGCUGGAGGUGGAUUGUGGAUUUCCGACGAGGAGAUUGCAGGUUGUUGUCGUUGUUCUUCGCAUUUGAUUUUGGGAAGGUGUGGAACGAACGAAUUCAAUCGAGAGCUAGUGGGGGUUUCUGCAUUUCCCGUGUUCUUCUUUUGUCAUGAAGUAAAAGCUGUUUGGCUCUCAAUUUGAAAAAAAAUGGAGGAUAAUAGUAAUACCGCAUCUACCGGGAGAGGCUUCUACGUUGAUCUAGAAAGCGGACCUCACAACUCCACGGCUGCGGAAGCUGCAGCUUCUUCCACCAAUGGCGUCUCCACAUAUUCCGGGGUGAGAUCGUUGUUCAACAAGGUAUGCAGCGUGUUUGGGGCAUUUGAUGGGGUUUCAGCAGCAGACGAUUUGCAGAAAUCCUUAUGUGGGAAUAAUUCAGACGGGGAGCAAGCGAAAUUGGAAGGUGUUAAUAAUGAGGCGAGUAGUGGUAGUGAUCAUUCGGAGAAGCAGCAGCAGCGUAGGAAGAGCAGCAGCCCACAUAAGAAGUCCCCUAAGCCACCAAGGCCACCUCGUGGCCCUUCAUUGGAUGCUGCUGAUAUCAAGCUCAUCAAGGAGAUUUCCGAGCUUGCCAUGUUGAAGCGUGCCAGGAUUGAGCGGAUUAAGGCCUUGAAAAAGGCGAAAGCUGCCAAGGCUUCGUCGGCUUCUUCCACUGGCAAUCUCUUUGCCAUGGUGUUCACUGUUCUGUUCUUCCUGGUUAUCAUCUGUCAAGGUAAGGAAAUUGGCUUCUGUGCAAAGUACAACGUUUUUCCAUGAGAAUUCCUUGUAAAUUGAGUUGUUGGGUUUUGGAUAAUAAUGCAGGAAUGUCGUCAAGAAUUACAGCAAUAGAGCUAAACACAGCACCAGAGCCAGCAAGAACAACGGACAACAACGAGCUAAUUUCUGUUCAGUACUUUGGAAACCCUUCUGUAAAUGACCCUAUUGGUUUACAAUCCGGGUCUCACAAGUAUGUUUUCUUCACCACCUCAAAUCCAGUUUGAUUAUGUUUUAACCUUUCUAAUCUAGUGAAAGUUAACUCUGUUGCAAUUCAUGUCUCGAUUUUUUCGCAGUCCGGCUGGUUUUGAUCCUCCAGAUUCUGCAAGAAGCCUACAUUGAUUCAGUGAAGGAGCAGUUUAACAGUCAGGGGCUAUCUUAGGAAACAAAAUAAACUUGCCAUUUUCUGCAAUGUUUGUCAAAAACAACUUCCCAUUUUCUUACCUUUCUUUUUUUCAGUGUUUUUUUUUGUACUGAUCAGUCGUCAGACUGUGAUAGAAUUUAGUUGCGCCGGUGGUUUUCUCCGGAUCAAUGGAGAAAAAAGAAGAGAAGGAGAAAGGCGGUGAUGUUAGUCCAGUGAUCCUGAUAGGGCAGGCUAUGUAUUGUGAAGAAAAGAGUAGCUUUGUCUUAAGGACCCAAAUCCUUGUAAGUGAGAGUCAGAUGAAUAUCAAAGUCCCGAGUGAUGCGUUCUUUUUCUUUGUUUUUUCUUUUGGGUCAACUCGUUUGGCUUUUUUUGCCACUCUAAUUGAAUAUCAUAUCAUAUAUAUAUAUAUGUUCAUUUGUUCAUAUUAUUAUCUCCAUCUAUCCUUCACCAUUUACUUCAGGAAGUGAUCACAAAUUAACAACACCACCACCAUUCAUAAACAAGACACAACUUCAGUUUCGGUUUACCUCAACUCGGACGGACAGUAAUUUAAAUCCAUCAAAAGUCGACACUUGAUAAUUCAUCCAAUUCAAAAUCUGAACAGUUUCUUAUUAUGAUAAACCCACUUCUCAAGUAGCCUAUGAACGAACUUAUGUGGAACCAAAAUGUUGACCCUCUUGUAAUCCGACUAUUCCAACCCAUUAUAGUAUUUUUUUACUUUGAGACGAAUGGGGGAAAUGGUGGAGCUUAAUUGUUGCCUGCAAUUUGAACUGUCAAAUAGGAAAAAUACUAUCUGGACGGGAAUUUGAAAUUUUGAAAUGCAAGGUUAGUUAAUUAUUGCAAGUAGAUUAAUUAAAAGACAGUGUGAAGUUUGACUUUGAUGAUAAUUCUGUUGCAGAGGAGGCGUAAACCAGAGAUAUGGUUCGUAGAGUAAGAGUGACUUAUCACUUAUCUGAGGCCAGGUUGUAGUAGUAUUCAUUGAGAGUGAACAAUACUAAUAAUAAUGAUGGAUGUUUGAUUGAACACGUGAGUGCACGUGCGAUGCUUUAGUGGGAAGCAGUGGUGGGGGUAGCCUGGACUGGAGGAAUUCAAAUACAAGUCCACGAUGCCGCCAUUAGGCCGGGCCUCGUUAAUUACAAAUCCCCAGAUGCUGACUUUACGGCUACUUGAAAUCUUGAAUCCAUGUGGAUCGCUUGCUUGCUGUCACUCUCUCACUCCAACUCAUCGAGUCUAUUUCACUUCAACACUUCAUAUCUUGAGAUUGUUUCAAUUAUUAGUUGGUGCCUUGGGGUCACAGCGACACAUGCUAUGUAUAAUUUUUGAAAAUUUAAGUUUAUAUCGAGUUUUUAAAUGAAAACAUAUAGACUUGAAAUCUCACCUAAAAUCUCAAACCAUAGAAUUGCUACAGCUCGGAUCCAUCACCGCAUAAGAGAUCUCAACGAGGACUUCAACUUUCAGGCUAGAAUAUUUGAUACGCCUCUAGUCUGCAUAAACCAAGAAGCGAAGAACAGCAUGUGACAACAACUAAGCCCAUUGACACAUAAAUAGGAUUCAAGUAACACUGAAUGGCAAAUCAUAAAUGCCCAACCCUUGGCCCAUUAGUACCUCCUUGACUGUCUACACUCAGACAGUCUCCCUAAUUUCAAUUUAAUGUGGAUCGUUUGGACCAGGCUUGGCAAUUUCCAAGAUCCAUAUCCACCCAAAAUUUGUUACAUUUGAGUGGGUAAAACUCGGUCAACAUGGGUAAUUGACAGACAUGAGUAUAUUUGGUAUCUAUUUAAAACGGGUAAAUGGCUGAGACGAAUUUGAUAGUAUCUACCUAAUGGAUACCCGCUAUAUAUAUUAUGUCAUUUAAUUACAGAUACAUAACCCAAAACUCAUUAAUAGUUCAGCAAAACUCUACCCUCUUCUCUUUCUAUUUCCACGGAAACCUAUUCAAAUAUUUAAAUUAUAAGGUUCAUUGUUUAUGUCAGAUUUGUUUCAUUCCUAUUGAAUACAACCCCUAUUUUUGUCAAUAUGAGUAACUAUAUUUCGAUCAUUCUACAAUCCAAAAAUUGGAAAAUGAGUAAUUUAUUUUAAUAGUCGAGGAUUACCCGACUAAACAGGUAUAUCCGAAACCCGCAAACUAACAAGCACGGUUUAAAAGUUUCACCCAUUUAUGCAAACGAGUAAAUAUGGGUAAAAUCCGACAACCAAACGGAUGAAUAAUGAAUAUACCAAACUCAUCCUCAUACCUACCUAAGAUCGGAAGAGCGUCGUGUAGGGAAAGAGUGUNNNNNNNNNNNNNNNNNNNNNNNNNNNNNNNNNNNNNNNNNNNNNNNNNNAAGAUUGGGGUUUAAAUUAGAAAACAAAUUUUAUGGUUAAGUUUUUCAUAUGAAUUGAUUUUUGAAUUUGGAAUUUCGACCGGAAUUUUAAAUCAGCCUGGUUUUGAACUUCUGAUACUACAUAGAUUGUAAAAUAAAUGGUUAAGUUUAUAAAUCAGAAGGUUGGUCAUGUAUCAUUGAAUAAUUGUGACAUUUAUUGCGGUUUAAUGAUCAAUUAUUAAAUCAAAGUAUUAAAUUAAUAAUUUUGAGUACAUAUGAUCUUUUAUAUUGUCAUCAUAAUACAAGUUCUAAUUUUGCUGAGAGUAUUUGAGAUGACCAAUUGAGAUUUGUGAAUUAUGAAGGCCUUCAACACGAAUUUGAAAGAUUGUUAUGCAAGCUGAGUUGUGAUGUGAAUAGCCUCAUCUUGGGUGCCGAUGGCUAUGGAGUUGGGUAUUAAAAAACUUCGAAUUCAAACUAAUUCCAAAGCUGUAGUUCUCCUUCAAAAACUUAUAAGGUUGGAGGAUCAUCAACAUACUUUUUUUGUUCUUACGAAUCAUAUAUUUCUUUAUAUCAUAUUUUUCGCGAUGCUAAUUAUUUUACUACGACAAAAAAUUUUACCAGCUACACGAUGACCACCCUAGUUUACACGAAAUUGACAUGCUAAUCUUUACAAGUCAAUUACUUAGAAUUAAGAUCAAACAAAACAACCUAAUCAUGAUUCCAUAUACGGCUUCAUUACUAAUUAUUAAUUAAAUCUUUACAAUUACAAACCAAAUCAAACAUUAUUCAAGAAACCCCUGCGGCCUUUGAUCAACAAUCCGACAAUCGCCGCCGCAACAUCACACAACUCACUAACCAUCUUACUCCUCGCACUAACCUCAUCCCCUCCGCCGCCAGAGAAUUUACCCUCACAUGCGUCGGCCUGAUCUCCGGCGUCGGAGAGCGCGUACCUGGUGAAGCCAUAGUAACCCCUGAGGAAAGCGUCGAUCCCCUGAGGGAGAUUGUACUUCACCACCGGAAUGUAGAGCUCCGCACAAUUCGCCAGAGCUUUCUCCAUCUUGGGAUCCUCGGCGAUCUUUAGCCGUCCCUGGAUGUAAACCAGCAUCUCCGUGGCGUUCGACAGUACGACGUGGGUGAACUCGGAAGCUAUCCCCUUGACGUCUUUUGAGGUGGUGUUAUUGGCGGCGGAAUAAUGCAGAGUGUCGGAACAGAGGCGGUAGAAAGGGGUCUUCUUGCAUACUUGGUCGAUUAGAUUUUGACCGUCGUCGGAUUGGACGCUGCCGGUCGGAAUGAUGAUGAAGAGAAUUGUUAGUGAUAGGAGAGGGAUUGUACGAGGGAAUGAGAUUGUCAUUUUUGUGUUGGAAUUUGGUCGAAAGGAAGAGGAAGUUUGUAUUUAUAAAAAAGAAAAAAAAAACAGAGGAAGUUCAUAUUUUUUAUUUUGAUUUGUUUUGUUUAUUUAUGUUGUUGUUUCUUCGUGAAUUGAGAAGCUUGUGUAUUUUAGUUAUUCAUGUUUAUAGAGGUCAUAUGAUUUUAUUUUCCGCUAAAAAAGGUUAUGAAUUCCGAGUGCAAUUCCCAUUUCAUAAAAUUUUGAUUGGAAUUCUCAAAAUUAGUGUAGGCAUUUGAACUUCCGCCUAUGUAACCCGAUUUCAGUGUAGUGCAAAUCCAAUCAAUUUCACCUCAAAUCCGUUGUAAAAAACGAAGCACAAGUACGUGUUACGAUAUAUCAUUUUCUUGACUUUGUGAUGGGUGUUUUCGGUUCUUUAAUCCGAGUUGUAAUUCUCAACUUCCAAAAGUAACGACACCAAUAGAUGUAUAUAGCAAAUGCUAGUAACUGGUGAUAGAGUAUGCACAACUUUCUAAUGUAUCGUGAUGUUUAAGAUUGAUCCUCUUGACCAAAUGUGGUGUGGCGUUUAGUGUUUGUACACACAAUCUUGUUUACUUUGUUUUUUGUACAGCAUAUGCCAAGCAACCCUUGCAAAAUUUGUGAUAUUCAACAGUUUUCUUCUUUUGAUCCGGCAGUGAAGUGGAUUUUAAUUUCCCCGCUUGUCAUAUUUGCGCAUAGGUUUAAAUGGUACGUACGUCAUGAUAUAAUUAUUGGUUGAUUAGGGAGAAAAACUCCUACACAUUUGUUGGUGGGCAAGAUCAUGUUAGUGCAUUGUGGUUAUGCUGAAACAAAAUCAACAUGGAAGUUUGGUAGCUGUAACUACUAUACAAAGGGUAUUGAUGAAGGCGUUAUCCUGACAGCAGUUUAAUUCUCUUAUAGUAGACACCAUCAUAUGAUUAGUAACCUAGUACUUCGCCACUUGUUUCUUUGUGGGGUUAUGAUCGAAGGCGAUUCCUCCAAGCUUCGAAUGUAUACAUUUACCAGAUCACACCUCAGUGCAACUAUAUAUAUUUAUUUAUUUAUAUAUGCACAUGUGAUUUGAUUUGAUUUGAUUUGAUUAAUUAAUAUUUGUGCUCUUAAAGCCUUUGUGUGACCAAAGAACGAUCAUGUUUUUAUUUUUAACAGUACUAGGUGUCCAUCGUUGUCGGCGGUUGUAACUUGUUUAGCUAAUUGUAAUUGAAGUGGAGGAGAAUUAUUAAUUAAAAGAACGACCAUACAUUUAAAAUUUUACCAAUAUCUCAAAAUUAUUAAUUAAAAGGACGACCACUACAUCUUUAAACAAAAGAGGCAAUAUCAUAAUUACUAAUAACUAAGAUACCAAAUGUUAUGAUAUUCACACUUCUUUCUUUUUUUUAGCCGACCCGCUUAUUUUUAAUUCAUAAUCAAAUGAGAUUGGAAAAUUUUCAAAGUAAGUCAUACAAUAAAUGUAAAGACAAUAUAGAAUCAUUAAUAGAAAUAUGUAAAACACUAAGUGAUAAACUAUGAUCAAGGCCAACUAAGUAGUUAGCAGCUCGGUUGCCUUCCUGAUAAAUAUGUUCGAUUCUGAUCAUUCCAGUUUUGAUCCAACAACUUAUAGAAACUAACAACCUCUUCUGAGUGUGGUGUGUGAGCUCACCAUCUUUAGCAAAAGCUGAAUCGCAACUUGCGAAUCCAUUUAUCCAAAUUGAUUAUGGUAUAUGAAUAGAGAAUUAUCCAUUAAGAGACUAAUGAGAAGAAAGAGAAAUGCCAUAAAAUUUGUUACUCUAUUGGCAUUCGAUCAACUUCUUUCGAUAUGGAGCAUUAAUAGUAAUAUUACAAACAUCAUGGUAAAUCGAACGUUACGAAGAUGACAAGAUGUCAAAGACAUUGUUUUUAACUUUGAAGGAUUUAUAGCUACAGAUAAUGAAACAUGCUAGUAGCAAUUUGAAAGUCAAAAGUAUGCCGGAAAGAGUAACUAAAAUAUAGGAAAUAAGUAAUGAGAUGGCGAUGAAGAGCUACUUGAUAGAUUGUAGGCUUGGCAACAGUCCGGAUCGGUGACGGUUAGUGCAUAUCCACCGCCUUAUCGUUUCAAUAAUGGUUACGAUAAAAAAUCAUCAAGUUUGAUAGUUCGAGUUUGAUUUUAAUACCAUCACUGUAUUUGAUCGGGGUACGGUUUUAACAGCUAAUUACUAUUAACCGAACAAACCAACUAAAUGCUCUUUUGGUUUGUUGUGGCAAACGAGUUUCUUUCACCAAUUAGUGAAAAUUGGUUGGAAAACCAUUGAAUUUGGGGUUUCAAAACCAAUGUUUUAUACUUUUGUGGAAGAAUAUAUAAUUAUUAACUAGCUAAAUAUUAUCAUAUAUAAAACGACAUCGUUUUAAGUAGCGGGUCGAUGAUGGUGACUGUGACGAUUCGGAUAACAUGAUAUCCAUCACUACAGCAACAUGGUAAGUUUUUUAGGUGAGGUUAUCAUCAAAACCACACCAUAAACCAUUGAAAGCGGUUUUGAACCGCUUUGACCAGCUUGGUUUCAGACAAAUUUGCGGUUUUUUGGAUUUCAUAGCCAAGCUGGGCUAUACAACCGAUGCUGAUGAGAAGGAGUCUGAUAACUAUAUAGAAUUGGGUAAUGACAUUUUACACAACUGUAAAAUGUCACUAUGUCGUUAUUAUAUUACUUUCGAUCACCAUUAUGGAAUUUUGAUGAUAUCGCCACUUAAAUAUAAAAUAAAAUAUAUGAAAGUUGAUGUUAUUUGACUCGAAAAAAUUAAAUAAAUAACAUUAAUGACGGAAAAAAUAUGUUUUGAAUUUUGUAAAAAUAAUUAUAAACAAAAUAAUAUAUUAUAGGGAGAAUAGAAAAAGGAAAAAAAUGUAUUUAAAGAAAAAAAUGAAAUACAUGGUAGCUUAANNCAACCUGUCUCAAAUCAUUCAUCUUUCUAACCAUAAAAAAGACAUCAAACCUAUAUUUAGCCAUAAAAAUCAUGAUUUAUAAUUCCUAAGAAAGUUGAAUUAAAAUUAGUAUAAAAAAUUGGAGAUUAGUAUAAAGAAAUUAAGUUGGAGUAGAAAAAUAUUGUGGAUGGAAACUUAAAUAAAAAGAAAUAAGGAUUUCAAUUGGAAUCAUGUUUCCAAUAAAACUUUUUUAUAAAAUUCUUUGUAUCCUUUGAAUUUAGCAUUUUUUUCUCAAUUUUUUCCAAUCUCAAUUAAUUCAAUUUUCUUAAGAAUCAUAUUUUUAAUUGCCAAACAUAACAUAAGAGUAAGUAACUUAAGAAUAUAACCGGAGAAAAUAAAAUUAAAUGGUAACCGAAUUAGAAAGAAAAAAAAUAAAAUACAGCUCAUGCCAUUAUAAUUUCACAUUAUUGUGUAAAAUGCCACUAUAUUAAAAAUUCUACACCGUACGUCCUUUUAGUCCGGUUAUGGCGGCAUAAGAAAUCCGUCAGCCAAUUUCCAAUCAUUUACCCGAUAAUCAUCCAACGUAGAUGCCACUUCACCUUGUGGGGCCAAACUUAAAAAGAAAGAAAAAACAUACGAAAUUCUUCUCUUCUCAGUUAUUGUCGUCACUACCUUCCCAAAAAUCCAUCACCUCCUUCUCGAUCUAACUCUCGCCGUUUAGUGAAAAGGGAAAAAAGAAAACUACUCUAACACCGAUCAUCUCAAACAUCCAUUUUGUUUCUUCUCGUUGUGACAAAUCAAAUACUCCUACUUGAUCACCGCCGCCACCCGUCAAGCUUGCCGUCAUUCCGGCUUCCAACCUGGAGUUGAAAUGAAACUCUCGCCGUAAACUCCAUCUCCCUACCUUCAUCUUCCCAAUCUCCUUCCCCCUCACUAUCUUCUAUUCUUCGACUGCUACUGCAGCUGGAAAAUAUUCAUGUCAGAGCAAAUACACCGUGUUCAAAACUAAUCCUAAACCUAAAUAGAGAAUCAGUGCAACUAAUUUAAUAAUUGGGAAAUAAAAUAAAAUAGAGAAUCAGUUGCUACUGAAGGAAUCCUUGGACAGAGAGAUGAAGUCAAGCAGUAGAUAUAUUUUAUUUCUUCAACUCAGUUGUUUAAACAGAAACGAAAAAAUGAAGCUGAAACCCUAAAAAUCAAAAUUGAACCUUGAACAAAACCAAAGCAGAGUCGAGACUUCGAGGAAUCACCGGCAGAGAGAAUCGGAGGAAUCACCUAAGAAGUAAAAUUAGGUUCGGAUGAUGUCGGAUCAGCAAGAGAAGCAUGAGGCGAAGAAUAAGGGUUUUACGGUAUUCGACUUCUGUAUUCAAUGGUUUACGGCCAAUUCUUCCUUGUUACGUCUGCUUCCAGUCUUCUCUUUCGCUUGUGCUCCGCUCCACAAUUCCAGAGUAGUGCAGAUGCUCGUCCUUCUUCUCUCUUGGUUUCUUCACUUUUGUCUUUUCUUGGUUGCCAUUUGCAACGUUGUUCUACAUGCAUGGAAGUUCCUGCCGGUGUUAAUUUGCAGUUGCACCAAUGGAUGAGGAGUAGCAUCACCGGUGCCACCCGAAGCAAGGCGCUGGCUAAAAGUAAUGGUGGUCUAGUAUUAUCUCUUCUAUUUGCUCUAAUUAGUUACAAUAAUUUGUCAUAAGUUGACGACUUGCGUCACCAUUUGAUUACUUUUGGACUGUUUAACAUUCUUCGCCGAUCUUUCCUUUUCCUAUUACCUCUUCUAUAACAUAAAAAUGCUCGAGUUUCUGCUACACUUUCCCUUUCCUUUCUUGUUCUUGCGGGUUUGACAUUUUGGCUAUUACAUAUUCAGCCUGCUUCAGUUGUGUUUUAGGAUUGACUGGUUGUUGGCAAAAUCCUAAGGCUAUAGGAAGCGACCACCUAUGCGUUUAUGCUUCAGUUUCAGAGUGUUUAUCCUUCAUUUUGUAAUAAUCCUAACUAUUAGAUGUCUCACAAAGAUGUUUCUGAUGGUUUUGACUCCAACGCCCAACUGCUCAUAAAAGAGUUUGGUUCUUCAAAGACACUCCAACUGCCUAGACUGGGUUCCCUCCUUGUUAAAAAGAAGUGAGUGACUGUGAGUUGGUUUUAGGUACGAAGAAUGACUCUGAGUUGGUGAAUAGUGACUAUUACUGUUAACGGGCUUAAAUAGAUCAUUAUUGUCUGAUUAAGCCUUUUGGGCCUUUUUGUUCUGUUUUUUGAGAGUUGGGCCCUUCUUUGUUUAAAUAAAUUAUCUCACAAAUGAUCAAAACAGUAUCUCACAAAUGUUGAGAUGAUUCCGAAUGAAUCUGCUCCUCCGCAAGGAUCCCAGCAACCUCCUGUGCCUUACGCGGCUCUUUUCUCUGGUGGGACCUCCCUCCGGUCGGCAGAUUCUCGUGCAGCGCCAGGUGAUAUUAUGCCGACUCGUCAAAAUGGAGAUCGGUAUUUAAAUACGUCAGAUUCCUUUCAGAAUAAGUUCUUUAAGACGCUGUAUCAGACUCUUGUGAUCCGUCUUGUUGGGAAACAAGUUGAUAUUCAAUAUAUGUAUAAUUGACUUUGCACGAUGUGGAAGUCGAUAGGACGGUUCCGUAUGGUGGAUCUUGAAUUAGAAUUCUUUUGGGCUAUUCGUGAUGACUCUGAUGACUACUUCCGUGCUUUCCCCGGGAUCUGUGGACCUUUCUCAAUCAUUACUUGGUGGUAUUUGCUUGGGAUUCCCAAUUUUGAGUUUCUGAUGUCCUUCCGACAAAUAGUGAGCGGAUUGUGCUGCGGAUUUUUUGGCUAACUUAGGUCAUUCUUUUCAUUUCGGUUUACAUGUUUUUGAUUUCGUAAGUAAGAGUCUGUCCUACUGGCUAUAUUAUGAUAUUAUAGGUGUCUCGCUAUCUAGAAUUGUGAAAAUUUAUAAUAAUAUUUAGCACGCUUUGACACCAUAUUCUAUAAAAAAAAUCGAGUUGAAUUGGGUUCAUUGCGUGUUCUAGAAUGGAUAGCAACUAAUAAUUUGAUGAAAAUGUAUACAUAAAAGCUAGAUAUUUAUAAAAAUUAUAAAAUUAGUUCAAUCAACAAUAUCAAUUCGAAAUAAGUGGUAAUACUAAGAGCUUAUUUAUACUAUCACAAAAAUAUAAUGAAAAUAAAUUUGAUUGAUUGUUUGUAUGUGUUAAAUUUAUAAUUGGGACACGUGGAGCCAAAUUGACUCCUAAUUUUGUUUGCUUAAUCAACGUAUGGAUCGGUCACGUCCAACCAUAUAUCCCUCUAUCGUCACCAAUUGACACAUGUUAUAAACGUUAUAAUAACCACAUGGCCCACCACCUCAAACACACGUCAAAUUAUAACUUAUUAUCACUGUCGCUGUGUAAAGUAACAAACAAACUACAGAAAAAUAAAAAAUCACGCAACACUCCAAAUUCUCAUCAACGAACAUCAAUAUUCCUGAUGAUAGCAGCCGCCACCUGGGACACACGCCGGACAUCCUCGUUCCUACUCGUCAACGGCGACUUACCAGAACCGUUCCGGCCGCGAAACUGUCCCUCGCAAUCCUCGCUCUCCCCCGCCGAGUCCACCAUCGAGUCAACCCCGAAUUUUGAGUAAAAUGUAUACAUAAAAGCUAGAUAUUUAUAAAAAUUAUAAAAUUAGUUCAAUCAACAAUAUCAAUUCGAAAUAAGUGGUAAUACUAAGAGCUUAUUUAUACUAUCACAAAAAUAUAAUGAAAAUAAAUUUGAUUGAUUGUUUGUAUGUGUUAAAUUUAUAAUUGGGACACGUGGAGCCAAAUUGACUCCUAAUUUUGUUUGCUUAAUCAAAGUAUGGAUCGGUCACGUCCAACCAUAUAUCCCUCUAUCGUCACCAAUUGACACAUGUUAUAAACGUUAUAAUAACCACAUGGCCCACCACCUCAAACACACGUCAAAUUAUAACUUAUUAUCACUGUCGCUGUGUAAAGUAACAAACAAACUACAGAAAAUAGAAAAAUCAGACAGCACUCCAAAUUCUCAUCAACGGACAUCAAUAUUCCUGAUGAUAGCCGCCGCCACCUGGGACACACGCCGGACAUCCUCGUUCCUACUCGUCAACGGCGACUUACCAGAACCGUUCCGGCCGCGAAACUGUCCCUCGCAAUCCUCGCUCUCCCCCGCCGAGUCCACCAUCGAGUCAACCCCGAAUUUCGGGUUCCCGUACGUCACCUCCGUCACGGCUCCAGGGACAUCGUAGUCUAGUAUGACCCCGUAGUUACCAUCACACGCUUGGAGCGGCUCCUUUAACUCUUUAGCCAACGACGACGCCGUUUUGAGCAGCUCCUUGAUGUGAAGCGACGUCGCUUUUGCUUUCGCCUCGACCACGUGGACCAUUGCUAGCGCCAGGGAUUUCACGCUGGUGGCCUUGGCGGCCCGCGUGGAGAGCACGGACACGCAGAGGUCGUAGUCGGGAGUUUUCUUGCAGGUUUCCGUUAUGAGAGGAGUAUUGGCUUCUGCGGAGAUUAUGAAGAGGAAGAGAAAUAUGAAGAAGACGGAAAGUUGAGUGACGAGUUCGGUGGAAGUCGCCAUGGAGAUGUGGGAGUUUGUGUUGAUUACUGUAAUUUGGGUAGGGUAGUGCUUUUAUAUUGAAAGAAGAGUUAUCAGCUAAUCCUCUCCUGGCAUCUAAUUAAUAUAGCUUCCAGUUACGUAAUUGACAGAUUUUUUUAACUCUAAAUUAAGUAUUUAAUUAACGUGUUCAUAUGUGUAGUUAUCAACUAAUACUCUCCUGGAAUCUAAUUAAUAUAGCUUCCAACUGGUUGAAAUAUUUUUUCCCAAAUUAAUUAACAGGUUCAUGUAUGACGUUACCAAACAGUUAUCAAAUCUAAUUAAUAUAGCUUCCAAUUCUUUUCGAAAAAGUUUAUUUAUAUUAUUAAACUCGUGACCAAAAGAUGUUCAAUCUAUCAAACGAUCCCCAUAGAGAAUUAUCAUUCAUAUCGAGUGAAGACCAAACCCACAAAUGGGGAUUACCUAUAAAGAGAUGAUAAAUAUCAUCUCUAAUCUAGAUGAUUUGAUAUGGACCAUCGGAUGAUUAGAAAAUUUCAUCUAAUGAUCUAUAAGUUCAGUAUUUAUAUGAGUCGAAACCCUACCUUUUUCUCUCUGCUUUUUUUUAUUUGCAGAAAAUUACUGUCCCCUCCUUGUUCUUCUAUUUCACGUGAACUAGGUCUUACCGAUGUAGACCACGGUGACGAUUCAAUAGACGGCGCUUUUGGGAACGACGACUGUGACAACAGGAAAAAUCGUGGAACCUGAAUUGAGGACACCCAAAAUAACUUCCAAGUAAUUGAUAGAUUUUUAAAAAAAAUUGAAGGAUUUUGUUUGUUUUAUGAAUGGAUUUUGUUUAAAUAUAGAUUAAAUAGUUUUAACGUGUCAAGAUAUUAUCGAUUGAUAAUAUCUGUGUAAAACUAAAUUAAGUAUUUAAUUAACAGGUUCAUAUUAACAUUAGGGGUAUCGUAUUUGGUUGUGUUAUGUGUUGACAAGUUAAAAAUAACAGAUUUGAAUCCGCAUCAAGUAUAUCCAACAUAUGCACACCAAAUCUAAUAUUGUAAUUUUUUCUUUUUCUUAUCUCUACCAAGGGUGACACCUUUAUAUUUUAUAUUUUUAGAAAAAAUAUUGAACCGGUUCAUAUAAAUGUGCCAAAAAAUGGUUUGUUAAUUUGUUAUACUAUUAUAGAAAAAAAAUACUUCUCUCUUUUGUGUAGGGAAAAAGAAUAUGCUUAACUGGCAUUCUUAAAUUAUGAGGUUUUCUUUUUUAUUAAAAAUUGAAUAGGUUAAUUAGAAAAGACUAUAUUACAUUUUUGUAUUAGAGAUUUCUAUAAUCAGAUAUUCAGAUUUAUGCAACGUAUGAUGAUGUAAUUACAGGCUCAACACUGUAGCUAUGGUAAUAGUUCGUUUACAUUUGUGAUUUGAAAUAAAAAAAUUUUGAAAUAGAAAUUUUUUAGAUGAAACUUGCUAUUUUCAAAAUAUAUCAUUUGGAUGAUGAUUAUUGGAUGAUUUUAAAUAGAAUUAUUACAGAUAAAAAAUUUAAAAAAAGAAAAUAUCUCGAUUUUAUUUAUGACCAUAUCAAUUACACCAUUUUCACCCUCCCCUCUUCUUUAUCUCUUUCUUUCUUCAUCAAGCUACAGCGGCAGUCCCGGCCCCGACAAUGUUGCUAAACAAGACCUGUAAGAGCAGCACCAACUACACACUCUGUGUCUCAUCCUUCGAAUAGAACCUCGAACCGCAAGGUCAACCGAUGUCAAAGUGCUGGUUUCGAUAGAGCUGGUCAUCAUCUUGGCUAAAGUCAAUGUCACAUUAUACGACGCUGUUGAGUUGGUUACGAACACGACUAGCGCGUACUUUUAAAGGAGUUUAAAGGAGCUGUCGAAGGUGCGGAAUUUAGUAUCACCGGUUCAAUCGGGGGAUUAUACUGAGGCGAAGAGCGGGCUUGAGCGUACUAAGGCCCAUGUAGCGAUGUGUCUGGAAGGGUUGGAGGGUGAUAAGGGGCCAUUUUACUGAUGAGGCCGAGCUCGUGGAUAGGUUGUCCAGUGUGGCUAUUAGCAUAAUUAAUUUGUUACAUUGAUUUUAUGUAGCCAAGUGGUUGGCUUUGUUUUGGGUCGACAGAAAUCAUAUCGAACAAAAUCGGACAUUCGAAAUGCUCUGCAUAACUUAUAAGAAUGUAAUGAUAAAGAAAUUAUGUGGAAUUGUCGCUUUUCCCUGACCACGACUCAACUCACUUAUGAAUUUUGAAUUUCUAUAAUAUAUAAUUUUCUUUAUUUUAUAAAGGAAUUAGUAUAUUUUUCAAUAUGUGACCUCGUAUUUUUUAAUUUUUAUAUAAUUCGGUUCAGGAUAUUAAAAAAUUUCAAAUUUACUGUUGUUUGGUAUUGAUUAUGAACCUUAUAAUGUAUAGUUUUUUUUUCAAAGUAGACCGAGACUCUCGGUUAAUACAAAAUAUGAGACAUAAAGUACACAUGAUAGGGUGUCCAUUUCGUGGGGUAUACUGGAUUCAAACCCGAAACCUUUAAAUCACCAGACACGCUUGAUCACUAGAACAACUUCACUCGGACCAUUAUAAUGUAUAGUUGUGUUUGUGUAUGAUUGAGGUUGCUUUACCUAUUAUAGCUUUCGGCUUCUUUACAAAUCGAUCGGCAAAGAGGGUUUUUCAGAAGGUAUAGGUGCGGUUGGAUUUGCAAGCCACGAUUCGGCUUCUCUUGGGGAUAGUGCUAGUACACACCAGCACUUUUGAGAUAUAUGGUCAGUUUUUGUGAGGUGAUUUUUUUUGAUAAAUUUUUCUAUAUGAGAUGGAUAAAUCUUUUAUCAUAAAACAGAAUGAUUAAGCGUAUGACCAAAAUAUUAUACACAAAGACAACUAGUAACUGAGUUCAAAUUCGGAUCCAAUUUAACAACUCAAAUAAAUCGUAGUUGUUCAUCAGGUAACUAUAGAUCUAACAACUUAAUUUUCUUUUACUCAAAUCACUUUAAAUUUAACAAAUUCCCUCUCUGAAUUUUAAAUCAUCCCCAAAUCAUUUGAAGGGGAUACAAUGUAAUUUGAAAUUACUUCCAAAUCCACAUCCAUUUCAAUAUUUAAAUUCAAUAUUUUAACCAAAUCAACGAAAUCACUUACGAAAUCUCUCAAAUCUGAAAAGCAAUGACCGCUUAAAUAAAAAUAUUUAUCUUACCUCAGUUAAUAUAAGCUUUGGACUACUUGACAGGGAUUCGGAUCCACCAUUAACUCUCUGUUUAAAACAUCAAAAAUUUAACCGGAAUGGUAAGUUAUCUAAUAUAGACAGUAAAUAUUCUUUUUUAGGAAAACAUAUUUUUGGCAAGCAUGUAACACUUCUAUCAAACAUGUCUUACCCCGUUCAUAAAUACCAAAAAAAAUCCUUGACUCACAUACUAUAAAAUCCUCAAUUCUCAUCCAAUUCGUAAUCUAAAUUUACAAAAAGAUCAGAACAGUUUACUUCUUUCAUUCCAAUUUCCACCAUGAAGAUGCACAAGAUUUCCACCCUCCUCCUCUUCUUCAUCCCUCUCUUCCUUCACCAAGCUACGGCCGAUGUGGCGCUGCUCGAAAAGACCUGCAAGAGCAGCACCAACUACAGACUCUGCAUCUCAUCCCUCCGAUCGGAUCCUCGAACCGCAAAGGCAGCCGAUGUCAAAGGGCUGGCUUCGAUCGAGUUGGACAUCAUCUCGGCUAAGGCCAAUGUCGCGUUAGACCACGUUGCUAGUCUGUUUAGGAACGUGACUGACCCGUAUUUGUACCGUGCGUACGGGACCUGUGUCGAGGAGUUUAGAGGAGCAGUCGAAGGUGCUAACUCCAGCCUCGCCGGUUCGAUUUCUGGUUUGAAAUCAGGGGAUUAUGCAGCGGCGAAGAGCGGGCUUGAGCGUACUAAGGCCCAUGUAGCGAUGUGUCUGGAAGGGUUGGCUGGCGAUAAGGGGCCGUUUACUGAUGAGGCCCAACUCGUGGAUGGGCUUUCUAGUGUGGCUAUUAGCAUCAUUAGUUUGUUGCAUUGAUUUUGAUGUACCGAAUUGGUUCUCUUUUAUUUUGGGUUGUCAUCAUAUCGAACGAAAUCAAACGUUGGAUAGGGGAUAGCUUUACAGAACUUCAUAAUGUAGUGAGAAAAUUCUAUCAAAUUUGAGAAUAAGAUUAAACUAGUUCCCAACCGGGAUCAUGACCCAUAGUGGGCCUUUUUCAUAGGCCUAUCGGUAUUAAGUAGGCCAUAUUUGGGCUUUUGGUAUGAAGUGGUGUCCAGUAAAAUACUAGAGCGUCCACCUUAAGAAAAUUUGGUAACACGUGGCUUGAGCGCGCUUAACACAAGCAAGAAGAAAUUAGAAUGAGUUUAUUUCAAUAUAGAACCAUUAUCGCUUAUAAGGUAUCAGCGGUAAUUUAGGAGUUGCACCCAUUUUUAUGAAUUAUAUUGGGAAAAGUAAUUAAGCACAAAAAACAUAUGUAUUUGUUUUAAUAUAAAACAAUUAUCGUUUAUGUGGUAUGAAUGGUAACUUAAGAGGUAUAAUACAUAAAUAGAUUAUAUUAGGAGAAGUAAUUAAUCAACUAGUUAAUAUAUAUCGUGUCCUUGUUCUUUUUAAUGCCAUGUCAACAUGCCAAAUGCAUCGAUCUCAACUGGAUAGAAAUUAGACUCGACACACUAAAAUUGGAAAGAAAAAACAAACAGGAACAAGAAAAGAGGCCACAAAUCGAACUGAUAACAUUUAACAGUUUUAAAAAUUGAGAAAAAACAUUAAAAAAAAGAUAAAGGUCCAACCGGAAGGGGCAACAUUAUUGGAGCCGAUUCAGUACUCAACGACCGCCAAAAAAUAAUUAUACAGGUGGACCAUGAUUGUUAGAGCAUAACUUGUGAUCGUAAAUUUUAUUGUGUUGCAUUGACUCGGUAUAAGAAAUUAAAACGAGUUAAUAAGAACGUUCCUGAGAGAAUUUUCGAAUGUCACCAAAACCAACAGGAGUCCUACGCUUAAACAGUCAAAAGAAAAAAAAAAGAAAAACAAGGAUUUAAUUACUAAAAAGAAUUAUAGUAAUUAAAAUCUAACGGAGGUGGUUAAGGUUGAUCUUUUGGCCAACGAAUGACCUCCGUACGAUGUAAGAUCACUGAUGGCUUCCGCAAAAUAUAUGGAUAGACACAAGAAGAAAAAUGAUAAUAUACCAAAUCAAAUACACCUAAUCAUGAAAUCGCUAGAACACAUUAAACUAAUAGGAACAUGUUAAGAAGGGGAAUCCAAUUGAUGAACUUAAUCAGUAAUAUAUUUGCGGUAUUUACAGAAACGAAUUGGAUUUGGAUCACAGAGUGCAUCCACAGAAGAUGAAGAAGUAGCAGAGCAUCGUUACGAGAGCGACGGAUUCAACCGCCGUCACCAAGCUCCACAGCACCUCGUCGAUCGAGAACUCCAGCCACCGCAGGCUAGGCUGGCUCCACCGCCGCCACGAGAGGUCGAUGCCAGGCCAUCGGAAGCUAGAUGUCGGCAGGGAGAGGUCGAGUUCCGGCCACCGGAAGUAGGAUGGGUACCAGUACACCCACCACCGGCACAUAAUGAGGAAUUUUGAAUUUGUUGUGAAUUAAAAAAGGCGGAGGGUUUUACGGAGGAUAAUGGCAAAACUGAGAAUUAUUGUAUGGAGGGAAGGGCAUAUUAUUGUAUUUAUUUUGUGGGGGUGUGGGUCCCACUGAUGGAUAGGUUUCAGUAAUAACAUGCUAACACGUGUCUGUUUUAGCCACGUGUGACAGCGCCGAUUUGACCAAACUUCCACUAUCUUUCACUUAAUGAGGUGGGAAUCUGCCAAUCUGGGCUAAAACCGGCCUGCUCAACCAGGAUUUUAGUUCGGGUAGUAAUUUUUUGUAUUUUGAAAAUAUUAUACCGUCGUUUGUUUUUUUGGAUUUGAAGAGUGAUUUUGUGGGUUUAUUUGAUUUACUCUAAAUACUACAUUUGAGUAUAAAAAUGAAGUGGUUUGAAAUCACUCUUAAAUGAUUUGGGAGGUGAUUUCAAAUUUACUUCAUGAAUAAAAAAUGGUCAAAUCUUAAGUGAUUUGAGCAGAAAAUGACCAAAUUAUUUUAUUUAGAUUAAGAAAAUAUGAAAAGUUACGGGUGAAGUCGUCAUUUAUAAAAUAUUUUUUUUUUAAUUUUAAAAUUCCACUAAAUAAAUGAUAUAUUUACGAAAUUAUUUACACAUUUAAAAUUUAUUAUCUUUCAAAUCUCUUAUUAUUUGAAAUACUUUAGAUAAAAUCAGAAAAUCAGACGGACCUAACUACAUGCAGCGAAUUCAAAUCCGACAUGUUCAUAUAUAUUGUAUUGGGGCUUGCAUUUUCUAAAUUGCUGACCGAAACUAAUCCGGAAAUGCAGUAAUUGAUUUUGGUUGACAAAAGAAAUUAAUAUAUUGUCAUGUUGGUUGGUGUUUAAAACGAAAAUUCGAGAAGCAAUUAUCAGUCCUAUUAAUUAUUUGAUGUUGACUCAAAUAGUAGAGUACUGUUUGUGUUAAUGAUGAGUCCUGAUAUUAUAGAUUGUGUGCAAAAAUUAUCGUUCCACGUUUUUUUACAAGCAAUUAUCAAUUCUUGUGUUUUUUAAGAAUAAUAUCAUAGUAGCAUACAAGAUAUUUCAUCGAAAGUACAAACUUUACGGAUAAGAUCAUAUGCAUCACGGAUCCUUAUGAGUAAGUGACAUCAACCCUUUCUUUUCAACCUAACGGAUAAUCAAUCGAACUGAGCAACCCAAGCGAAAAUAAAAAAACUAACUAACAAAGCAAACCUGGCAAACCUAGCAAAUUUGGACGAAACUCAUCCUUAUUAGGACAUUGUCGAGGGAGGCUAAGACCUCAACUUGCUGAGCUUGAUCUUCAAUGUGGCGGACCGGCUGGUGACGCAGAAAAAGAGCUCUAGCCGACUUUACCUAGGCGAUUGCUGAGAUUGCAUCCCUCCGAUUGGUGGGUGUGUAGUAGCAUCAUUAGCGGCACCCAUUGCAUGGGCGGUGGAGGUCCUCCCGAUGACAAACAAUGGGCGGGGGGAUGACUCCGGUUCGGUGGAGUGAAAUUUCCAGUUAUGGAGAUAGAUGGAGACGAGGGCGGAUUGGUGAGGCGAAUUCGAAACUGUCGGCGGGAUCCUUGAUUCACUGUCCUUCUCCUCCGUUGCUGGAUCCGUGUCGGGUUCGUUGGUGAGAGAGAGCGCCAUGGAGGCAGCCUCACGAGAAGAGGCCGCUGGCCGUUUUUGCUUGGUGGAGAGACGGUGGCUUGACUUUGCGGGAGCAGUGGUGAUGGUGUUGUCAAAGAGAUGUCAGUGGUGGUGGUUAUGGUUAGUGUAGUGGGAUCGCGAGCACGAUUAAGACUAAUUACAUCAACAUCUCCUUUCAAUUAAAAAGUUUCUUACGCAUAGAUUUUUUUUAUCACUCCACGUUAUUCUAUAUAUAUAUAUAUAUACCGCAUGAUGAAAAUCUUGCAUUUUGCUUCUCAAAACGUCCAUUUCUAUCGCGUUUCACACUUUUCUAUCCACGAUUGUGCGUGAAGAACUACACCAAUUUAAAAGGUGCACACAACCAUUAACGUGCAUUGAUAUAAUGGGCUUUCUAGAAUCUAGAUUACAAAAGGAGGAGCAUUGUCGUGAAGUUUGAUUUGAAUCUUUGAUCCUCCGAUGGCCAACUAAUCGAGAUGUGAGUAAUAACAGAAUAGUUGGAGUCUUUGAGUAGGAUUUCAAGUCUAUAGUAAGUUUGAGAUAUACACUAGACGAAAUUUGAAACAUACUGAUAAAAUAUUUCAAUUUUGAAAAGUUAAUAUAAAAUUUCGUCAUUUUGCAACGAGGAACCAUGAACGGUGGCCUAAAACUCGCACGCCACUGCUGCAGCCAGUGCAUAUAAAAGAUCUAACUUCACCACAGUUAGCUGAUGCCGCGCUCUGGAUGGACUGCAAUUCUCUUAUACUGAGCUUGAUACAUUGUUUAACCCUUUCCGCGUUGAUAUGCCUCCCACGUUGGUAUAUUUGCGGCUCACAAGGGGUGUUGCACGUAAUUGCAAUCGAAAAUAAACCUGGCAUCUCUUCGUAUAAGCAUCUGGAGACUAGAACAAGACCGUCAAUCUUGGACGAAACAACGUGAGGGGUUGGUGAACGAGACAUCAAAUAGUGGUAACUACCAAGCUAAGUGCUUGUGUCGACCCUUACUGCAUCCACAUAAUCCGAAAUACUCUUCUUCAAUCCGGAUUAUUCUGAAGAAAAGAAUGCUAUAUAUUGUGCUGCGACUUGACAACACAAGAGCUAGAGUUGGUCGCCAGAGUAGAAGGGAACCCUGAUUUCUUAUACCUUCAGGUGUUCCAGCCAGAGGUUUCUUGCUGGGCUACUCCAAUUCCAAGGAACGAUCAGUUGCGAGCCAUCAACGAUGGAAGCUACAGCUUUUGGGUUCUGAUAGGGUUAAUUCCACAGUUAGCAUUAUUAUAUUAUUAUUAUAGAUUAGGAAGAGUUUUAUUCCCAUUUGGUGUAGGAUUAUAAGUUAAUUGAAUUUUCUUUUAGUAGUAGGAAUAGGAUUUAAUUGUGUUUUGUCCCAAGCCUAUAAAUAGGUUGUGCUUCUGUACGUUUGAACCAAGAAGAAUAACAAGAAAUCAGUAUCAAUAAUAUUAUCGGUUUGUUUUGGUUAAACUCUAACUACCUAUCAUAUCGCUAUCAAUUGAUAUCCGAGCCGAUUCAAUUCACCGGUGCCUUCAGCCAUCAUCAAAUAUCCUUCCAACCCCAUGAUGAACACUCGUUCUAACUCCUCCACCACCCAAAAAAAACGAUCCUGCCUCGGCUACUCACACCGACCUUACCCAACAAGUUGCAACUCUUCACCACCAAGUUGGCACGCUUCAACAACAAUUUGGCACGUUUACGAUGGACUUCCAAGAGAUGUCGGAACGCGUGGCUGUCACCGAAGCCUCGACCCAACGCAUGGAGGCCAAUAUCCAGCUCAUCCUCAACCAACUCGGAAAUCGCCCACAUCGCCAGGAAGGCCACGAUGACGCUGUUGAUCUGGGUAAUUGGGGUCGCACUUCUCGUCCUCAAAUUGACUUUCCUCGAUUUGAAGGAGGUGAUCCGCGCUCUUGGGUUCUCAAAGCAGAGAAGUUCUUUCGCUUCUACGCGACUCUAAACGCCCGCAAGGCUGACUUCGCAUCCUUGUAUUUAGAUGGCGACGCCUUGGACGUGUAUGCAUCGGCCCACGCGGAGGAACCCAUUGUCACUUGGGAAACUCUUGUUCAGGUUAUGCAAGACUCCUUUGGACCAGCUGAAUUCUCCACCCCUGAUGAAUUUUUAUGCGCCAUCCAACAAACAUGCACAGUUCAGGAGUAUCGUCAAGAGUUUUCUAGGAGAGCAGCACAUGUACGUAACUGGUCCGAUCACAGCCUUAUUAGGGUGUUCAUCAAUGGAUUAAAAGAUGAGCUGAAGACUGAUGUGCGGAUUCACAAGCCAACCACCAUCCACCGAGCUAUGAGCCUUGCUCAGCAAUAUGAGUCCAAAUUCAUCGACACAAGGCAAUCUCAAUUUCUUCCACAAAUCACUCAGUCUGUAAGUUUCUCAUCCUCUGGUCCUACUCGGGCUGAUUCCCAAACUGUUAACUCAGGGACUGGCCAUGCCAAGUCUAACAACUCAGUCAACAACACUCCAUCGCCUCAAGAGCUUCUAAAACAGUCUCGUCGAGACAAAGACUGGUGUUUUCGUUGCGGUGAAAGAUUUGUACCAGGCCACCGCUGCAACAUUGCCACGGUAACCAUGAUGGAAAUUUAUGCUGCUGGUUCUGCUACUUACCAUCGCCCAUGGGAGUACAAUUCUGAUGACGAAGGCGGUGUUGCCCCUGUCCCAGCCACUAUUACUCGACUACCACCUUGAGGACAAGCUGGUUUUCGAAGGGGAGGACCGUGAUAGGGUUAAUUCGACAAUUAGAUGCUUCUCUGCAAAACGUCGCCAGAGCUUUCUUAUCUUCCAAUCUUUAUCAAAAGUGUCUCUGCAGAGGUAACUCUGAACAUUCCGCGCAAAAUCCACGCAAUGGUUUUACGUUUUUGAAAGAAGAUUAGAUGAUCGAAGUUUAAUAUAUUUAUUGAGAAAACAACCAUGCCGUAAAUUACCUCCUUUCUCGUGGGACAUUGCCUAUUUAUCCAUGUGCGUACUAUUUUUACGAUUUGAACGAAAGAUUGUUCCGAAAAUAAAAGAUUGGGUUAGACUAACUAGUAGUUUGAGCUAACUUUAAGGAAAAGAAAAGAAGUAACUAAGUAACAAACAUAUCCACAGUUGGAUCAGCGUUCUCGGCUGCUACAACUGUAUCAUUGUCGAUAUGCCCACUUUUUGGGUUGCUUUUCCGCCGAUAUUUCGUUCCAAUAUGAUUAGCUUCCAACAAGUUUACGACCUGCACGAGUGGUGGGGAAACCACCUUUCUCCUUCAGCCGCAGAAUGCCCUGUUUUAGCCAUGUAAUCAACAACAAAAUUUGUUUCCCUCCGCAUCUGUCGCACUUUGAAUAUGAUGUAUAUCUCAAAUGUGAGCCUCCAAAGGAUAACCAAUAAUAUCCUCGGCCUCCACCAAUUGUACCGCAAGCAACGAGCCCGACUCAACUUCCACCUUAGUGUACCCGAACAUACGAGCCAAUGAUAAUCCAUCCCGAAUAGCUCGUAAUUCUGCAUGCAAAAUAUUUUUGUGCACCAAUGUGAUUAAUGAACCCUGCGAUCCACCCUCCAGAUUUGUUACACAAGACUCCUCCAAUCGAUAUACUAUUCUCCACAGUUAGACGACUACCGUCAACGUUCAGUUUUACCCACCCCAACGAUGACGGGAUCCAGCCAACAAGUUCUUGCUCACGCUCCAAACUUGCAGUGGCAAGGCCUGUAACCACCCUCCACAUAGUCUGCCAUGGCCAUUCCUCCUAUUCCUGUCCAACCUGAUUACGCAUCCUCCAAAUGUCCCAAUGAGCGUAAUAAACCAAUCUUUCCAGCAAACAUCCUUUACCAUAGUUUCUUCAUAUGUCAUAAUAUUUGUCAAGAACCACUCUUCCAUGCUCAGCGAGAAGAAGUUGUGCACCUCAUUCGAUAACACCUCCAUCCAAACGUCCCUCACCUUGAGACAGUCUCAAAGUGCAUGAAGCACACUCUCGCUUUCCUCCCUACAACGCGGGCAGAUAUCAUCGAUGGAGAUGUGGCGCCGAAGUAUAAAAUCAAAUGUCAGGAAGGCUAUCCUGACAUGUCAACCAAAUCAAGAAACAUAUCCUUUGUAAUAUCUUAAUAUGCCAAAUCCAACUCCAAGAUGAGCUAACAUGAUAUCCAAUAAUAACUAACUAGAAUAAGCCCGAUUUCGUAGCAAGCCCAAUCCAUCAUCUGCUUCAUAGAAAAGUUCUGCUGGAAAAUGAAUGCUCUAUAAAUGGGCUUUGAUUCUAUUGGGCGGAAGAAAACCCUAGCCCUUCUUAUAUCCAACCGCGUCUCCCGCACGUGACAGGCACCUGCUUAGAGAAAACUAGUACUCAAUAGCCGCAGAGAAGGCUGGCUCCUCAAAAAAUACAUUUUCUCGCACCUCCACCGUCCGAUCUCAUUCCAGCUCACCAAUCCGCGUCACCCCUCAUAUCAACGGUCUAGAUCGGAGCUGCAGAGCUACUGGUUCAACAGCAGCUCGUCUCUUCCCCGCUCUUCCCCUUUCCCAUCUCCGCUUUCCCAAUUUACCGAUUCCAAUCGAUUUUUUUUCCGGGAAGAAACGAAUUAAUUUUUUGUAUCAGACUUCCGGUGAUAUUUCCACUGCGAUUUCCGAUCUGUCCGCUUGCUAGAACGUCAUGAAAAUCACGGAGUUGGAUGGGAAAAAUUUGAAGGAGGAAGAGGAUGAGGUGAUAGCUAUUUCGACGGACGAUGACAGUGACACGGAGGAGGGGACGGAGGCCGAAGCGCGGGAAGAAGAGGAUGGAGACGACGAUGACGACGAGGGGGAAGAUGACGAUGACGGCGAUGACUCCGAUGAUGAUGAUGAGGACGACGAUGAGGAUGAAGGCGUUGACGACGAUGAUCCUGAGCAGGCCAUGAACUCCGUCGUUGGUCCGGCUGUCGUGUCAGUCGAAGACGAUGACGACGAAGGUGAGAUCGAGAAUGAAGAAGACGCUGACGGCGGUGACGACGACGACGAUGACGACGAUAUCGACGACGAUGAGGAACAAGGAGUGGUAACGAUUUCCGAUCUCGAAUAACAGUAGAAAUUUCCGUUUAUUCGUUUGUUUUGUAUCUAUCAAGUUCUGACGCGCUAGCUUACCAGAUCUACGGCGAGAACGAAGACGAUGACGAUGAUGUGGAGGAAGGCGUGGACGAUGAUACCGCCGAGCCUGUCUUGAACUCUUCCGGAGGGCCACUUGUCCAGUCAGUCGACGAUUUAGACGAUGAUGACGAUGGCGAUACCGAUAACGAACAAGAGGAAUUGGAAGUGGAAUUGGAAGUCGAAGGUGGCGAGGAGGAAGACGCCGAUGAGGAUGAUGAGGUAGACGAUGAAGAUGAGCAGGUAGAGGUAAGGCACUUAACAGAAACAGAUCGAUCUACCGAACAUACGGAUAUCUCUCAAAUUGCUUAUUUGUAAACUGAUCUACCAGAUCUGAUUUUCAAAUUGAAGCUUUGCUGCUCCUCUUGAUUGUCAACUAGAUCUGUUUGGCUAUUGACCACGUCAUGAUUUGAAUUUGAAUUCUGAUUCUGCGCAGAAGGAUUUGAGAACGGAAUACAUACUUCGACGACGGCCAAAGGAAGAGGAAGAUGCGAUUGACCUGGAGCUGGAGGAGAACGGUGAGGACGAGGACGACGAGGACUUUGACGAUGAGGUUGAUGACGAUGAUGAUGAAGAUAUAGCUGCCAGAUCUGCCGGCCUAGGUAAGCGGAAGAGGUCGAGCAAGGACGACUCGGAUGAUGAAGAUGACGAUGAUGAUGGCGGCGAUGGUGAGGACGAUGGCGAGAGACCUCCGAAGCGAUAAGAGAAGUUGUUGUUCUUGGCACUGCUAUUGAAGAGUGUCGCCAAAGGAUAACUCUUUACAGGGUAAUCUCUUUUGUCCCUCAUCUUUUAGAAACCCAGGAUGCCCAGUGGGAUGUUUGUUUAAGUGUUAGAAGUUUGGUUAGGGUUGUGGGUGUUAAUUGGACCUGUUUAGAGUUAUGGUUGCGUUGUAAAUUUUUAAAAAUGAUGGUUUGAUACAUUCCUAUGUCUUCAUGGUUUACAAUCUAUGAAAGUUUGUUUGGAUAAUAUGGUGAUUGAUUCGUGAUACUUGAGUAUUGUUGGGUUGGAUGUCUAAUUUGCCAUCUAUGAAUGGUGUCUGUGAAUCAUCGAGUCGCAGCCUUUAACUUUGCUGUGUGGGGAAUGUGGUUUUAUUUUGUGCUGUGCGGUUAGUGGUUCUUGUGUGCAUUUGGGUCCAUGGUGGUUCGUGAUGGUAUGAUCUGACGGAUGAUAUCAAGUGAUUCUAGCUGAACGGUGAAAUCAUGAUAAGGUUGUGUAAUAAAGUCUCUGCACCGGAUACUGUGUGGUUAGUUGGCUAGUGGCUGCUGGAAGCUUAUACCACAGCAGCAUAAUAUCUCGCUGGCAAACAUGAUGCUAAAAAGUAGGAGAUAUUCGUAAUUUUCGAUAGAUAGAGAGUCGCUUUGCCUUUGUUUAAUCGGGUAGUGGUGUGGUUCGGUUGCUUUUGCUUUACUCGCUGUUGUUAACAAUAUGUGGUGAUAUUCUUGUUCGGCAGGUGACUCGGCGCAGCGAUGACAAAGUCUUUGUAGUCCUCGAACCUUCUUCUUCCCACCCUCCACCGUCUCGUUGACCGGAGAGUGGUGAUCUUUUGAGCUGUGUUAAACAGUAAUAAAUUUAACUUGCCGGAGACCGAAGAUUCCUGUGAAUUUAUGACCUGAUCGACUAUUUAAAGCAUAUUUUGUAAUUGACGAUUAACAACUGUUAAUCUCCUAGUCUAUUGUGGUUUGAUCGUCACAUGAUGCAAAUGUCGACGGGAAAAACUAAGCUGCCGAAAGCGGCAUCCAUGAUGGUUGAGUCCGUCAUCCGUUGAGAGUUCAGAACAUCACAGACUCAAGCUUAUCCUACUGAUCCUUUCUUUCCCCCUCCUGGAGAAAUGACAGUGUCCAGCCUUCUGAAGCUAAAUUUGGCAGGGAAAGGGCGAAUCAAUCAAAGCCGCCGUUGCAUUGAUUUCACCACCGGCGGUACUUUUGAAUCUCCUGGUUUCUGUGCCGAUGAUAUAGAUUUCAAAGCGGAUGAGAAGAGAAGACGAGUUUCCUCGGGUUUGAUCUUGACUGAACGGAUGAGAUGAGUUUCUUCUUCUAGUAUUUCUUGCAAGAUUUAUGGAUGUAUUUGACAAAAGUACCCCUAGUCAUUUGGCCAAAAUUACGGCCUACCCGAUUUCUUAACAGAGAUUGGUGACGUAGAGUAGAAAACAGCUUGGCUUUCACAAUCGUGAAGUGGGCAGGUAAUCUGUAACGAUAGGGCAUUUUUCUCAUUAUGUCAGUAUUAGUUGUUGACGAACGAAGAAAUUCAACUUUGACGAGGUGGUCGGUAUGUAUAAAUGAGGGUUAUUUUAAUGUUACAGCCCAGUGGGCAGAAGCUGCGGAAAGCCCAAUUCUGUAAGCCCAAUGAAUGCGGUUCGCGGAAGAUUUGGCAUCUCAUUCUCCAAAUCUGGAAUAUUCGUAUGCGGAACCCUAACCCUAGAUGCCUCAGCCCGCGCCCCUUGCACGUGACAUACACCUGAUCGAAUUCACGAGUACUCAGGCGCCGCAUCGACGCUUUGUUUCUUUGAAAAUACAUUAUUCUCGAUUCUACACCGUCGGAUCUACCUCCACGUCAUCAAUCUAUGUCAUGAGGCGUUUGGACGGACCCGAUCGAAGUUGCAGAGCUACUGGUUCAACGAACGAACAAAGCUCGUUUCUUCUCCGUCUUCUCCAACUUCCUUUCUCCGCUCUAAAAAAUUCUGGAAUUUUCAAUUUCUUAUCUUCAAAUAAAUUAAAAGAGUAUACGGUCGUCGUAGUAACUUCCACACCUCUUUCUUACUCUCUCUCAUCUCUCCUGUUUGAAUACGACAUGAAAAUCACCGAGCUGGAAGGAGUAAUUAUGGAGGAGGUUGAAGCCGACCAGGAAAUCAAGAUUCCAACGGUCGAAGACGGAGAUUCAGAGCAGGAAGCAGUUGCUGGAGUCGAGGACGACGGCGAAGACGACGAUGAAGAUGAAGAUGAUGCCGCCGACGACGACGAUGAAGAUGAAGGCGUUGACGAUGAGGAGGCUGAGCCGGCCUUGAACUCUUCCGGCGGUCCACCUGUCCACUCAGUUGAUGACGACGAGGAUGAAGACGAAGAUGAAGACGAGGAAGACCAAGGUGGAGACGAUGACGACGACGAUGAUGACGACGAUGAGGGCGACGACGACGAAGAACAAGGAGAGGUAAAAUCAUUCAUACCGUUAAAACGGAAAUUUAUACUGAUAAAUUGUACAGAACUUCAGAUUUCCGCCGGUUUGAGUCGCAAUUCUUACAGAUCUGGUGUUUUUUCCGGAUUCAUUUUCUCCAAAUCACCGUCGGAAAAAUUGAUUAUGUCAGUUAGCUCAGUGAAUCGGAACCUUUUUAGCUGCUUCUGUUCUUUUUGAGCAAUACGCUGGAAAAAGAGGAUAAGCUGUGCCUUUUUUUUGUCCUCUUCCGCCUAUCUUUCCGCUGACCGUUAACCUUCAAUUUCUGAAAAUACUGAUUUUGCUGAAUCCAUAUAUUUUAUGGUAGAAAUCUGUUAUCAGGGUGUUUCUAACAUGUCCUUACUACUAAUACAGAUCUAAUAGUACAGAUCUACGAUAAAUUAUAAAAUAAAAUUUACCCAAAGUGAGCAUUUUCUGACUGCGGAUUUAUCUUGUCGUGGGUUAAAACUGUCCAUUUUUUCAGAAGGAUUUGAGUACGGACUAUCUUCUCGGACCGGUGGGUCGCCCGGAAGAGGAGGAAGAUGCCAGUGAUUUUGAACCGGAGGAGAACGGGGAGGAAAAUGACGAUGAAGUGGAUGAGGAGGAUGACGAAUCCGGAAGGUCUGCUGGCCCGGCUGCGAAGCGGAAGAGGGUGAGCAAGGAUGAGACGGACGAGGAGGAUGAUGACGAUGACGACGAUGAUGAUGGCGGGGAGGACGACGAGAGACCACCGAAGAGAUGAUAGUUGUUUUCUAGUUGUUGUGUAAUCCUGGUGGGUGAUGGCCAAAUUGAACUUUUUUAUUGGUCAGUCUCCUCCCUUGCUAAGAACUCGAACUAAGAUGGAGUGGACUCCGUUGUUAUGUUGUGGCUUCAAGUUAGGGGAAUGCUCAGUCUUUGCUUUCUAAUUUCCUUGCUGUGUUUAUCAUCAAGCUGCAACUUGUUCAUGGGAUUGCUAACAUUUUGACGGCGAUGAUCUAUUCCAUGCCUUUUAACGCUAGAUUAAUGGCUUUGUUAACUCUGCUCAUCUGAUGAGCUUUACCUUCAUUUAUGAACUGAGCAUUUCAUGAAAUCCUAACCAUCGAAUGUCCUUAUUGUCUUGCUCUCUUUUUCCAAAAACUCACCUGACUGAGUCUAAUCAUCAGCCAAUUCAAUUUGAUUCUUCAACCAAACUUAAUUCAGUUUUAGCCCGGAUCAGAUGACUCGAACUUCCAUUGAGCCUAGAUUUAGUCAGAUUCUUGAACUUCAUCAAGUCCUGAGAACUCCCGAUUCUUGGGCUACUGAUCGCCCAACUCGAAAACUCCCAAAACCAACAUAUUGUGAUUCGAUUUCCAUAAUCUAACCAAUUCAUUACUCGUCAAAAUCGAUUGAACCAAAACUAAUAAUACGAUUAACCCAAUCUAUAACCUGCAUAGCUGCUCGUUGAUGAAUCUGUGAGAUAAUGACCAGAGAAAUUUUCCAUUUGAUGAAUUUACACUACACCAUUAUGAGUUUUGUCAAAAUUUUAUCAUCAUCAUCAUAAGUCAUAACUGGUAUAUGAACAAAACUCUCCGGAGAUGAAGCCAAGAAUCUUGGGGCCUAAUCAUUUCUGUAAUCACCCUGAUCUGAUAAUACCAAACGAGACACGUGUCCGGACGAUACGCAUGCUUGGUGGUUUCAACUUUCAGUAAGUAUCAACCGUGGUAUCCAGCUGGCACCACCACCACUCAACCCAGAAAGACCAUCAUCGCCAAGAACAGGAUAACAACAUUCAACAACUACACCCAAAAUGAGCUCCAGCAAUGGAUCGGGUUUUGCAUUGAAUGGCCCGAGUUGUCAAAUAUCGUCACAUAGUUCGGGCCUAAUUUGGGCCUAGUUAGCUGCAAAUAAAGGCCCAGGGGAAACGGGAGGGCGUUGGCAGUUACUUGAUGGGAGUCCAAAAAUAUUGUCGGUGAUUGGGAAUUUGGGGGAUGCAUCAUUCAAAUCCAUCCACACGCUUUCCCCAUACUGUUCGCAAAUCAUUCUCCCUUUUCCAUAAUAAAAUUCAACCGCAGGUGUAGUCAAACUCCAUGAGUUUAUUCUACAUGCUCCAUACCUUCGCUUGCAAACUACGAAUGUUAAACUCAACUUCUGUUGCUUUUCCAGGCCAACAUCUUCGUUUCUGGUGUGUAAAAAAUGGAACGUUAGGUUCAACGUCCACUUCUGAUUUCUGUCAUCUACCAAUCCAAAUCUCACCAUUAAUUAGUAUUUUAUUUCUUCAGUUUAUUUUCCGUUUCUAAAGAUGAUCUGAUUAGCGAAGGGAUUAUGAUCAGUUUGUUGAAUGUUGAUCCUUAGUAAUUUUUCGUUAAUUAAUAUGCACAGCUAAAUGGAUAUGACGUGACCGAAAAUACAGCAGAUCCAGAAACCAUUUAUUAAAAAACAGUACGUGCUACACCAACCAAUUUGAUCAAAACCGAUUUCUCCAAUCGUUUCCACAACAACUCACCUCUCUUCUUUUCUACGGUAGACUCCGUACUAGCGCCUCGCUACUGCUUCUCGACGCAGCAGCUUCGACUUCUUUGUGUGUGUUCUUCUUGGCUUCUUCUACUUCCACUUCCACACUCCUUCAAACAGCAGUUUCAUUCUUGGUUGCCGGCGGAGGCGGAUAAGCGAUCGUCGCAUCGCUGCCAUUUUCGUUCGUAGCACUGAAUCUAGGACUCCCGCUGUUAUACUAACAACACCAAUAAUACCAGACUGAUUUGCCAUCAGAUCUGGUUAUCGGUCAAUCGCCAACUCGGUGCCUCGCAUUUGAGAUGCUUUGUUGAUUAGACGCCUGAGAUUUGCUGGGAAUUGCGUUUUCCAAUCAUGGCGAUCUCCAGUCCCAUCACUCCUGGCCAGGUGCGUUGCGAUUUUAGCUCUCUCCAUUGCGCUAUUGAUCUAAGCUAAUAAGAGUAGGUGUCUAGAUCUAGGGAGUUGCCUUGGACCUUUGUUCAUUGGCAUGGAUUCUGAAGAAUAUCUUGCGAAUUCUCGAUCACAUUCUUGUCGUAGAUUCUUGACAGUGCAUGCUAGCGAGCCGGUUUCGGAUUUGUAAUUAGUGGAAAGUUUAGAACUAGAUAUAUGGUUGGUGUGUUGAUUCGGCUAUUAAGCUCGGAGUUUGUAAUUUGCAGGUCGCAUUUUUUCUUGGAAUUGUACCAGUAUUUGUUGCGUAUAUUUACUCGGAGUUUCUGGAGUACAAGAGAAAAGGCGUAGUCAAGGCGUAAGUUCAAACUCGUAUUGUGUAAUUCCAGCUCAAUUAUCCGUAUAACGUCUGUCUCAUUGUGUGCUUAUUCAAAAUCACUGAGGCGCUCAUGGCAUUGAUGUAUUAACAUCUCGCUAUAUCUGUUUUUCUUUCUCAUGUUUGGUGUGAUUGAGUUUGGAUUACUUCUAGUAGGCACUCUGAUAUCAAUUUAGUUGAAGUGGGAAAUGAAACCGUGAAAGAAGAAGAUAGAGCUGUUCUAUUGGAAGGAGGAGGUCUUCAAUCCGCAUCUCCUAGAGCUCGCACUUUGCAUACCUCGUCUCCCAUAUUCAGGUAAGUGAAGAAUGUGUACCAAUUGAUUCUUUUUUAGAGGAAGCUGUGACCUUUUUUAGAGGAAGCUGUGAUGAUCUCUUUGGAACACAAUUAAGUUUCUCCCUUUUUUAGAGGAAGGCUGUGACCUUUUUUAGAGGAAGCUGUGAUGAUCUCUUUGGAACACAAUUAAGUUUCUCCGUGUUCUUACUUGUUAGGUUUUUUCUGAUGGAUGAGCAAUUUCUGACAGAGAACCGUUUGAUUCUUAGAGCCAUGUAAGUAUAUGGAUACAGAUUGAGGACCAUAUGACUAGGCAUUAAUCUUGUGUAUGAUAUUUUACAUUUUCAUGACCACUUCUAUCUUGUGCAGAUCUGAGUUUGGUUUUCUUUUGGUGUACUUUUACCUAUGCGACCGUACUGAUGUCUUUGGAUCGUCAAAAAAGGUGUUGCCGCUAGCUGAAUACUUGUCCUGCCCUUUUUUGUUCAACAAAAUCUCUUCCCAACUUCUGGAUGCCUUUCUCAUCGAUAUAUACCGAUACCGAACUGGCCUGACUGCACCUACCGACUCUCUUGUCUUCGUGAAGGGGGGAAACAAUGAAAGAUGAUAUUUUCACAGUUGAAACUUAGAGAAUGUGUUAAUUCCCUGCUAGUUUUGCUUAUGCACUACCUUUCACCUUUGCCUUUUUUGCAGACGUACAAUCGCGAUCUUUUCUUGUUUCUGUACUUUCUUCUCAUCAUCGUGUCAGCAGUCACCUCUUUCAAGAUACAUCAUGAUAGGUCACCAUUCUCUGGAAAGUCCAUCCUUUAUUUGAAUAGGCACCAGACUGAGGAGUGGAAAGGAUGGAUGCAGGUGUGUUUCUUCCUUUGCAGCCUUUUUUAGCUUGUGGAUAUUGCAACAAUUUCUCGAUGCUUUGUUUAUUUCUUAUGUUCGUUCAAGAAUUACAGGGAACUCAUUUGUCUUCCUUUAAUUGGCAGGUCCUAUUUUUGAUGUACCAUUACUUCGCUGCAUCAGAAAUAUAUAAUGCAAUCAGAAUGUUUAUAGCUGCGUAUGUCUGGAUGACUGGGUUCGGGAACUUCUCAUAUUAUUACGUGCGCAAAGAUUUUGGUCUUGUGAGGUUUGCCCAGGUAUUGUAUUCUUCAAAUUGUAUAUAUUCCUAUCUGGUUUAUCUUACUACAAGCUGUUUCAAGUUAGAAGUUGUUGUUUGGCAGAUGAUGUGGAGACUGAACUUCUUGGUGAUAUUCUGCUGCAUUAUACUCGACAACAGUUACAUGCUAUACUACAUUUGCCCUAUGCACACUCUUUUCACUCUAAUGGUGUACGGGGCUCUUGGUAUCCUGCACAAAUACAAUGAAAUUGGGCUAGUCAUUGGUGCAAAAAUCAUUGCAUGCUUCUUGGUGGUUAUUUUGAUAUGGGAAGUUCCUGGAAUCUUUGAUAUAAUCUGGGGCCCAUUCACGUUCUUUCUUGGUUGGUACCUCAUAUUUUGUUUCAUGUCGUUACAUAGCACGGUACUGGUCCUUCUACCUAACAAUGCUAAAAUGUUGUAGGUUACACCGAUCCUGCAAAACCUGACUUGCCUCUGUUGCACGAGUGGCAUUUCCGCUCUGGCCUUGAUCGUUAUAUCUGGAUAAUUGGAAUGAUAUAUGCCUACUAUCACCCAACAGUGAGUUCUUCUCUAGUUUGCGAGAGAUUCCCAAUAAAUUUUGGUCUUCUAAUUUUGUUGAGUGUUUUCAUUAUGACCGCAGGUAGAAAGGUGGAUGGAGAAAUUGGAAGAAAUGGAAGUGAAACGCAAAUUUUCCAUUAAAGUCGUUGUGGCUUCUAUCGCAAUGACGGUGUGUAUUGUUUUUUCUCCCUACCCUUUCUCUCUGUUUGUGUUUUCAGUACACUGACCAGCUUCCUUAAAAUUCCUAGGUUGGGUACCUGUGGUAUGAAUACAUAUACAAGCUGGACAAGAUUACUUACAACAAAUAUCAUCCUUAUACCUCAUGGAUACCAAUAACGUAAGUACCGCUGUCCUAAGGGUUCAUAUUUGAAUCUUAAAAGAUUAUGCUAAUUGAUUCUUUUUGUGGUUGUUAGUGUAUACAUCUGUCUGAGGAAUGUCACCCAGUACUUCCGGAACUUCAGUUUGACCCUUUUUGCGUUAGUGAUAAUCUUGCAUCUCUCUUUUCUCCUUGUUUUUGGGUUCUUUUGCAUUUGUAUGUAAUGAGAAUUGGUUUCCACCUGUCUUGUUAAUUAGAUGGCUUGGAAAGGUGACUUUGGAAACAUACAUUUCUCAGUUCCACAUCUGGCUAAGGUUUGUCGGACCGCACAUGUUUGUAAAUUGAGUGGACGGUGCUUUGAAAAAUUCACACUACUACAUUUGCAGUAAUUUGAUUUUGCCAAUGAACUUGCAGAUCAAGCAUUCCAGAUGGUCAACCAAAAUUGCUGUUAUCUCUGAUCCCCGAGUACCCAAUGCUGAACUUUAUGCUCACCAGUGCAAUAUACGUUGCGGUACGCAUAUUGUGAUAAUGCCUAGCUAUAUAUUACUCUAAGGUGUAAGCUGAAGUUAGUACCAAGGUGUGAGCUGAAGUUAGUAAGUGCUUUUAUUGCUCUUGUGCAGGUCUCUUACAGACUGUUUGAUCUGACUAAUACAUUGAAGAUUGCCUUUGUGCCCAGCAAAGAUAAUAAGCGACUGGUAUACAACAUAGUAACAGCUGCAGUGAUCUCCAGUGUUUUGUACACGCUGUCGUUCGUACUCUUGAGACUUCCGCAGUUGAUGGUAAGUGUGUCCGAAACGGCGUAAUUUAUGAUCACGAUUUUUUUGUUCCUACUGGAGUAUGCUGAUCUCAACAUUAAAAUUGCAGGUGUGAAGCUGAUGCAAAAUUAAAGAUAAAAUUAUCUAUUUGUGUUCAAAUUUGAACUGGUAAAGAGGAAAGUUUUAUUGCUUGCUAGGAUGGUAUUGAAUGGGGUCUUACCGGGAAGAUUUUGUACCAAAUGUACAGAGAGAGAGAGAGAGAGAGAGAGAGAGAGAGAGAGAGAGAGAGAGAGAGAGAGAGAGAGAGAGAGAGAGAGAGAGAGGGUAAAAAGGUUGAAUUACAGAGAUGACCUCCAAUCCAAGAUGGACGAGGCCCCGCGUGUAAUUCUUUAUUUUUCAGUUUUGGUUAUUAAAUUCUUCAUUACUCGAGUCUUCAGCAUUGUUAAACGACAUAUGAAAAGUUACAUGAUUUUAUUGUAUUUUCCCUUCUUCCUGUUGUGUAUCCUCUUCUUCUGAACAACAAGUCAAUGUAAUUAUUUACCGUUCUACUGCGCUUUAUGUCGGUCAUCAGCAGCGAGGAAAAUAAAUAUUAUAUACCACCAGACCAAUCAACAUUGAAUACAAGUGAGUAAACAUCAACCCUCAUCUUCACUUUGCUACCUCAACAUUAACCCACAUUACAUAACGUGCGACUCUCUCUUCUUGUAUUUGCUAUUUCAACAUUUUUUAUAUCGAAAAUGUAUUUGAAAUGUUAGACGAAGCCACUGAAUUGUCGUUCGAUAAAACUUAAAACGAAAGACAUUACUGACUAGAAGUUACUGCCCAAGUACAAGUUAGCAGUGGAUGGGACGAUGGGUACAGAACUUGGGUGAUCUCAGCUAUAGAUAUGACUGUUAUUGGCUUUGCUUCUGCGGGCUGGGAUGGUCUUGUGGCUUUCUGACAUGCUCUCUUAAUUCUUUUUCAGUUUUUAUUUUUUUGUCGAUUCGAAAAGGUUCAGUUCAUGUGUCCAUUUGUCUUGCUAGAUCUAGGAAAGAGCAACUAUUUUGGCUACUCUGCAUAUGUUUCUGGUGGCAAAACAUCAAAGUUCUUUAUAUCACUUGUACGUGCACCACUUGCUGGAUCUCUUCACGACACCUUGUAUCUAUCCAAACGGUUGUAUGUGUUAUUCGGACACAUUAAUCAAACUAAAUUUCGAUCUUACUCAAGGUUCAAAGGCCCUCGUAAAAUAAAUGUGACAGUCAUCUGUGUUUUUUUUACUUUUCAAUUUACUAGCAGGAAAGUAGGACUCUUGGACCUGAAAAUUAGAGGACGAGUGAUGAUAUACAUAGUUGAAGCUUCAUUAAUUUAUACAUAGUUGAACUUGAUAUUAACCAAUGGGGCUGCUCUGAUUUUUCUUUACAAAUGUGUGACCAAGGUGAUUCAUACCUACGCUUCCCAAAUUGCAACUUUGACCCUCAUUAUAUCAUCUCUACUUCAACAAACACUUGUAUUUAAAUGAUAUAGUUGAACCUUUCGAAUUGUCAUGACUAUUUCUAUUUUAUAAAAUAUGAAUUUUUUUCGUGAUUUGUUAUAAAACUUGUGAGUUGAGUUACUUUUUAUAUAAUUGUACGAAUUUUUAGACGAUAUGUUGUUAAGUUUUUAUUUCGUUUAGAGUUAGAACUUUUAUAUUGCAUGGUAGGAUUUUUUUAUGGUACAAACUCAGCAUUUUCAAAAAGACAGUUGACCGUUUUUUCAGACUCCUCCAUUGUUACUACUAAUGUCUCCACUUCUCCCUCAUAAGAAAAGUUAAGAUCAUAGUCAGCGUCAAAUCCACCGGAAAAGCUCCAACCAAUUCCUUCCAAACCCUGGCGAUGUCUUCAUCAGAAAUCUGUUCCUAGAAAUUAACGAAACCCCGACACACUAAACAUUAACCACUCCCGACAGAAUCUACCGGAAUUCAAUAUUCGGCCAAUCUUUUGCUAGCCGGCCGACUAAUUUGUACCGGUUCCCCUGCAACUUUUAUAUAUAAAACCUUGUGACUAUAUAAACUCGACAGUACUCCCCUCACCAGAUUCCCACAACUGAAACAAAAUUCCUCCGAAUCUUUACAGAAAAAAAAACAUUUCACUACGAAUAUGGACUCUGCCACUGAUCGACUCUCCCAGCUGAAAGCCUUCGACGAAACAAAAGCCGGCGUCAAAGGCCUUGCGGACGCCGGAAUCAAACAACUCCCCGGAUUCUUUCUCGCGCCGCCGCAUUUCCUCGACAACGGAACCCACAGCGACGAUCCAAACGACUUCGUUGUCCCAACCAUUGACCUGCAGGGAGGAGGAGGCGGCGAUCGGAAACAGGUUGUCGAUAGAAUCAGGGAGGCAUCCGAGAAAUGGGGAUUCUUCCAAGUGGUGAACCAUGGUAUUGCGGAGAGCGUACUAGAGGAGAUGAAAGCCGGAGUGCGGAGGUUCCACGAACAGGAUUUGGAGAUGAAGAAAGAGUUUUUUGGGAGGGAUCCUACCAAGACUGUUGUUUACAACAGCAAUUACGAUUUGUAUACUACGCCCGUUGUCAACUGGAGGGAUACCGUUCUGUUUCAUAUGGCUCCGGAUGCUCCGAAUCCUGACGAAUUGCCCUCUUCGUGCAGGUAUAUCGAAUCGGCGAGACUAGUAAAUUCAAAGAUAGUCCUGAUGACAUCCAUUAACGGCUGUUGAGUGUUGACGAGUCAUGUCGUUCUUGAGUGGGGUGGGAAAGAACUACUGAAAAAUUUCUUCGUUUAUAGGUUAUAUACAGACUAAGGUGAGAGUCGGUCGAGAUGGUUACAUAAUGACAGCAUUUAGAAAUAAUUAAAAUUUGAUAAAAAGUAGGUUAAUUGAUUAAUCAAUCGAUAUGAUGAUGAUUCAUCAAUUAAUCAACAAAUAAUCCACCACAAACGGUCGAUGGUGAGGGUCGGUUUCAGUUAAAAUAUGUUUAAAUAUGAAGAGAUUCUUUAUAAAAAAUUCUUAAAUUAUUACCCGAUUUAAUUAUUUUAAAUUAACCGGUUAACUAACCGAAUGAGGUCAAUUAAUUGGUUUUAAUUGUUAACUAUAACCAAAUUGUCAGCACUACUAACUCUAUUUAGAUAGGUCGUAAGCGGGUUAAGUAAGGGUUCAAUUAUGAGUUUUAACUUUUAAGACUAAAUAAAUUAGUCCACUGCAAACUUGUUAGAUUCGAGCUCAAACUUAAGCAGCUCGGCUCAUAAAAGUCGGUUUUUAUUUCGAGCUCGACCCAAACUUGGUUAUAAUAAUUAUCAAGCCGAGCUUUUCAUGGUUAUCGAGCUAAACGGAAUUUUUAACCGAAUCCAAGUCCACCAAGAAUCAGCCAAACCGAGCCCGAGUUCGGCAAAAGCUUAACUCGGCCUUGUCUCAUGAGCACCUCUACAUGUCAUAAGUCGCACCAAAUUUUUUUACAACUUGUUAUCUUUUUGGUUUGGCAGGGAAAUUGUGAUGGAAUACAGCAAGGAAUUGCUGAAAUUAUCAUAUCUACUGUUCCAACUGUUAUCAGAAGCUUUGGGUUUACCAUCAGAUUACUUGAAAGAAAUGGAUUGUGCAAAAGGGAUAUACAUGGCGUGCCAUUACCAUCCACCUUGCCCUCAGCCAGAGCUUACGCUCGGAGCAACAAAGCAUACCGACUUCGAUUUCAUCACGGUGCUGUUACAGGACCACAUCGGAGGCCUUCAGGUUCUCCAUCGAGGGCGGUGGGUGGAUGUCCCGCCUUUGCAAGGAGGUCUAGUGGUCAACAUCGGAGAUUUGCUCCAGCUGAUGACCAACGACAAGUUCGUAAGUGUGAACCAUAGAGUGGUGAGUAAGAGUGUCGGACCGAGAAUAUCGAUAGCGUCGUUUUUUAGCACCGGAUUUGCUGUGAAUGAUAGGCUGUACGGACCGAUAAAGGAGUUGGUAUCGGCGGAUGAUCCUCCGAGAUACAAGGAAACUACGAUUCAAGAUUACACAAACCAGGCUUAUAAGAAGGGAUUGGAUGGGACCUCUGCAUUGUUGAAUUUUAAGAUCUGAAACUUAUAUGUGAUGUUUAGGAAUGAAUAAUGUGUUGGUUGGUAAGGGUUUAUGCCGAGUAAAGGCGCAAUUUAAGAAUUCUAAGUAUGGAACUAUGAUGCCUACUCCUGCCAGAUCUUUGUUGUUUUACAAUUCUAAUUUUUUUGUGUGUUGUGAAUUACCCACGUUCAACAGACUACUGCAGGACUAAAACAUAAAUUACUGAAAGUUCUGGACUAAAACAGCAAACUAAAUAGAACUUAUAAAACAACUAAAUCAAACUAGAUUUUCUGAGUUUAGGACACUCUUUUUUUGUCUUAAUCGUUGGGACACUUUAGAACGUUAAAUUCUAUUUAACGGUUCAGAUUAGUGUUCUUGAUUUGAUUGAGGGGGAGACUAUAUUUUUUCCUUUUUAUAUUCUACUGAAAGUUCUGGACUAAAACAGCAAAUUAAAUAAAACUUAUAAAACAACUAAAUCAAACGACAUAAUUUUGAUUUCCAACAGUACGGAGUUUUUUCUAUAUAGGAAGAUUUUGGAGCAAAGUCAUUAUUUCAUUAUUUUCCAAGUUGUUAUUUUUUGGAAUUCAUUCUGUAAUCCUUCCGGUCGUUUAAAUUUGAAUGGAAAUCCACAAGCUACGAUUGAUCAUAACUCAAUCAAUCCAGCAAAGUCAUUAUUUCAUUAUUUUCCAAGUUGUUAUUUUUUGGAAUUCAUUCUGUAAUCCUUCCGGUCGUUUAAAUUUGAAUGGAAAUCCACAAGCUACGAUUGAUUAUAACUCAAUCAAUCCACUCAUUUUACAGACCAUUUAAAGUCAGAAUCUUAGUACACAAAAAAUCGUUUUAACACUCAUAUAAUAAAUGUAUAUAUGUAUUAAAUACGUUUAAAACUAUCAUUUUUGUAUUAUUAUAGAAUUGUUUAUUUUUCCGUUUAUUGUUACUGCCGUAAGUGUGAACCACAAAGUGCUGACGAAGAACAUCGGAUCUAGAAUAUCGGCAACUAUUGUAGUAUUUUAGCACCUGCUUUUCGGUGGAUGAAAAGCUGUACGGACCUGUAAUAGAGUUGCUAUGGGCAAAUAAUCCUACGGAGAUAUAGGGCAAACAACAAUUCAAAAUUUCACGAACCAAGCUUACAAAAGAGGGCUUGGAUGGGACCUCCUCUGCACUGCAGAAUUCCAAGAUAUGAAACUUACAGUGUGAUUUGGUAAUGAAUAAAUAUCACACAGGGAUUAUCAUUAACCAACAGCUGUGAUUUUCCUCUCACUUUUCAAGAUAUGACCUGGGAAACGAGUCAACAGGGAAAUAAUACCACAUUGCUUAACAAAGUGAGAUGUUGCUAAAAUUGGUUUGACAACUGUAAUGUUAUUGAUAAUCUUGGUAACGGCAGCUUGUCAUUCGAGUGGAGACAAUAAAGUAAUGGGACUUUAGACUUGUCUCAAAGGUUGGGCUCGAAUGGUCAAAUAUUUGGCAUGCCCGUUUUAAAGUUGGAGUAUUUUGGACUUGAUUUCUUCUGUAAAGAUCGAAGUGGCAUGUUCGGUAGAGUGGAGGGUAAUGCGUGAGGUUGGUUUCACGGAGUAGCGAUCACCUCCCUCUCUAGCCAGUGGAAGGAUGACAUGCCGGUGGCUCCCGGAUCCGCAUAGCCUGUCGGGCUUCUCAAAUGGACCAUUACUUUUUUCGACCAAAACGUGACUGGUUGGAUUAGUUAUAAAAUAAAGUUAAAUGAUGUCAAUGUUAUCUAUCCAAAACUUGAUAGAGCAUCAAUAUUUGCAACCAUUUUAUAACUGAUCCAGAACUUUUACACAUUAAAAUACAUAUAAAACUCCAAAUGUAGUAACACUGUAGCAUUAACGUAACCCAUAUUGUAUUAUUAACCAUGCUCAGAACACUGCCACAGUAGGGUCUAAAGAAAUAGCGGUAAACAGAAAAGAACAAACCAACUAACCGAACACUAAAGAAGCACCCUAUAAGCCAUUUCCUUAAUCUUUUUAGAUGGAGCUUUUCCCCAAGUGGGACAUGGCGAUGACGCCACGAGCACCAUUUGGGUAAAAUCCACCAGGAGAAGAUUCGUUGCCGUUGCCAUACACGAUCCUCAAGAUCUCUUCAGGAGUUCUCCCGUAGCCUAGUGAGAAUUCGUUACCGGCCAACACAUUCCCUCUCACUUUACCUUCCGCCCCUAAUUCGCUCGGAACCAUCAAACCUUCGUCUUUGAUCCCGUCGUUUCCCAGCUUGUUCCUCAGAAUGGAGAUCUUGUUUGUGAAUUCAGCCACUGUGAUGUCGUACGGAUGCACCUUCAUUAGCGACCUCUCGUACAACAUCGACCUUAUUACCGCGUCUUGCCCCGCUUCCACCGCCAAAAGCCCCGCUACAAGCUGCGCCCAUCCAGAUAAGAUGAUGACAUUUUGGGUUGGUUGGGAAAAAGAGAGUAAAUUAGUGCAUGACUUUCUGAUCUAGGAUAAAUUAAUGCACCAUAUUGUAAUGGGUUGGAUCCGGAAAAGCCUAUAAAAUCAGUAAAAGUAUGCCUGCACGUAAACCACGGUUAUUACUAUAGUGACAUCCAAUACGAUCUUAAGUAUAGUGGCACACCAUCCAUUAACCGAAAAAUAUAAGUCAUAUGCCGCGACUUACUAGUGAAAAGAAGUCGGUAGUGGGAUGGAUUUUACCUUUCUAGAAGACGGGCCUUGGAGUUUUGGGUUAGCACCAACGUAGCCAGUGAGCCCAACGUAAGGAACAAGGUACGAUGCUAUGAGAUAGUUGAUUGAAUUGCAGUACGGGUCAAAGGGAGGAAACAAAGGCCUCCCAAAUGCACUGUUGAUGACCUUUGCGAAAGAUUCCGGGCUCAGAUCCAACAAUGGCCUUGGAAAUCCCUUCACCUUGCUCUUUAUCGCCCUGGUGGUGAUGCACAAAAUCAAAUUAUUAUGGAAUGGAUAUCAUUAUGAAGAGCAAACUGAUGAUGAUUGAUUUUUCCAAACCUCAAGUGGCCGAUCUCUUGCCAUGCAAACUGUUCGAUGAUGUCACGGGUGAGAUGGUCGAGAUUAGCCUUGUGGGCACCGAUAGGCGGAGGGCCACCCAUGGUUAAGUUAGGGGCAUAAACAUCCAAUCCGUUCCCCAAAGCGCCAAAGAGGAAGAAUUCGGCCUCGAGGUACUCUAGAUUCAAGGGGAACUCGACCAGAUCGACGUCUGAUGGAGGCACCUUGCUGGCAAUGGUAGACGGAGCGUAACUGUCGCGGUGAAACACGCGAGACGAAUGUGAGACGGGAAGAACCGGGAACAAGCUGGCUGCGGCAACAAGCAGGAGAAGUGGCAUGGGAAGAAUUUGGGAGGCAGACAUGGGUGAAGGAUGUGUUGUUAAUUAGUGUGUGAGGAAUGAAAAAUGAAUGAGAUGGAGGUAAAGUAUUGAACUAUUUUAUAGCAGAAGGAGCUUAGGUAAGGUUUAGGUUACAUGGCAGUGGGAAGAACAAGUGUUGCUCCUUGAAUGAGACAGCAAAUUGCAAUGACGUAUGUGCCCUUUUCGUUUCGCAUUUUUGCUUCUUCCUUUUCCCAUUCAACCAAACGCAUGUUCUAAAUUUCUUGAAAAAGAACCUACUUUUAAUGUCGUUUGUUUGGUUGCACCAAGUACAUGACACUCGCAGCAGCAGCGGUUCGGUUCGGAUAUGGAUAAUUGAUGAUAUUCGUCGUAAUUUUAUAAUAGUUUGAAUAUAUAAAGUUCUUAUCAUACUUAUUUGCACCCAUCAAUUUCAAACCCAUUUACGAAUUCUAUCAUUUUAAUUUCAAAAGGUUGAAACUUUAUUAAAUCGCUAAAAAGGUAUUGUCAAAUUGCAUAGCUCGCGUAUUUUAUUAUUUCGGCUAUAAAAAGUAAAAAAGCUAUUAUACAGAUUAGAAAAAUUAUCAUAAAAGUAUUUAUAUAGGAAUUAAACGGGUUCAAAUAGACAACCAUAAUAAUCGGUAUAAUUUCCACUCCCAAUGACAUUAAUAAUGAAUCAGGUAAAUCAACAUCCUAAUUCCUACACACAUAAAAGAAUCUCAAAUAUUGCUAUCUUUGUAAAUAUCAUAAAAAAAUCUCGUGAAACUGUACAGGUAGCUAGUGAUCCACAACCGAAAUCGAGCUACAAUUGUACUCUACUAACAACCCUUUCUCAAAUUAAACUACCUUGAGGAGGGCUUAACUACUUAUUGGUUAGGUAGUAGUCGUGAUAAUAAUAAUAUAAUCUUGUGAAUAAUCAAUCAAUCGGGCAAAGGAAUUAACCACAAAAAGGAACACAAAGACGUAUAGGACUAAAAUUCGUAUGUAGCUAACUUAAUUAGUUUCCCCAUGUGAUGAGAACAUUUGGUCCAGAUAAGGCGUGCUUGCAACGGCAUCAACAACAACAACAACAACAACAACCAGAGUCCAUUGCACGAAACACCAAACUCUCUUAACUACUAAUCGGGUGGCAAAUUACCACAUUUCUAAUGCCUUUGUCUUCAACGGUUUGUUCUUUAUCUCAAAUCACCAGUUGUUUGCCACACUAAGUAAUUUCUCUAUUUAAGCCUUACCCUUUAGCAAGGGUAAUUAUGAGAUCACAACAUAAAGUUUGCAACAUGACUAUUAUUAUGAUAAUUUGGAUCGAUGGUAUUUUAGAGUAAAUUGUUGUAUAGUUUGAGAAUGUCAGAUUUUUGAAGUAUAAAAGGCUUGUGAUGCAUUGGAUUAAUGAAUUAUCCAAUGUAAUAUUUAAUAGCAAAAUUACCACAUUCUCAAAAUAUUAUAAUAUUUCAAAUAAUUUGGUGGCGGAGAGUAUUUGAAAUUAACUAAAAAAUGAGUCCUGUCGGAUAUCACAUUUCAAAAUGUCUCAAAUUUUGUUUUGGUUGUUGAUGAGGUAUUUGAAAUAUUACGAUUUUAAAUAGCAUUUCAUUUUAGUAAUAACUGGACGCUUCAGUCAAUUCUGCUAGUCCUCGUGAAAUAGGGCCGUUGAUUACAUUAUAUAACAAAAAAUCUAAAAAUAUCGAGUUCAAAUCUAACCACACUUUAUAUAUAAACACAAAUUUUAUAUUUAAUUCAUUUCCUUAUUAUAAAAUUAAUUUCGCCUAGUUUAUUUUGUACAAAAAUAAAAAAAGCCUUCCGCUCUGCUUCGCCGUUACCGUUUUAAAACUCAAGGGUGUUUCAGUCUUUCCGUUGUUUUUAGGGCUACUAAAAUUCGAAAGUAACAUUCAACCAAAAGGAAACCGCGGCCUUUCUGAGAGUUCUAGGCCUCAAGCUGCUUACAAUGAGUUUGACUGCUACUAGUAUUCAUGGAAUCCAAAAUCAUUACUCAGAGCAUGCCUAAAUUUUUGUCCGCUGUUUCACGUACUCUCCCCUGGAACAAGCUGCUUCAUUUACCUUUCCUAGAAUCCAGAGCUCAACUCCUUAUUUCUCUGCACAGUUUCCUUCUUCUGCUACUUGUAUAGCUACUUUUCUAGGACCAAUAACAAGCUCUUUCUAUGAAUAUAAGAAACCACCCGGAGAAUCUCCGAGCUCAGAAGUAGCAACGAGAUACGGCAAGUUUGAUUCUUCAAAAGAGAGGCUGAAGGACUACUCUGCAAUGCUUCGACAAUGCACUUCCAAACUGGCCCUAAACGACGGGAGGGCGGUUCAUGGGAAUCUCAUAAGGAGUGGGGUUGUGCCUGAUUCACAUUUAUGGGUUUCUUUAACUAAUUUCUAUGCCAAGUGUGAUUGUCUCCACAUAGCACGCCAAGUGCUCGAUGAAACGCCUGAACGUGGUGUUGUGUCGUGGACGGCUUUAGUUUCUGGGUUUGUCAGUAAAGGGUGCGGAGACGAUGCUGCUAAUCUAUAUUGCGUGAUGAGGAGUGAAGACGUGAGGCCCAAUGAGUAUCUAUUGGCUACUAUAUUGAAAGCUUGCUCUCUAUGCUUGGACGUGGAGCUUGGGAAGCAAGUACACGCCGAUGCAGUAAAGGUUGGCUUGUUAAGGGACUUGUUUGUUGCCUCUGGUCUUGUGGAUUUUUAUGCUAAAUGCAAUUAAAUUGAACUGGCGGAUACGGUGUUCUUUAGCAUGUCUGAGAGGAACGCGAUUUUAUGGAACGUUUUGCUCAAUGCUUAUGCUGAAAUUGGUGAUGGGAAAGCCGUUUUGAAGUUGUUUUCCCAUAUAAUGGAGUGGGAUAACAAGUUAAACAAGUUUACUUUGUCAAUUGUCUUAAAGGGGUGCGCGAAUUCCGGAAAUUUGAAAGAAGGUAAGGUUUUGCAUUCUAUAGUAAUCAAAACUGGGUACGUACUUGCUGAAUUUGUGACCUCCAGUUUGGUUGAUAUGUAUUCAAAGUGUGGAAUGGAAAGUGAUGCAUUACAAGUCUUUAACGGGAUAGAAGAUCCUGAUGUUGUGGCCUGGAGUGCAAUAAUUUCGUGUUUAGAUCAGCAUAUUUCUAACCACGAUGCAGCUGAGCUAUACAAGAAGAUGUUACUUGCAGGAGUCAAACCGAAUCAAUAUAUCUUCAGUAGCCUUGUUAGCACUGCUACCAGUAUGGGGAAUCUGCAUUUUUGUAAAGGAAUUCAUGCUUGUAUAUCCAAGUGGGGUUUGGAGAAUGAUGCGUUAGUUAGCAAUGCUUCGGUCAUGAUGUAUAUGAAACAUGGAAUUUUGGAAGAUGGUAUUCAGGUGUUCGAUUCGAUGACAGAGAAGAAUGUAGAAUCAUAGAACUACCUUUUAUCUGGAUUUUAUAACUCUAAGACACCUGAGGUAGGGCCAUCAAUUUUCCACCAGAUACUUCUAGAAGGUUUGAAACCCAACAUGCAUACUUUCGUAGACACCUUAAGGUCAUGCUCUAGUCUCUCUGAUGUGUGCUUCAGCAAGCAAGUGCAUGCUCACGUCAUAAAGAGCUGCAACGAUGGCAAUGAUUUUGUCGGAACAGCUCUUAUUGAUAUGUAUGCAAAAGGCAAAUGUCUAGAAGAUGCAGUAGCAGCUUUCAACAGAUUGGUUAAUCGGGAUGUUUUCACUUGGACGGUCUUAAUUGAUGGUUAUUCAAAAACAAAUCAACCAGAAAAGGCUUUGAAAUGUUUUGUAGAGAUGCAAAGAGAAGGUGUGGACCCGAAUGAGUUCACUGUUGCUAGCUGUUUAAAUGGGUGUUCCCAUUUGACAGCCCUGGAAGGUGGGCAGCAGGUGCAUUCUAUGGUUAUGAAAGCUGGUCAUACGGGCGACAUUAUUGUGGCUACUGCACUUGUUGAUAUGUAUGGAAAGUGUGGCUGCAUGGAAGAUGCCAAGUCAAUUUUUAUGGGUAUGGUUGUGCGAGAUUCAGUCUCGUGGAAUGCAAUAAUUGCAGUCUAUUCAUGGCAUUGUCAAGGAAUGAAUGCUCUUGACGCCUAUAGAAUGAUGCUCGAGGAAGGAUUUCUACCUGAUGAUGUGACUUUCUUGAGCAUUCUGUCUGUAUGCAGCAACAUGGGUCUAGUUGAAGAGGGGGAAAAGCAAUUUGAGUCCAUGAGCAAAGUUUAUGGAAUUACUCCUUCACUUGAGCAUUUUGCUUGCAUGGUCAAUAUUCUUGCUCGGGCUGGCCAGUUUAAGGAGGUUGAAGUCUUCAUUAAGGAACAUAAGUUGAUUACACAUGCCUUGAUAUGGGAGACUGUACUUGGAGCUUGUAAAAAUCAUGCAAAUGUUAAGCUUGGUGAAACUGCAGCUAAGAAACUCUUUGAACUUCAACCAAAGGUGGACUCUUCUCAUAUAUCUCUGUCAAAUAUUUAUGCUGCUAAAGGUAUGUGGGUUGAUGUCCAGGAAAUAAGGAGAUUGAUGUCUGCUGAGGGUGUUAAGAAGGGAACUGGCUGUAGCUGGGUGGGAAUUGAUGGUAAAGUACAUGUCUUUGUUUCUCAAGAUGGUUCUCAUCCCAAGACAGACCAAAUCUAUGCUAAGUUGGAGAAUUUGAAACAAAGGCUAUCUUCAGUUGGUUAUAUCCCAAAAAUAGAGAAUGUGCUUCAUAAUCUCGGCAAUAGAGAGAAAAUGGAACAUCUCUGGCAUCACAGUGAGAGACUAGCUCUGUCUUUGGCCCUGAUAAGCACCGCUCCUGAGAAGCCGAUACGUAUUUUCAAGAAUCUACGGAUAUGUGAGGACUGCCAUGAGGUUAUGAAGAGUAUAUCAGAUAUUACAGAUCGAGAAAUAGUUAUGAGGGACGUCAAACGCUUCCAUCAUUUUAAGAUGGGGACUUGCUCUUGCCAAGACAAUUGGUGACUCUCGAUGUCGGAAAAAAGGAUGCUUACCACUUUAGAUACUUAGCCAAGCAUUUCUUCAAGUCUGCAGACUUUGCUACUGGCAAAUCCUUAUCAAUGAUAUGUAAGAGAUCUGAAAACGUUAGAAGCACAUUCAGAAUUAUGCACCUUUUUUCUUGCUUUCUGAUCGCGUGCCUCUUAAUUGUUGUUUGUGUCCUUUGGUUUUUCCCCAGGAUGCUCGCUAUUGCUGUCUUGCCCUAGUUUUCGACUUCGAUAACGCACAGCCUUGGCACUACUGUGGAUGUUCUCUCUGCUACCGAGGUGCUGCGCCUAACCAGGAAUGGUGUUGGUGUGAUGCACACUUUUCCCAUGAAGAGGAUCAUACUAAGCGCGGUGAGCUAUGAACUUCAUUUCCAUUACUGGCUUGGAAUUUGGUGUUGGUGUACAUCUCUGUUGACUUUCAUGGUUGGGCUGGUUACAGUUGUUUAUGUUACACGGUUUCCCUUGCUUAUUUGUUCUCUUUACUCUUUUGUGGUGAGUCUGUUGCUGCAUUGUCUAGCGGCCAAACAAUACUGGUGCCUUCGCGAAGCCUGAACUCCUCAAAGCAAGCAGUCCGCCACCUGAAAAAAUAGGUGCACGUACGUUGGCUCAUCUACUUGCAUUUCAUAUAGUCAUGUGCCGGGUUCGAUUCCUUAGUUUGUGUUCUCUUACUUUUUUCCUCAGGGUUGUUGAUGCUCAGCAGUUUCAAGAAUCUGCAAGUGGCCGUGUCAAACUGUAAACCUGAUUGGUUUUUGGCCGAGCAUGGUAAACACUGUUUCCUAUCUCAACAGACUAACUUUCUGAUAUCCGCCCCGGCUUCUGGUUCACCGAAUUGUAGCCAUGGAGUUGAGUUGCGAUGAAUUACAACUGUUCUAUUAUCAUAAUAUUCUUGCUUAUAAAUUCUGUUUUUCGUUUGCAAGUGAAACAAGUCUUAGAUAAACUUGCACGUGCAUGCUGAAGUGGCUGCUUUUUUUCUGCUGAGCUGAUUAAGAUGCUAAGUGCAGUGGAACAUCGGUCCCAUGUUGCUGGAAAUGAAGAGUUGUUGGCCCUGCAACCAAACAUGUAUUUAUUUAUUUUUUUGCACACAGAAUGAUUAUAUCAACUACUUGAUCACCAGAACAGAACUUGAUUUUGGUCAUUCUGCCAGUUCAUCUCCAAGAAGUCGAGCAACAGUGUCAAGAACUCGAUCUAAUAAACCAUAGAGAUACAAAAAUGAUCUCAAUCAUCAGUUUGCCACACACUGCUAAUUAAGAAAAACUCUGUUGCUAUUAUAGAUAAGAGAAACCAGAAGGUGAAAUAAUUGAGCAUACUUUUGUGUUUACUAUUUCACUUCACUGCCUUCUUUCUUCCUACACCACAAGGAAAAGGAAGAUUGAAAACACUACUACCUUCUUACUUUAUCAGCCACCUCAUUUCUUCCUUUCGAUUCAGCAAUCGAAUUCGCACUCUUCAUCUUCUUCCCAUUACCACUUCCUUCCCCCUCAUCAUCGUCAAUGUUCACAAUCACAACGCCAUCUUCAGCCUCUUCAUCAUCACCCUCCUCCUCCUCCUCAUCGUCAUCAUCAUCCUCUUCGUCCCAAUCCUCAUCAUCAUCGAACUCUUCAUCAUCAUCAUCAUCAUCAUACUCACCCUCCUCAUCCUCCUCCUCGUCAUCAUCUUCAUCUGAAGCGUCCUGUUUGAGAGUAUGGAACUCUAGCGGAGGAGGGUCAUCCUGAGUGAUGGCUUUAUCUCGUUUGAUGACAAGGUGUCGGAUAACCCUCUCGUCCUUGUCUAGCAGAGUCUUGAACUCGUUGAUCCACUUGGCUUCCAUCUCGAAAUUCAUCAGAAUGUAGUGAGCAUUCCAGGCUUUCUGGAUCCUGUACGCUAGCCUUCUCAUCCCCCAGUCGUUCAUCCUCCACACCUUGCCUUUCUUCUCCCUCAAAAAAUCUAACAACAAAUCAAUAUUACAACACUCUGGUUUCAACAAAUUGAAGGAAUUCGUUCAAAACAGUCACCUUGAACCUUCUCGUUCACUUUGUCAACUUCCUCCUCAUACAUCUCGUGGAUUAGAUAAACCACUUCGUAAUGCCGCACUGUGUAAGUAAAGAUGAACAACAUUCAGGAAUGUGCAGAGCACGAAAAAUUACACGAAAACAGACGUAGAAGAAGGAAGCGUAAGUACAUACUCCGGUCCACAUCCAAACCACUUUGAAGCUCCAGGUUCAGAAAAUCGUACAGCUUUUCUGCAAAAAUCAAAAUUAAAAUUUUAUCACGACAAAGUUCAGAAAGUCCUUCAAGAUAGGAAUAGGGAUUGAGAAGUUUUCACCUUCUUCAGCGUCAGCGAAUUCGGGGAGGACACUACCAUCUUCCUGCACCUUCUUCUGAAAUUCGUAAAACCUCAGAGNNNNNNNNNNNNNNNNNNNNNNNNNNNNNNNNNNNNNNNNNNNNNNNNNNNNNNNNNNNNNNNNNNNNNNNNNNNNNNNNAGAAAUUGAAGAUGCCAGAGUGGCUGCUGCUACCGGCUACUUUCCGGUUGGGAAGGUUUGGAUUCGGAUAAGCCGCUGAGGAGAAGUGACAUAGCGCUUCCAUUUCGACGGCAGCCCGCACUGACUGCGUUGAUGGAUUGAUGAUACCAGUAGUAAAGGAGGACGACGCCACGCGUCGUUUUCCCAGAUUUAUUUUUAAUAGAACCACUUCGCUACGUUCACCGCCGAACUACCAUUUUCUGGGGGUAAAACGGAUCACUUCGCAACCGAGUCCCGACAAGUAUUGGUUAGCAUGCAUGCAACUGCAGACGAUCAUCAUUCAGCCAGAACCUGCUUUCAGUGUCGGACAGUGAAGGAAUGCCAUAAAACUUUGUUCAACAACACGAGAUAUUAAAAUACAAUAAUUUUCUACAUAUAUAAAUUUUUAUCGAAGGAAUAUUUAAAAUUCUCUUCCAAUAACAGACUGUUAUAAAAAUGUAACGAUUUUCUGUAUACAUAAAUUUUCAUCGAAGGAAUGCUAUAAAACUCUCUUCCAACAAUAAAAUGCUAUAAAACUCUAUCCCUGCUAUAAAAUGUAACAGUUCUCCACAUAUACGAAUUUCCAUCGAAGAAAUGCUAUAAAACUCUCUCCCAAUAGCGGAAUGCUAUAUAAAUGUAACGGUUCUUCACAUGUACAAAUUUCCAUCGAAGGAAUGCUAUAAAACUCUCUCCCAAUAAAAAAAUGCUAUAAAACUCUCCCAACAAUAAAAUGCUAUAUAAAACUCUCUUCCAACAAUGAAAUGCUAUAAAACUGUAACGGUUUUCCACAUAUACGAAUUUCUAUCGAAAAAAUGCUAUAAAACUCUCUCCCAACAACAAAAUACUAUAAAACUCUCUCCCAACAAUAAAAUGUUAUAAAACAAAAAAAAUUUACUUUCCAAAAUCACUUCGACAGAAUCUAAUAAAAUGUUAUAAAACAAAAAAUUUCACUUUGGCAAAAUCUAACUUUUUCACCCGACCAAACUUUUCCACAUGCCAAACCAACGUCAAACUAGCUCUCAAUAAGGAAAUCAGCAUGAGUAAAUGACACUUGAAUUAAAACUACUCUUUAUAACUCUACUCCUCACCAUCACCGCUGAUUACAAGAUGUAUAAGGAAGAGGCUGGUUAGGCCAUAUCCAACUCCCAGAAACAAAGGUAUCUCACUACCCUGAGACCUUCCAUUGCAGUAAACUUAGAAGGAAAUCAGGAGGAUUUGAAUACAGCAACCCUCUUCUUACCUGUUCAUUAAUCAAAGCCCACAGGGUCCUAUGAAAAACAGGCUUAUACUCCCCGCUAUUAACUAUCCUUACUCCUCUCCCAUUUACCACUUCUUCCCCCUUUUCUUCUUCUUACUACUAUUACCACUGCCCCCGCUCUUCACACCAUUUCCGGCUGCCUUGGAAGACGAAGGGGUCUCUGCAGCUGAUGCUCCUCUACCGCCAACGUUGUCAAACGCUCCUGACUGCAUCGCGUUCUGAAACCAUUCGAAGAACUCUUCCUCCGUCAUUGUUUCUUCCAUGUUAGCUGGUGGAGGCGGCAUCCGGCUGUUCUUUUGUCCUGAACUUGUGGAGCCCUUGGUGGUGCUGGUAUGUUUAGAUGUUAGGCUAGUAUUCACAUGGAAACUAGGUUUGUGGGUGUUUGCUGGACAUCUCAUUCCCUGUUAACAGCAGAGUUCCAAAAGGGGUAUUUAGCAUUUGUCAGUUAUUAAUUAUACAACUCGACGAAAUCACUCUUGUUUCUCACCUGGCAAUUAUACCAGUCCGUAGCAUUGUAUAUCUUGCUGUCUGCGCAAACAUAUGCAAAAGGGGCUUCCACCUGCAAAAAAAUGUACAUUUCUCCGCGCUGUUAAUUGCUUGAACCACUAUAUCUACCAAGUGAUGGGAUAACUCUGAUAAGCUCUUAAAAUAUCUUCUCAGAUACGCAACAAAAAAGGAUAAGCCGAUAUCAUACACAAGGAAGGACAUUCAAUAGAGAUGAGUAAUCGGGUAAACAAAGAAGGGAGUGCCUGGCUGCCGAUGGAGUCUAUGCUUAUAAUCUUCAGAUAGGUAAACGAUGUGAGACGAAACAUACCUUCUGGAGUAAUCCGAAUAACAAAGGUUGUGCAGAUUGCUCAACCCACCCAUCUCCAUCUUUUGCUGGAUGAAAAUCUUUGCAUUCCUAUGGAAGUGGAAACGAUAAGAAGGCAUACAACAGAGCUUACUCUCUUUAAUGUUGAAACAUAGACUUAGACUUAAUUUAAGCUUCAAGACUAUGAACAGUUCACGACAAAAGUAUUACAAUCCAAAAAGGUUGGCAGAAGCAAAAACCUGACACCAUCUUGCUCGAGCUUUUGGUUUUGCUGUAUACACCCAGAUAUGAAAGUUGCCACACCUUUUGCAGGCAAUUCGUCUUGAAUCUCCAAAAGGAUCAUCGCCAUCGGCUUCUGAAAAUGAAAAGCCAGGCGGGAAGGGGCCAUGCUCUCCAUUCUAAGGAUUUAGAGAAGUCAAAUGCAAAACACAACACUCAGGAUGAAUAUAUUUACAGAUCAAGAUCGCUUAUAACUGACAAACUGAAGUGAAAACAAUGAGCUCUCAUUUUUUCAUAAUCUUUAUCUAGAAGGAGACCACAAAACCUCAAAUGGCAAAUCAACCCAAUGAUUCGAGAACCAGUCAGGCAUCUUAAGAUGACUAGAACAAGUAAUGACGAAAAGACAGAUCUAUUCAUACCUUUUGAGAAUUACUAUGAAACCUUCGGAAAUAGUUUAUCAAUUCUUCCCUCCGCAAUUCAUCAUCAUAGGCCUUUUGUUUUGAGGAUUCAAGUAGUACCUAAAAGGGUAUGAUCAUAAUGAGAGCGAGUGAGGAACUCACACACAAACAAGCUUUAAGUGAUGCAUAACCCACAUUUACCUCAUACGCGUUUUGAAGUUUUUUAAAGGCUUCUGCUGCCUUAUCAUUUCCCAUGUUCUUAUCAGGAUGAACCAGCAUUGCCUGAAGAUAAAUCCCAUAAUACAAACUGUUUAUAACAACCCAAAUUUAUAAUAACCAAUAACAAGAAUCAGGAAGUAAUAAAUCAGAUUUUAAAAUUAGUAAGAGUAAUUUCUUAAUGAUUUAACCGUAUAAGUAAAUGCAUAUCCACGAACAGGCUCUAAUAUGGGAAGUUGUAGAAGAAGGUACGAAGGACUUAGAACAAUACCUUUUUCCUAUAUUCUUUCUUCAGUAAAGCAAUGUCCACGUUUUCAUAGCGAGACAAUCCCAACACGGAGUAGUGAUCAGUGCAGUUCAGCAACCGGAUAACCUCGUCUUCAGAACUUAACUCCGAAUCUGUCCCACUGGUUGAAGCCACACCAGGGCUGCGGUCUUCUGAUGCACCAGGCACAGACUCAGUGAAUCCAGGUUGGAAAGAUUCACUAUUAGAGAAGUUUGGAAUAUCUUGGGGUCCUGCUGAAUUCUCAAAAGAUCCAUCAGACCUUCUAUGCCGGUGAAUGUUAUUCUUUAAAAAGUAAAUCAAAAUGUCACUCGAGAUAAAAGCCAAAUUCAACGCCAGAGGUAAACCAAGCCAUCCGACAUAUCCCCAUGCACAGUAUACUGAGUAAGUAGUGGCGAUUAGUAAAGCAAGACUUUCAUGGCUUGAUAAGAAUGUUAAACCUGAAGAAUGGCAGGGGAAAGUAGGUCAGCAUCAAGAUAGUGAGCUAAUAGAUGAGACAGAUUAAGUACAAUUCAAGGUAAUUACCAGAAAUUGCAGUAAUGCAAACUGUAGUCCAAAAGCUUCCAUAACACCAUAGGAAAGCAGUAGCAGAAAUGGCAACAAUCAAUAGCCCAAGGGUAAACCCUAUGAAAAGUCCCACAGCUGCAGCUAACCCCUGAACAAUUUGACAUUUGGUGAGGAUUACAGAAAAUAGUGACAAAGAUAAUGAUGAAGUCAAAUUUCGAUAACAGCAAUGCCAGAGUACAUUACUAAGAUUACUAAGCGUAUUGAUGACUCAGACUGGUAUAGCCUAGCGACUCAGCCUUAUUACUAUGCAUACUAAUGACAAUUCCAAGUAUAAUCAAGACUGACUUACCAUGACAAUUAGAAACUUGGAUAUGCCGGCCAUGGCAAUAAUAGACAGAAUGCUGCACCAUAUAACUGAGAAAAAUGAUGUUGUCCCCAUCCGUAGAAAGGAAUCAAUCCCUCUUGCAGUGCAGUCCAACCAAACCACUGAUAAAAGGAUUACAAUAUUCCCAAGAUGCGAAAGCCAUUUCAAUACAACGGGAUAAGCUACGUCAAACUUCUGUCUAGCAUAAUCACGGACAUCAGCUAGGUUGGUGGCAAGGCCAAUAAGCAAUGGCCUCUGCUUUUCAAUCCACUCACCUACUGCCUUCGACAAAUACAAAGUUGAUGCUCUCAGGUUUCUGGCAGCCAUGUUUCCAGAAAAGUCAACAUUAUCCAUAAAAUUUUUAAGGUGAAAGCGAUUGAUCAAGUCUCCAGGUAUAUCUGCCCAGUUUGUUGGACCAUUUGCUGUGCCAGUUCCCUCAUGUUCUUCUCUCAACCUAGUACUUUCUGCAGAAGCAUUGAUGGGAUUGUUCAAACUAACACCACGGGUAACUGAUUCCUCUACUUCAUGACCUCCAUUUGCUCCUUGCUUCUCUUUCUUUUGAGACUUCCCAGACUUCUGUUGCUUCCUGUUCUCAUCUCCAACAUGUGUUGUUUUUACAGCAUCCGUACUAGGAAUAGCUGGCUGAUCACCAUUCAGGAGACCCUCUCCAGGAAAAACCUUCGCUUGACUAGCUUUACCUUGCACUUUCACCUCCGAGUCUGGAGUCUUUUUCUUAUGAUUAGGCAUUCCAUUCUUCUGUUGGCUCCCUUUGCGAGCCAUGACGCUAUUAGCACACUUUUGUUCCUAAAAGAAGUAGCUUACUAGUGCCAAAUACUCAUCUCGCAACACCUACAACCGAAUUGAACUUUUCAGGAGGACUUCAAAGAACCUCAAUUCCAACGCCUUAACAAACAAAUUAAACAACCAAUAGGUACUUGGUAGAGAAAACCAUACUGAAUAGAAUGAAACAAACUAUUAAGCAUACACAAAAGCCAUAUUUCAUUCACUCAGUAUAAUACUACUUGAUUCUGCAACAAAGCAAGUGGCAUAAUAGUUUGAGGACACGCAUUUGAUUCAAGUGAAUGGGCUAGUAAUUGGCAACGACCACUCAGAGAAGCGCCUUGGAGCAAAAUGAGGCAACGCAUGCGCCUCCAAGUUCGAUACGAUGAACUAACUUCCAGUUUCUUUUUGCAAGUUCCUCAAAAAAAAAACGUGGGCAGUGCCAGAAAUGAAUUAUUGGAAGCAUAAAGACACAGACACCAAAAUUACCUCGAAGAAUCUCGAGCAAAAGCCCUAGAAAUGACAGUCAAAGAGAAAAGCUGAUCAUGACGGUAAUCAACCCCGAACAGCUAGUCGCUGCUGCUUCCUCGUCGGUGUGAGCAUCCGGAUGCGUUCCUAUGACUAUCUGGCGGCGGAGAAAAGAAAGAGAGCAGAAUCGCCGUCGGAGGAGCUGCGGAAUCGGAAGAAAAGGGAGCGGUAGGUCCAAGAAUCUGAGAGCGGGGGCGUCAAACUAGAGGAGAGAAGGGAAAGGAGUGUGGUAUUGGUUGAUUGAUUGGAGAACCGUUCGUUCGUAAGGAAUCAAAGAAGAAGAUUAAUGGAGGAAAAUGGGGGGCUCGGCGAUCAAAUUGGAUUUUGGGGGGCGGAGUGGCAGUGGCUGGCUGCGUCUCUAUCUAUCUUCUUAUGGCUUUAAGAUUCGCAAACUUUUCUCGGUGAUAUUACUACCCGCCCAUUAUUAUGUUUUGUCCUUUUUUUACUAAUUCCAACCAUACAAUUAAUCAGUAUUUAUUUACCAAAUAAUAUACAAUGUUUUGGACUAUUUUUCGCAAUUCCAGUUCAGUUUUUCAUUUCUUAUUUUCUUAGUUCGAUUAAUAUUAUUCAUUUAAAAAAAUCAAGAAUACUAGUAAAUCGUAUAAUUUUUUCUAGUUCCGGGAUAAGAUAGUUUUAUGUAAAAAAGAAUAUUAAGACUCCGCUAGUGAGAUAAGAUAUAGGGUUUAGGGUUACAAUGUUAACGACUUUGUCCAUGUCGAAUCAACAGUGGAGUAGUCAAUAGCUCGACCAGAAGAGCAAAUGACCAUGACUAAAGAAAUGCAUAAACACCAAUUCGACAUCCUUUUAAUAUCGGCCGCAAUCAAAUCAUUAAGGACACACCAUCGAAUAGUAUAUCUUUAAACAAGUAAUUCAAGAACAAAUGAAUCGAGAAAGACAGAAUAGGAUAAAAGUUAUCGAAAGUUACUCAAAGAACCAAUCACAAUAUUUUGGUUUGUAGAAAAUAAAUGAGCAUCGUUAUUUGAACAGAAAAUACAUAUGUACAUUUGCAGACUAGAUUCAUCCACAAAGACAAGCACAGGUUAUUUAUUUAUCAUGGCCAGAAUCAAGGUUCAGAAUACAAAAGGAAGAAACCAAUACACAUGAAAGGGAGCAGAAACAGCAAACAGCCUUGCCUUGUCAGUAGUCAACUAAUCUGAACAAACAACAUGAGGCAGGGCAAGGCAUGGUGACUAUUUCCAAACCAAUCGGUUUCGUACAAAUACUCCGGGAUUCGGACUUCAAUUCCAGCAUAAUUUACCUGCACUUCAUUAAAUCUGAAAGCUUUCUGUACACAAAGAUAAGAGAGAGGGGAGAUCCAUCUAAUCUCAGUUGCAAGGGAAGAUGGUACUUCGAAAAGCAUGGGCCGAGAACCACAGCGGGAAUGGAGAGCUACUGGUUUGCAAAGAAUACAUCUCUUUCCACACCCUACUCUUCCUAUUGUAAACCAGCACCUGCUUAUGACUUGCCAUGAACACAAACUCGCUCGUCUGGCUAAUCGGAAAGAUCCCCGGAACCAUCCCUCUAAUACACCUCAAGCUCACUCUAUCCACAACACUCCACACUUCGCUCUCGUAAUUCUUCAUCGCCCAUAUCUUCAUCCAAGCCUCCGAAAUCUGGACCACAGACAAACACCCGCCCAAUUCGAGCAGAUAAACCCUGUUCCCAACCCCAUAACUCACCUCGUCCGGCAACGAAAUCUUCCUCCACACUUCACAUUCGACAUCAAGCGCAAGGACGAACGAGCAGCUGCCGGUCAACCAAUGCAGCGAACCGUUCACAAACACGACCUGAUUCCUGUUCAUGUGAGUGAAAUGAUCGUCCUGGAUUGACACAAACUUCCUCCAUCGAUUCGUCUCAGAAUAGAACACGAAGCACACAAACGUCCCGUCCGGUCUAUGGCCGAACGUCCGGUGAAAGAAUGCCAGUACCACAUUGAACUUCUGCGACGAUAAAUCACAUCCCAAACCAACCAAUGUCGGAUCGCUAUCGGGGUAAAACCUAGUAACCUGUCUUUCUCUAGUUCUGGGAAGCAUCCUAACCUGCCUAGUCACAGGAUUGCAGACGUAAUACAAACCUUUAUCGGGAACGCAAGAGCAACAAAGCAAGCCGUUACAGGAGGCUCUGAUUUUGACGCGAUCGCCCAGGAAAUCAAGGGAGAGUUCGGAUACGCCGGCUAGGUUAUCGACACAUAUUAGGCUGGACUUGGAUUUCGAUUCGGAAGGAUCCGUGACGUCUACCAGAACUUUGGAAUUCUCGACGGCUAAUCUGUUGUAGAGUUGGACGAAAUACUUAUCUGUGGAUAGCGAGUACCACCUUCUGGAAACCGCUCUGGCUUGGAACAAUGAUUUCACGGGGAGUCGAGAUAGGAUUUGGAGGAUGACUUCGUCCGGGAAGAAUUCCUCCGCCAUUGUUGUUGUGGCGGUGUUGUUUAUCAAGUGAUUUGGGGGUUUAGGGAUCGGGAAAUGGGAAUGAUUGGGUGAGGUUAGAGUGUGUUAUGAUCCAUGGUGAGGAAUCGGCAUGAAAACGAAAGUGGAGGACGGAGAGGUGGGAUUGUUGAUGUCGGGUUGGGGAAAUUGGGUUCGGGUUGAGUCUGUCGUCGUUGUUCAUCCAAUCAAUGGCAGAACAAAACACUGGAAUAUCUCUGAUCCGGAUUCGCCUGAAACUGGAAAAAGGAAGGUGAGCAAAUUCGGUAGUGGUUACGAUGGACGGCUGGGAUGUGGAUGACCGACGAUGGGCCUUUUGGGCUUGUUUUGGACCCCUGAGAGGGAGGAGCUUUUUGGGCCUUUGGGCGGACCACAAACUUGUGUCCCCCAUUCAUUAAUGGGCAAUGGAAUUAGAAAACUACAACAAAAAUAUGGAUUAUACGGCGGUAAAUAUCCAAUACUGUUCCGGAACUCCUAGAUGUGAUAUUCCUAUUGUUGAUUUUUAUUUAUUAUUUCGAGAUAGACGGUAAAGAAAUAUAGUGUUGGUUUGGUAAAAAAAUCGUUGGUAAUUGUGUUGUGUAACUUUUUGAUAUAUUGUUGCAUGAGGGUCAGGUCCCGGACGGAUCUCAAGCAGAGGAGGGUGAUGAUGUUGUCGAUCGAUGUUGUACUUGUAAAUAGAAUUAAGGGACUUGAAUUGUGAGGUUUAGCCAUAUGGAUCUCCAUGCUUUUUGAGACUAUGCUGGUUUUGUGUGCUCCUCGUAGCGAGAGAGUUGAGGAUCCGGGUUAGAGAAAUGGCCAGAGGAUACGUCAAAUUCCUCGAAAUUGAAUCCGUCAAUCGAGACAACGCUGCUGGGACUAGGAUGUUAGGCAUGAGGGCGGAGCAACCCUUGUGAUUCUUCCCACGUUACCUGAAGUUGAAUCAAAUCGUCACUUUCCAGUUUCAGGCUCUUGCCGUAGGUUUGGCAGCAGUAGCUUCAUCUAAUUUAAAACAAUGAAGUAAAGUGACUGAUUAAUUCACCAUUUAGGAUUAAUUAAUAUGCAAACAUACCUCCUGAAACUCAGACCCGAUGGUUACCUGUUCCAAAGCCGCCUGGCACGGAGGAGAUGAUGUUUCCGAAUAUCGAGCAACGCAUCGAACCUGCCACAUCAGCACUAGGCAACCGAAGCUGAGAUUCGGUCUCAACUAGUAAUCGCUUAACAAACGGAGCAUUCCAAUACCAAAUUGAUCGGAACUUUGAGUCGAGUUCCACAUCCUCACAACAACAAACCUUCAGCUCGAUCAGCCCUGGGCACCAUGUCGUUCAAGUUGACCCCGAGUCUAACCGCGAAUAGUCCGACAGUCAUAGGAGGGGGAGCAUGCAUCAGGCAGCAGCCGGCGAGAACCAGCUUGGUCCAGUCCAUGACUGGUUGAGACCUUUGAUCCAUUACAAAAUCGUGUGUUAUAUAUCACCCCGCAAAACAUUUGUUGAUACAACUUAUUAACAAAACACAAUAACAAGUUAUAGUUGUAUAUUCAUGGGAUGUUCAGCCCACAAAGCUAAAAGAUCAUGUUCUGGAUUUAGGUUGAUAUAUAUUAAACGAACCGAUAGACUCUCGAGCUCGUUGAACCAGUCUCUAGAGCCGAUUCAAAGGGCUUAAUUAGUGAUUGGGGAGCCUAAUUAACCUUUCAAUAAGCCACAUAACAAAGAAUCCAAGUUAAACAAAAUCUAAUAGCAUUAGAGUUGAAGAUCAAAGGCAAAUCCAAACAAAAUCUAACAUCGAAAAGAGUAGAUCAAGGUGUAAUCACGUUAAUAAUCAAUUCGGGCAAUGAAAUUAGAAGACUACAAAGAUCUAGAAUAGAAGGCCGUAGAUGUCGUACAAUAUUUUAGAUUUUCUAAAUCUGAUAUUUUUAUUGUUGAUUAUUUUCUUUUUUAUUUACAUAUUACAAUACAGUAUAAAUAAAAAACAAAGUUAGAUUAGUGAAAUUGUUGGUAAUUAUGGUGUACCUUACUGAUUCACUAAUUGAAGAGGCGAUAGUAGCGAAUUUAAAUGGACUCAGAGACGGGCAAAGAAGAUGAGAUUGUUGGCAAAUGACUUAGAAAUAUGGUAUAUAGAGGAGUUUCUGAAAGAGAAACCGCUUUUACUAUUGCUUCAUGAUUCAAAAGAAUACAUAAAAUGAAAGUUAGGUACGCCGGAUCCAAAAAUUUCUAUAUAAAAAAGAUAGUUAAUGAUAAAUAUAAAUGAAAAUCAAUGCCCAAUUUUUUAAUUAGACAAAUGUUACCAAAGAAUGAAAAGAAAAAUAUAAGAUGUUUGUAUCGAAAUUGAUUUUAUCGAGUUUAAUGAUAUUUUCGAGUCUACUCAUUCGUAUAAAAUGAUUGAACUUUUGCUGACUCGAUAAAUCUUAUCCCCCACCGAUAUUAAACCACACAAUAUAAUGAAUUAAGAUUCCACUUUUUAACUUGCAAAUUGAGUUGAUAAAUCAUAGAAAUCGGCCUUGACAAUUUGAUUAAUUUUAACAGACUAAGUCAAUCAAAUGAGUAAUUCAAGUCAGACAUCGGGCCAGAUCAUCUGGGUAAGACCCUAGCAACAUACUAGCUACAAAACAAGACGAGGCCAAGCAAUGAAGCUACUAUUUUAUAAACAAAACCACUAAGGUCCAAUCAGUAAAUUUCCGGCUUUAGCCUACACGUCACUUUCAUCUAGGGUUGGGAAUUUUAGGUCCGGUAAUUGGACCGGUUAAACUCGGAUAGCGGAUACCCUGAUAACCAAAAUUUGAUAUUUAAAAUCCAGCCGAGUUUUUUAAAAAAUCAUAUAUAAUGCGAUCAGCCCAUAUAUAAGCUACCCAAACACUCUAACCAAUCCGAAAUCAGUUAAUAAUUUUAGUAAUCCGGUUAUCUAAAAGCCCAAUUUGACAGAUUACGAAUAAUGCAAACCCAUACCGGAUUCCAAACCCACUUUCAACUUUCAAAGCCUGCCGCACACAAUCACACCACCAUACAAUCAUCCCUCCUAUAUGCGAAUCAAUAAUUUAUUCCAAAGUCAUAACAGAAAAGGAAAACAAAAAAAAUCCCCAUUCAAUUCCAUUAUAGUAGGAAAGAAAGAUUACCCGGCCACCAAGCUAGCCGCUUCUUCCAUAAGCAAACAUAACCAAGUUCCUUCUUAUAUAACAAUAACCAAAACUAACCUUCUGGUUUAACCCUUUCAUUCUCCUUUUUUUCCUCUGGCGACGACGACGCCGCCAUGUUCGACGUAUCCUCAACCAUCGCUCAGACAAGCUUCGCCAUCCAAGAGAUGAAGACCACCAACUCCGCCGAGGUCCACCACGGCGACGACAACUGCAGGGCCAAGUUCAGGCAGCUCCUCUCCGGCGUCGGCCUCCCCGCCGAGCUCCUCGUCGUCGAGGACAUCCAGGAAUGCGGCUACGUCGAGAAAACAGGGUUCGUCUGGCUCAAGCUUAACAAGACCAAGAAGAACCACUACAAGUUCGACAACGUCAGCCUCUGCUACGACGACGUCAUCACCGCCUCCUUGGAGAGGAACAGGAUCAAGAAUCUGACCGGGGUCAAGGCCAAGGAGUUCCUGGUCUGGAUUGCGUUGAGUGAAAUCCACGUAACCGAUGCCGCCGGCAAGAGAAACGCCAUAGCCGCCUUCGGUGGGAGGAGGAGUUCUUCUUCAACUAUCACGUUCAAGACUCCGGUGGGGCUUUCCAAGUCGUUUCCUUUGUCGUUGUUCGUGGGUGGUGAUGAAGUUGCAACGAAAUCGGGAAUACAACUGGCGUUGUAGGUCGAGUCCAGUUACUAUUUACAGUUACUAUUUAACUUCUUUCUGUUCAGAAUUUGUCAUGCUUAUUGCAACUAGUUGAAAUUGGUUCGUAGAACUUGAACUGUAAAUGCAGCGAUGCGUUAUUUCAACUCUGUUGCUCUGUUUUAACCAUAUAGAAAAACAGACGUAAUAAUGGUUUGCGUGAAGGGAUUGAAGAAAGAAUAUGCUUACAUACUCACUUGCAGACAAGGAAUAUGCUGGGAAUCAGCUUCUGUCUGUUGUUAUGUUUUGUUCCCUUCUGCAUGCUCACCAAACUUUAGACAAAACGAUCUUUUUAAGGUAAAUCUUGGGGUUGCACUCCCCGAAUCCGAAGCUGAAAAUCGGUGGAACUACCGCAUCGGCUACACCUCGGUCGCUCCCGAGAAAACAAUUUCUUCUGUUUGAAAAUAACAUUUACCUCUUUAUGUGUUGUCGCCGUGACUCCCACCGCCGACCAAGAGGCCGCCAAUGGAUUGUGGCUCAAGAACAGCAAUAAGCAAAUGAACAAAAGCAGUCAACUUCAGAGAAUAUGAUAUUUAGAAUAUAAAGAUUAAAGCCAAAUUGUAAAAAUACAGUCUACCAAGACCAAGAUUAAAAAUUUAAGCUGGUUCUACAAAGCUCUGUUACAUUCAAUCUUUGAUCUGAGUUUAAACUUUAAAUAAUAUAAAGCUCCCUGAGUUCAAACAAAAGGAGGUGGUGUAGUAACAUAUUGUUUGGUUGUUUUUGACAGAAGGGAUGAGUCAUUUGGGCGUCAACUGAUUUAAGUUAUCUGAGAUGAUACGGUGAGAUAGCAUUGGUACAAACAACAGUCACCUAAUUGCUCCUUCUGACUUCUAUAUUUUAAUUUGCUUCAGCUGGGGUAUAUAUAUUCUCAGAACUCCCAACCCUGGUCCAGAAAGAUAAGAGAACUCAAUAGCAUGAGAGAUCAAACGAACUCAGUACUCAAAUGACAGUCUGCAUAGAAAGAGAAUAGGAGCACAGUUGAAUGGAAAAUUAUUGUACCUUAGGAACAGAGCACCAUAAGCCACCAGUCCAUUCGAGAUGAGGCCUCAAUUCGGAAUGUUCAAAUUCCAGUUCUUCUUUUGUCGGAAAGAGGACUCUGUACUUCAUUUCUUUAUGAACUCUGAUAACAUGGCCAACCCACCAAGCAUCAUUACUCCAAGCAUCCACAACUUCAAGCAGUCCAUAGUGGUCGGUAACUGGCACUUGUGGAGGACGAGGCCUGACGUCACAAGCAUUCACUUCCUCCUUAAGAUAAUCAGUUUCAUCCUCCGUCAGCAAAUUGUCAUACUGCACCACAAACCUAUCAUUCUCCUUUACAGCAACAAUGACCCCCACAAACCAAGCAUCCUGGUAACCAGCUUCAUCACUUUUCACCUCAACCUUCAUCCCAAUCCCGUAGGAGGAGGAGGAGGAUGAGUUUGCAUUUCUUUUCAACUCCUCCUCGUUGUCCCCAACUUUCUCCUGCAAUGGUCAUUGGAUUGGUAUCACAUUCACUAUCAGCAUAUGUGUAAAGAAGACUAAGCAAACAUACCUUGAACCAUUCCCCAUUGAUCCAAUCCAAAUGAGGGCGGAUAUUCGAGCUGGGAAAUUCAAUGGAGUCGCCUGUGGCUGAGAAAUAAACCACGUAGUUAUCAUCAGAUCCAUCCACCACUCUCAAAAUCAUACCUUCCCGCCAGCCUUCAUUGUACCACGCAUCAACUUUGUCAGGGUAUUUGUAAGAAGUGAGUGACUGAUCAUCAUCAGGGGGAUAGGGUCUGACGUCGUCAACAUUUACCACUUCCCUCAAUGGACCAGUUUGAUCUUGAGUCAUGAGGUCUACAUAUUCCACCAAAUACUUGUCUUCCCCAACGUGAUCGACGAUAAUCCCGCCAAACCAAGCACCUUGGAAGCCUACAUCAUCCCUUUUCACUUCCACCUUUGAUCCUUCUUCCAGCAGCAUUGUUUCAGACUUCUCCAUCUUCAUCUUCUUGUUCUCAAGUCUCACCUUCGGAUUCAUCUUUCUGGAUUUUGGCUUUCUCUGCAGUCGUAAUGAAACAGGAAAAUAGAAAGAGAACUCAAUUGCCUACCGUAAAGCGAUAAUGCAGUCUAUUUCAGUUCAUCAGAAAGUAAACAGAACAGCCAAAAUCCUUCAUUCGAUGCAAAAUUUCGGAAUCCUAACCUAAACAAAUCACAAUUUCCAUUUCCUGACCUGAGUAAGUUGUACCCGCGGAGGAGGAGGAGGAGGAGAGGACCAAGCGCCGUCAAUCCACUCCCGAUGGUGGCGCAGGGUGCACUGCUCCGAGACGAUUCCUUCGCUCAGGCGAGCGAACGACACGAGGUACUUGGAGUUGACGAGUAUUCCCUUGACGAUUCCCCUAUGCCAACCACCGUCGUAGUGAGCGUCGACGUCGUCAUCCACUUUAAACCACGCGCCGUAGUCGAGCGGCGGCACCGGCCUCACGGUAACGGACUCGACGAGCUCCCUGGUCGGAAUAGCGCCGUUGGUGAUCGUAUGGUACUCGAUCAGAAUCUUGUUCUUCUGCUUGGCAGGUGCGCGGAGGACGGUUGCCGGGUAGUAGGUGAGCUGGCCGGAGACGCAGUCCCGCUUCAGAACUUCGACUUGGUCGCCGGCGGUGAGAUUGGAGCUCAGCAUUUCUCGACUGCGGAGGCGGAACGAAAUUUGGAGGGUGAGGGAACUAGGGUUUUGAGUGUUUGUAACGGAUCACUGAAGUGGUGAGCGAUAGAGAGGCAAAAUACUGAAGAGAGUCAAGAGUGUGUACUCUUCUGCUGCGCGGGAGGGAAUUCUGGGGGAAAAUAUGCCCUGGCUGAUCUUUGUUAAUUACAUAUCGUACCAUGUUAAUGUCAUAAAAUGACGAAACAGCCAUCGAUAUGUUGGAAGCAAAAAGAGGUAGAAAGAAAAAGAGUCUCUCAUCUUCCUCGUAGUCUUGGCGCCUCGUUGAUGAUAUAAAUUUUUCUUUUGUUGUCUCGUUAAUGGUGUAGACAUUCAUAAUCGGAGGAAUUGGUAACUCGUUAAUAUAUGUCGUUUGGGUGUCAAUUGAUUAAUUUUUUGCAAACCUGACUGAUCGGAGACGUUGCAGGUUCCGACGGGACCUUGUUGCCACAAGAUUAGUCCGGAAAAAAUUUAAAUUUUGGCGCCAUUAAUUUGCCCCACAUUUCCCAUUGAGAUUCAAAUAACGUACGUUAGUUCAUUUACAUUUAUUACCCAUGAAUUAAAAAAUUUUGUGUUUUUCCAUUCGGGGUGAUUAAAAUGACAAAAUAUUCGUAGAACCCAAUCACGACAACCAAAAAAGCCUUGAAUCGCGAAAAGCCCAUUAACAACAGGUGGUCCAAAAGAGAAGACCCAUGCCUUGUCUAAUGACAUUUUCCAUCAUGUUAACCGUCGUGCGACUCUAGAUCGAGUCUAAAACUAGUUGUUGAUACAACGAGGCUAACUAUCUACUCGUACCGAAAUGACCCAUCAAAUUGAGUAGAAAUAGUGAAAUAACUCUUUUCCUUCCUAGAUUUUACUCUCUCCAUUCCACCUCCUACACAUUGAUGUGAAUACCAUUUUCAUUUUUCACAAUUCAGAGAUUCCAAUUUUAUGAAAAGUAAUAAUUCCAUCAUUUUGAGCGAAACCAAUAAAAGCAUUGCAGCAUUGGCUGGUUACCAAUUAAACAAAUACACAAUGAACUAAUUUGUUUAGAUGUUGUGGCUUGAAUUUCUGGGUGUUGUCUUGAUGGUAAGGCAGUGUUUGGUGAUAGCCAAUUAAUGGAAGUGAUGCCUCAUCACCUCUGUCUGUAGACUGCUGAAAGAGUUUAGGAUGUAGGGCUUAUCAAUUAGGGUUUAGGAUUGACGUUGAACAUUGUGAUUUGUGUAGGUGGAGAAAGGAUAUGGGUUUUUUCUUUGGUACGACGUUAGGGUUGCUGUUAUGAAAGACAAGCAAGAACUUGUUGAAAUGGUUGAGAGGUUGCAACUCCACAUGCAGGAGCUAGAACGGGCGAACGUAGAGCUACAAACAACAAUUGGAGAAGUGAGUUCGUCAGAAGAAGAAGUGUCCCCGGCAGCGAAUCUGAGAAUGAAAAAUAUGAAAUUGUUGGUGACUUGGAGCCGCUGAAAUUUAGGGUUGCUUUACUAGAGAAGAAAGGGUGUUGUGGACAUUACAAAACGAAGUAAAGUGAUGUAUAACUUUUGUAUUAUUUCUCAUGUACAGUUUCGGUUUAGGUUGUGGGGAUGUCAUUUGACUGUGGAGGGGAUGUAAUUUGAUUAUGAUCUAUUGUCAAUGCUACUCUUUUUCGUAUGCCUCUUAAUCAUGCUUGCAUUUUUGUUGAAAUUAGUAGGUAAGCAUUCCGUUGAAAUGAUGUUGAACCCUAAGCAUGCCAUAUACGAUAACAUAACAACGACUUUGACAAAAAAUGAUAACAUAGCAUCUCUUUCUAUCACUACAAAAAAUGAUAGUUUAACGCCACAUAUUUAACGGUGGAUUCAAAACCGACGUUAAUUUAACAUCACAUUUUAAAAAUUCGCUGUUAGAUUGAAUAUUUAACAGCAGAUUCUNNNNNNNNNNNNNNNNNNNNNNNNNNNNNNNNNNNNNNNNNNNNNNNNNNNNNNNNNNNNNNNNNNNNNNNNNNNNNNNNNNNNNNNNNNNNNNNNNNNNNNNNNNNNNNNNNNNNNNNNNNNNNNNNNNNNNNNNNNNNNNNNNNNNNNNNNNNNNNNNNNNNNNNNNNNNNNNNNNNNNNNNNNNNNNNNNNNNNNNNNNNNNNNNNNNNNNNNNNNNNNNNNNNNNNNNNNNNNNNNNNNNNNNNNNNNNNNNNNNNNNNNNNNNNNNNNNNNNNNNNNNNNNNNNNNNNNNNNNNNNNNNNNNNNNNNNNNNNNNNNNNNNNNNNNNNNNNNNNNNNNNNNNNNNNNNNNNNNNNNNNNNNNNNNNNNNNNNNNNNNNNNNNNNNNNNNNNNNNNNNNNNNNNNNNNNNNNNNNNNNNNNNNNNNNNNNNNNNNNNNNNNNNNNNNNNNNNNNNNNNNNNNNNNNNNNNNNNNNNNNNNNNNNNNNNNNNNNNNNNNNNNNNNNNNNNNNNNNNNNNNNUAACCUCUGUUAGCUUUAACAGGGGGAUAAAAUAUGUUGUUAGCUUUAACAGCGGAUAAAAUCCUAUGUUAGCUUUACAAUGGAUAAAAUCCGUCGUUAGCUUAUUUUUCAUUACUUAAUGUAACAGAGGAUUCUGCCGUUAGAAUUUCUAAUAGCGGACUAUCCGUUAUUAAAAUAGAUAAAAAAAAAUCAUCGUUAAACAUGCAGUUUCUUGUAGUGUACAUAUUCAGGACAUAACAUCGUCAUUGACAUAUAAGCUACCAUAACAUCUCCUUCUACAUAUAAGAGAACAUAACAUCGUCAUUGACAAUUUAACACAACAUAACAUCUUCCUAGUCGAUAUCUAGCUAGGUUGCUAGAAACCCCAAAAUACCAUUUGUCCUUGUCAUUUCCAUAAACCCCAAUAUACCAUCACACUUGCUAUUAGAAUGACAGGCCCCAAAAUAUACCACCAACACAUCUUGUCGCUGAAUCGAAUUGGUGUGUCCUCCCCUUUCCACACGCAGCUUCGACCUGGUCACUCGAGUUGCGGGGGAAGGCAUGGAGCCUACAGCCUGAUCUCUGUUUGGUGGUGUUGCAGUCGGAGUCAAAGACGUACCUCGAACCAUCGACGGUGUCGCAAAUGUAGAUGCAACAUUUGGUUGGGGAGUCUGCAUUGUGGUACCAAAGAAACUAUGUUCAGCUCAAAUUUAGUUCCUUAGAUGAUGUACAUGAACAUAUAAGGAGGUCAAGAAGCCACAAUCCUGCAUGCACUAAGCCCUCACCCGCGUCCUAUCGUUUUGUGUGAAUAUGAUUCCACGCCUUUGUUUAAUGGCAUUUAUACGAAAAAACUGUUUGAAAUCUUCAACAGAACCGUACUCCCUACCAAAAACAAUUCUAGCAUCAUCCAGAUCCCUGCGUAGAUCAAAUCGUGGGUACCUGAGUGGGACAGCGCUGAGAUCUUCUUCUGAUCCCCAUCCAGUUUGCCUCAUUAGUUCAUCUUCAUCGAAUGGCAGGUUUGCAUCCAUAGCAUUUCGAUUGCUCAAGUUGAAGUCUAGAAGGCCUCUGUUACGUGGUGCACUUGAACCUCCACCUUCGGGGAUGUCAUCCGGGUCUGAAUCAGGUUGUAUAUCUGAGUCCCAAUCCUGUUGUAUGUCUGACUCCGAGUCAGGAACUUGGCCAGCUAUACCAUCUGUUGCUGCCAUUCUUCUAAUUCAGCCGCCAAUUCCAUAUCAUACUCCUCCAAUAUCUCUGUCCAUAUUAGCUCAGCUGCGUUAGCAAUUACGCUGUUCAACGCCAUCACGCAUCUCCACGUCACGGGGCAUCUCCAGUUGGCUAGGUUGUUAUCAUGGGGCUGCUCCACCUGAAGUGGAUGCUCUACGUUAGCUGUCUUCACUCCCAACUCUACCAUGUAGACGUCAACUGUGUUCUCCCCGGCAGUGUUGUCUCCAAAGUCAGCCAUCGCCGUGCCACCAGGUUGGUUGUCCCCCAUCUGAACCGUCUCCGCAUCAGCUGCCUUCUCCACCAGGUCAACCAUAUCAACAUCAACCGAAGCAAUGUUCUUCUUCCAGUCAAGACAGACAAGCUCUGAAUUUGGUGGCCUGGUAGACACCACACUAGAAGAUGCGUCUUCCCCUGUAGUUGGACCCUUCUCCCCGUCGGAACCAAGCUAUUCUAAUACAAUACCUUGUCUUGCAAAUAGAGGGAUUGAGCUAAACCAUAAGUCCAACUCUACCUUGUACAUCCGUAGAUUGGCUUGUUCUUCAGUUAAUUUCCUGAGAUACAACUUCAUCAACAAAUCCUCAUCGACGGCAAGAUUGAAAUCAAUAAUAUCAACUUCUCCUUCUAAAGGUGUCAAGCCUUGUUGUAUUCCAAAUCUCGGUGUUGUGUACAGGAUAUGAAAUUACUCCCACUCGAUAUCCAGCAACUCGAUCAUCUUGUUUAUCUCUGUCAUUGAAAAAUAAUCCGGAUCCAUGCCGUCGAAAUAGGCCACUGAUCCGUCCAUAUACCGAUCUGGGGGAAGGACACCAUUGUAGUGCAUUUCAAUGGUGUACCUCACAGAGGGGCUGUAACAAAAAGAAAGAAGACGGGGUCAGCGGCGGAAGCUCUAGAAACGAAUGAUCGAACCCAUCCACUCAUUCUCCCUCCAACCCUUGAAUGUACUCUGUUUUUUCAUUUUUUCCAUCUUUUAAAAAAACCCAAAAAACGACAAACCCUAAACGGUCAUGCACCAACUAUGAUGGAAAUAUGAUGUGAAGAGGGAUGUAAAUGAGAAAACGGAUGCCUUUACCUCCUCGAAAAUCCAGUAGAUCCUCACCAGGCGGACGCAACAUCCACUUCACCAUAACUUCAAGGUCUUUCAAAACUGAUAAACUCAUACAAAAAGAGGAGAUGAUGGCAACAACAGUGAAUCGUAACAGAUUGAGGAAGUAGAUCAUAAAAAAAAAACUCACUUGAAAUUAGCACUUACAAGGCUGAUCGAAAACAGCAAAGCGAAUUUAAAAAAUUGGAGAGACGAUGAAUGUUCUAUUCUUUGGGGAAGAGGAAAAGGCUGGUGGAAAAGAUGAGAGAGAGCAGUUGUGGGUUAUAUGAGUGAAGAGAUUAAAUCGGUUUGGGUACUCGCUUCGGCGGUUUGACUAAAAGAAGAUGGGCUGACGUGGCGCGCAUGCUUGGAAGUACAGUGUGGCGAAAUGAACGAGAGCGUGACGAAAUGGACGGAAUACGCCACCGUCGAGUUAGCCAGAAUCUCAAUUCAAACCAAAAAGCUGAAUUUCUAGACUCAAGUGCCAUCUUAAAAAAAUUCAAACGUUCGAAACUAUUAAUGUCAAUACUCCCGUCUCACUCUUCCCACAGGGCAAUUUGGUCAAUGAACAACUGCUGCCACUUAUUCAAAAUGUAUUUUGAUGUAGAAAGUUUGGGCAACAAACAAUAGAUUCAUACUUCGUCAAUAUUAAUCCAAUUCACACUUUCCCAAUUCACAAAUCCCAAAUUCCAAAACUCAGCAUUCCCCUAUAUCAAAUGUGCUCUUAGUGAAACACAUGGGGUUUUUAUUCAUUGAUUGUUAAUAUAUUAAAUUAUUAAAUUAAAAUGACAAAAUUAACAUUAAUUAAACUUAUAAAAAUAUUAAUCUUUAAUAUAGAACUACACCGUUGAAGUAAAAUACCUUUUGACAAAUGUAAAAUUCUAAAUAUAUACUCAAAUAUAGUUAUUUGAGACUUAACAUCGGAGAUGGUCUAAGAAUUACAAGAUAUAUCACUCAACUUUUAAAAACCUAUCAGAUUGAUCACUACACUUAUGUUAGUCCACCUAGGACCACUAAUGUUUACUUUUUAUUAUACCGAGUACCAUUUUGUUAAAAAAAUUGACAGAAAUUUGACGUGAAAUGAACGAAUGUUGCCCAGUCAAACCAUAAGGCUGACAUGGAAGCUACAUCAUAUUUUUUUAAUUGAAAUCUUAAACCAAAAUCUCUUCAUACUGCCGUUUAUCACAACGAACUCAAAUAGUGAAUACGUAGGUCUCCAAAGGUUUAAAGGAAGUGGUUAUAUCAUAUAUGAGCGGGAUUAUCAACAAACGGAAAAUGAGCGCAUAACCGAGUUGGCUCGAUAGCUACGUAAAUGGAGUCGUCCCACAAUCCGUAAUCAAACCGGCUUGCCACUAACAGAAGGAGCUUACAAACUCAUCGAACCAAAUCAGAAUUUGUUCAAGUUCAGCUCAUUCAUUAUCAAACACCGAAUGAUUCACGAGCAGGUAAAAAACGGAGUGUACAUGGAACCAUUUACCUUUUUAUUAUUUGACAUUUCGGACCGUUCAACCAUCAACUAAUUGAAUGACCCAGAAAUCUAAAUCAUUCUCAAAUCACUAAUCCAAAUUAAAUCGGAGGGUAAAGAAUUGAUAGCUUGCCGCCUGGAUUAUUGGAUAUAAUAGUUUUCAUGGAACGUAAGGUUAUUAGCUACCCAUUCUUCCAUUUCACUAAUGACAUCGCUAGCCCCACGUUUCUUGUUGGCCAACCACAACUUCUUAUUCUUUUAUUUCCCUCCACAAACCAUAACCCAUAACUCUGUUUCUUUCUUCAUUUUCUUCCCACAAGUUCACGUUACAGCUACAUCACAAUUAGCUCUCUUCUUCCCUCCCAUGUCUACCUUACACAACCACAAGUUCCUUCUCAAGCUACCUCGCCAUUCCAAUCCGGGCCUUGGCGCCUUCCGCCAUCGGAUAAUCACGGUACACUGUACUGCCAUGUCGUCAAUCCCUCUAACCACCAAGGAUCCCGGUCUGAAGUCAACAUGGUCGCACCGUGCAUGGAUGGCAACAGGAUGCACCACCGUUGUCUUUUCGCUGGCCAAGGCAGCUGUAGGAGCAGCAGCCAGCAGUACGCAGAAUAUUUGGUUGCAACCUUUACUCGCGGGCUACAUAGGCUACAUAUUGGCUGAUCUCGGCUCGGGAGUGUACCAUUGGGGUAUCGAUAAUUACGGCGACGAGUCCACACCAGUUUUCGGUUCACAAAUUGAAGCGUUCCAAGGUCACCACAGGUGGCCCUGGACUAUUACCAGGCGCCAGUUCGCCAACAACCUACACUCGCUGGCUCGUGUAGUGGCGUUGUGUGUGUUACCAGUCGAGCUAAUGUGCAAUGACCCUACUGUCCUCGGGUUCGCGGGGAUGUUUUCUGGGUGUAUUAUGUUCAGCCAGCAGUUCCAUGCUUGGGCUCACGGCACAAAGAGCAAGUUGCCGUCAUUGGUGGUGGCGUUGCAGGAUGCCGGAGUUUUGGUGUCAAGGGGACAGCACGCGGAGCAUCACAGGGCGCCUUACAACAACAAUUACUGCAUAGUGAGUGGGAUCUGGAACCAGUUUCUGGAUCAACACAAGGUGUUUCAGGCAUUGGAGAUGGUGCUGUAUUUCAAGUUUGGCGUCAAACCGCGGUCCUGGAGUGACCCCAACUCCGCCUGGACAGAACAAGAACAAGAAGAAGAGGUUAUUCAGGAAAACUGAUAUUCCUCUGUUCAAUGCCACACCAACCAUUACUUGUUCUACAUCAUUGUUACAAAAUUCUGUAUAUCUUCUAUUUGCCUUGAUGAUCACUACAGAUCAAAAGCACCUAAAAUCCUGUUUUCCUAUGUAUACACUCAAUUUGAUGAACGUCGAGCCCGAAAACAUAAAAGUUAGGCUGUAUCGUUAGGUGAUGGCUGAGUUGCUAUAAUAUUAUUCUACUACGUGCUGGAUACCCCUGUAGCUUCUUUUGGUAUCAGGAAUAGGAAAAGGACAGGAAAGUAGAUGCAGGCCACUUGGAUAGCAAUUCCCAGUACAAGAUUGUCGUAAGAACCCGACGAGAGGUUCAAGAGCGAUGCCAACCCAGCACCCACAAACGAUCCAACUGUUGAACCAAAGUUGUUUAUAGACAUGAAGAGCGCAAAUAGAGUUCCUUCAAUUCCUGGUGGGCACAACUGCCCAGAUAAUAUGAGGAAUGGCAUGAACCUACACGACACAUAUAUAUACAAACAACAAGAGUAAGAAAACUAAACAAGAGUUGGUUAAUUGCAUCAGUUCGAAAAAAAAUAUUGGCCUACUUGAAUUGGUUAAUUGCAUCAGCAAGGGCAGAUCCAAAGAGGACCAUAUGCUUAUCUGUAAUUCCAUAAGCAAGAUUCAUCCGGGACACCAAAACAAUGUCUAGGAAAGUAAGCAAGGACAAUCCGAUGUGUGUGUAUCUGCAUUAUGAAUUCCAUUCAAUGAAGAGAAAGCAGGUUAGAAGGAAGAAUUCAAUUGUUUGUCCAAAUCGAAGAUUUAGUACAGUGCUUACAAUAGAAUGGUUCGUAGCUUCAUGGUUUUCAAGUGUCGAUUGUAUACAAAAGUCCCAAGCAUGAGGCCCAACCAGCCAACAACACGAGUAGUCCCCAAAAAAGAUGCAUCCAAGUUCAGGAACUCCGUCUGGUAAUAGAACAUGACUGUUGAGAGGUUUGGAAAAGUGAUGUGUGCUAGAAAGAACCAAGCCAUUGGUCUGGUAUUGCAACAACAAGAAGACAAAAAAAAACACAAAAAAGGCGAUUACAAUAGUAAAAUAUACAUUUGGAUUCCCAAGCAUGAAGCAUAUAGAGAACGAUAGUUUUACCUUAGUAUGAUCGGCUGCCUGAAAGCUUGUAACAAACUGUAACUGGCUGAUUUCAGAGAAUAGUACCAACCCAGCUUCCCACUAUUCCGUUUCUCUACUACCUGGGAUUUAGUGCUGAAUUUCUUCUUUUUGCCUUUCUUCUGCUUUUUUCUUCUCCUUGAGCUAGUUGUGGUAGACUUCCUCGAGAAGUAACUGUUGUCAUCUGAAUGACUACUCCCAUUCGCAUCGUCAGAAUCAUCAGAUGUAGAAACAUCCUCACUGACUACUGGAUUCUCCUCAACCAAACAACAGGAAAACAGUUGUAUUGCCGGCAAUACAGAGAACAGAAGAAAAAUUGUAUCAAUUGGUAAAUUAGAUAAUGCAAAUCCUCCCAAUAAGCUUCCACAUAUUCCACCCAGAGCCAUUGAAAACCAAGAAAGCGACUGUAGAUCUCCAGCAAAAGAAGCCCUGUUCAUUUGAAAAUAUCCAAGAUCAUGUUAAUAUGGAAAGAACAAAAGAAGAACGCCAGUAGGUCUUCUGGAAGCUAGUCCAGAUGAUGAUGCAGCAUGUUUAUACAAAAAGAAUCACAAACUAAUAGAAAAAGACAAAUCAUAUUCAUUUCGUUACAUUUUAGUAUGAUUUGGCUAUGGCAUACCAAGAUACAUUAUGCGAUUGGGCAACCUUCAGAACUGGAUUUUUCAUGGAUAAAAUCAGAGAAUAUACUUUAAGUUCAAUUUUUAAGUAGAAUGAGCAAGUCUGGUUCACAUACUUCUCAAACCUCACUGCCUCGGCGAUCAUUGCAUCAACAACAACAUCUGCCAUUGCAGAACCCAGGUUUUGUGCUGUCAACAAGACCAUAAGGUACCAGCUUGAGUUCCUGAAAGUUGAAUUCAGACCUAAUAUCGGCCAUGGUACAAGUGAGAGGACUGUGGCAAUGAGAAGGUAUGGUAUCCUUUUUCUUCCUUUAAUGGAGAUGCAAUCAGACACAAUUCUGCAAUAAAGAUCCAAAUUAAAAUCAUCAUCACACUUAACCAUUCGUAAAUCUUGAACAAGUACCAGAUGCUUGCAAUCAAUGCAGAAACUGCAAGAACUGGCACAUUGGCCCAAGAUAUUGACAAACUACAGUCACUUUCUUACUAAAUGGACAUAUGCUUGAUAGUUCUUUGCCUUUCGAAUAUUAAGCAAGAAACAAAAAAAUUCAUGCUCUGCCGUUGUAUUCACAUGAAGGAGAAUAAUAAACAGUACCCAUAUAGUGGUUUAAUGCUCCAUGGAAAGAAUGCCACUGAAGAAACAAACUGAGAGGCUGAUGGUGAUAAUUUCAGCUUGUCUUUAAGCUGGUAGGAAACUGCCGUCCAUACAAAUGAUCUGAAUCCCUAAACUCAACAGUUGCACAAAAAGAUGAUGGUAUCAGAUUUAAGCACAGUUUCGGCAAGGAAAAAAACUAAAAAGGAUAAAAAGAUUUCAGCCGAUUUCUUUUGUGGAAUGAAGCGGGCAAGAAAUGGAUAAGAGUAAUGAAUACUCGCUGGCAAGUGAAAAAUAACAAAAGGCUAUUCAUAGCCAAGAGUCAGUUAUCUGACAGGGAUGCAGUGAAAUUUCAGGUGGGAAGCUGAGAUCAAGGUCUACUUCAUAGUUUCUAUCAGUCUAAGUAAUCCAAUAAUAGGAAUUAAUCCAUCAGACAUUUCAUUCUGGAUUCCAUUGGAGCAUGGAAAAGGUUAUUCCACUGUGAAAGAGCUAAGGUUUCACCAGAACUUCAAAUUAAUCCAGAAAACUCAGACCAACAACGACCCUAGCUCUACCUCCCUCCCUCCCUCGCCAUUUCUCAUUGGUAUGUGAAAGCUAGAAAAUUAGAACAAACAGCACAGCCAAUGACAUCGCUCGCAGGCUUUCACACAGGGAUCAAAUUCCGUAAAUGAAAAGACAAAAUGCACAAUCAUAUUACAGAAAUCGUAAGAAAGAUGAAGAUAAAAGAAACCUGAGUGAAGUAAAUCAAGCAAACGAGCCAAAGAAAUGAACCCCCGAAUGACCUCUUCAUCUGCUUCGUCCAUUCUAUCAUUUUCGCCAAAAUGAAACUCCGAAUAAACGGAAGAGAAAUAGAUCCCAACAAAUCUGAUGCUUGUUGUUCGUUUGGUCAGUCAGUCGCCUGGAAUUGGGAUGGACGAAGAAUCGCUCUUCUUCCCUCCUCCCUUCCCUAGACUCCCUCCUCUUGUUCAACCGUUCUUUGGAGCGUACUUGUUAUUUUACUAAUAUGCCUAUGGAUUCUUAUUAUUUUGCUGCUCAGAGCGGGGUGUGUUUAGUAAUCUCCUAUUUUAGUUGAUGGCUUUGUACCCAAACAAAACACGUCCAAUCAACCUAUGCGAGCUCGCCAUGUCAGAUCCCUGGACCCCACAUUGUCGCACUUUUGUACGUGUGGAAAAACUGAUGGAUUGUAUUUGUGAUCACUCAAGUACAGGCUGGUAACAAAGUGCUCAUCUGACUUACGAAUGUAACAGAGUGGUCAUCUAAUUUUAGACUACAUAACAGAACAAUACUUUCGCCUAUUUCCAUUCCAUUUUCCAUUCACCAUAUCACAUCAUUCACUAAUAUAUUAGACAAAUAUCAUCAAAAUGUCACUCACUAUGUGGAAAUUCUAAGAAUACACACCAUGUAUGACUUUUCUUCUCAUAGUACCAAUUCUUAACUUUUUAGAUUAACAUACUGAUAGUUUUCAUCUAUUUCCGUUUAUAUCAAUUGGCAAAUCAUCACAUGUGACAUAUAAAUUAUCACAGCACGUGCAACAUAAAAAAAUCACAACAUGAUUUCUUUUAUCACCAUUAAUAAGCUAGGCUUGAUAAUCAAAACAAACUCGGCUCAAUAAUCAUAACAAAAACUUGAUUGAAUAACCGGUUGAAAGGAAAAGGUUAUACAAGCAUCAACAAAUGAAAAAUGAGCUCAUAAUCAAGUUGGCUAUGUAACUAUGUACAUGGAGUCGGCCCACAAGCUCAUUUUGUCAGUCACAAACUUACCGAGCCAAACCAAAGUUUGAUCAAACUUAACUUAUCAUUUAAUAUCAAGUCGAAUUUUAAACGUACAUUCUAGUAGAUUUUACGAGUCAAACGCUAGCGGCUCACGAGCCGUUUGGCUAGUAGACAGACAGCUUCAAAGUUCAAACCCUCCCCUGGCUUUUAUCUGUGGGCGGGAAGAGAGUGGUUGAAAAGGAAAGAGUGGAGAAGGAACAGAGCCUCGCUGGGCUUGUCCAAAGGCACCAUAUGACCAGCUCCUCUCACUGUCACAAACGUCACCCCUUUGUAUUCCACCACCUUUCCUGCAACCUAAACACCACAACAUUAUAUUUAUUUAUUUUACUUAACACUUCUCCUACAUACUUUCAGUAAAACAAUUCAGUAAAAAAAAGUGAUAUAACCUGAUGAUGAUGAAACCAGGAACGCCAUGGAGAUUUCAGAGCUAACCCAAGAGCUUCCACGCAAUACCGUGAACCUAUGACCGGCACCCUCCCAUCUGCGUCCCCGCUGUAAAUUUGUCCAAAACGGUACCAAUCAGUGGAGUCCAUCAGCUUGGCUCUUAAAAGUUGAGACAGAAACGAAAGCUGUGUCGUUAUCACUGACAUUUAUUACAAAUAUUAAUCAUUAUUCAGUCCCCAAUCUUUUGGUAGAUAAGGUGAUUACAUCCACUAAGCACAUUUAAAACAUGCUACAGACAGAAAUAUUCUAACUCGACGCCGAAAGGACUAAAAAGGGAGAGAGGUGAGCUAAGAAUGCAUUACUAUCAUGGGUUUAGAGCCCUACUUAAUAAUUCUUACUCCAUCUUUUAGUCUAUUAUAGCACACAUAUGUCAUGCAUAUUCUUGAUUGGUUUCUUUUUAAAGCAAUAAAUGGGGACUUUUUAGAGUUAGUGGACGUUUGUAUGAAGUAAUGUGACCAAAAUGGAAAACAAAGUCUGUUCAUGUACCUGUAAAUCCACACCUUUAUUCCACCAUUGAUGAGCUUGGCGUAGGUUGGUAGAACGGAGAAAACAGAGAAAUUGUACUUGCUCAACAAAUGAGGACUGAAAUCAUAGAUAUUAAAAUCAGAAAGCAACAGUACUACUGAAAAAGAUUAAAUGAACGUCAAUCAGUAAUGAGCAUAUAUUACUUACUUGCAGCCCUUCCAUUUGUUAUCCCAACUUCCUGUCCUCUUUGCAUGAAGGGACAAUCGGACAUCAGCUUUAUUGAAGUAUGCCUCAGCAUUCUCAGUAAAACAAGGGUCAUACCCUCCAGGCAUCCUCAGCCUUCCCAACCCAUGAUUCCUCCUUUCAACCAUCACCUGAUCUUGUAAAGUUGUUGUCGGCGAAGAAGAUGCUGAUAAAUUGGUGAUGCAGACCGGAGCGUAGAUGUUAAAGAUGUCGAUUUCGGCGUACGAAUCAAAGACAGGGCUCAUGGCAUCGUUACAUGUCCCAGGCCAGUCGAAGCUGGUGAAAUCACACUCUCGUUUUGCAUCGUUGUAUUGCUGGUCUGAUAUUACAGAGUGGCUCCAUGCAUAUUCAAGCAAACCUUUGUAGUCGUGGUAAUCGUCUAUUUCUGCAUUCCCAACCUGCAGCGAAAAAUAGUGCAAGGCCAUGAGUUUUGUGUUGUAUAUUUCAGAGUGGGAAUUUUGGCAGACAGAUUGCGAGAUUACCAUGACGCCUUUGAGAUUGAUAGUUGGAUACUUCCUGGCCUCUUUGUUUCUGUCAUGGAUGAGCUCUGCAAGUUGAGGUACAUAGUGACCUGUCAAACAAUCAUAAGAAAGAAUGGAUCAGCUCAGGACGCAGGAAGAAAGAAAGAGAUGGUGUUGACGUGCAUGGUAUUUCACCUGCAUAACUCUCCCCUGCUAUGAAGAAAUCACGAUUUUUGUAUUGAGGAAAUCUCUGCAGCCAAUUCACCAAAAAAGUGUAUGCAUCUUCAGCUAGCAAAAGGAAACCAUGUCAUUUUCGCUCCUCAACAUGAAAGAGCAGCUAUACUUCUGAAAGCUAGAGGUCUUGUCUUACCCACUAAAGCAUCAUUCAGGAUGGUAGGAUCAGACGAUGUAUUGGUGUACGAGAAUCCAACUCCAACUGGAGAUUCAAGAAACAACAAGUUUGCUUCUGCACACAGUUUGAGUUUGAAGGUCAAUAUACUUUGUCUAACAUUUCUAUGGUGUGCAUGGAAGAUAACAAGAGAAAAUGAGGGAACCUUUGUUCCAAGCAAAUUUGUUGUAGUAAAGAUAAUCUCCAUUUUCACCGACUCUUAAGGGUCCCAACUCUGCUGCUGCACCGAAUCCGAUUGAUGAACAGCCAGGACCUUACAAUCCGACUACAACAAGUUAAGAGCACAGAUAACUAACAGAAUAAGCAAAUACAACAGUGUGAAGUAAAGAACUUGGUAAUCGGUUACCUCCAUUUAGCCAAAGAAGCAGAGGCUUCGUGGAUGGGUUGGUUUGAGCUUCAAAGAACCAGUAGAAAAGAGCUCUUUCGUGUUCUUCAUUCGUUGUAACAUACCCUGCAAACUGUGAUAGAGGUGGGCUGGAAGGUUGAAAUGGCAAAUUAAGAAUUCUGUCAGAUUCCUGGGAUACCGGGAAUGCUUCUGCCCCAGUGCUCCGAAUAUCUGAAGAACCAACCGUUACAUAUAUGAGAUAAAGUAAGUUAAGGGCUGUAACAGUAGUCUUGGCCCACAUUUCCAUAUCAGGAUUUUCUGUAAUGAGCUCUCUCAAGUACAAAAGAAAAACUGAACAACCCAAGGAUAGGAAUACUAGAAUGGAACACUCGUUGGAGAAACUUUCAGUGACUAAGGGACAAAUAAAUAAUCAAGAAUCAUACGGACAAAGAUGCGGGAUGAAUAUUUUAUGCGCCUAGUAGGAUAUCACUAAUUUAGGAUUACGCGCCCAGGAGGGCCACAGAUAAUAGUUUUCAUGGAAAGUAAAGCAUGAUGAUGACACAAGCAAUAACAUCAGAGCAUGUAUAUCGACAAAUUUAAAAAAUAAUGAAAAUGACGUUAGGAAUCAAAUCAUGGGCUGAAGAACUAAGUUAAGAUUCAGCAUCUUUUUCCUUCAUUUGCCCGAUGAAUAAUUGAAGAACUCCAUUAGGCACCAGAUCCCAGGAAAGAAGCAGAUUCUCAAUCCGAAACUGCUCAACCAAUAUGGACGCCAGACACUCGUUCAGUUGCGGAUUAUACCUAAACAACCGUGAAACGCAGAUUCAAGCAGUUCAGCACCAGGUUUUUGAACUCCGCAACUCUGUGAAUUCUCAAUGAAUUUAAAAUCUGCUCCUAACUUCCUAUCGUCAGAAAGAGAGCUAAAAGUCGCGGAAAUCCAGAUGAAUCGGUCAAACAACUAUGAGAAAAGCAAACUAGAUGCGGCAAUCGAUAACAGAAGCAAAAGAAGAAGCUUCUAACUGUGUACAUUAAAAUACGCCAGAAUCUCUGGAGACUCGUUGAUAGAGGGAGUCGAAUGAGCGGCGGGACAUUUUCCGUUAACGAACUGUGAGGCUUGCCACGACGCCGGCGAUCUUGGCUGCCGACACGACGAGCGCGAAAUGUGAAAUGCUAGUCAACCGAAACACAAGGGAAUGGAGGGAAACAAUUACGAAAAGGCCUAAUCUCUCGUAUUAGGCCACAGAAACCAUAGCCCAAUACCUACUGGACUGCAUGAACAAAAAUCCAUCUUAGAACCUGGCUCUUAUUCUUUUGACCAAAAAGCCCAACAAAUUUGACUGGGCCUUAUUCAUCAAUGGGACGACAUGGAGAGAUUAUUUUUCAUAAAUGUAUGAUGGCAAUGAGAUUUUCGUUUGCCUUGUCACGUAACUAAUAAGUUCACAACGAAUCUAGUCUCUUAGCUUAAAAUCAACAACCGUAAAAUAAUGGGCGCCAAGACUAAGAGUGUAACCUAGAUUGACAAGAUAAUCUGCGACAUAAUUUGAAAUCACUUUAUAAUAAUUAUAUUAAAUAAUCAAAUUAUCUAAUUUUUCUCUCGAUAUAUAUACUCAACUUUUAUAGUAAUUACGGUAAGAAAAAGAGUCCGUCGCGAAUCCUUUCACCCAUACCUGGAGCAUCAAAAUGUAUGGGAGUGGCUCCAACGUACGACCGGCCUAGUACGUAACAAUUAUUUCAAAUUUACACUAUACAAUAUAUAGUGUUGCAAGUACCUUUUUAACCUCUUAACGUCUAGUUGGGCAUUAUUGGUAUUCCUGAUAUGGGUAUUUGGCAGACUUUUUGCCACAAUAUCAUAUGAUAUAUAUGAUCAUGAAUAUAUGUUGGAUCCGUGACACAUUUUUAUAUGAUUGGACCGUGCGUGCAUAUAUCUUGCAAACAAUAUUUGAUGAUGAGAAACAGAGUAGCGGGGCUGUCUCCUUGUAUUUCAGUGAUAUUCUCUCGCACUCGUACUCAUUUUGAUACGUCACAUCACUUUCCCCAAUCUAACCAAGACAAAUUGAUAUGCCUUCAAGUCCAUUGGUUUAAUCAUGUUCAUUCUUCCUCAUCCCUGCCUCCAUUCGUACCAAUCUGUUAUUUUUCUAUGUUUUGUCUCCUCCUUGUCGUCAGUAGAUAUGUGUCUUACAAUAAUUAAUUUUGGGACUUGAGUGAUCGAUUUCUUCUAACUCGGCUACUUAUUAAGAAUAUCGAUCAACUAGUGUAGCUAUGGAUACGUAGAAGUGAUGAGUUAGAAUCCUUUUUGCAAAAAGAAAAGUAGGAAAUUAAAGUUGUAUUACCAAUUCAAAUUCUACUUAGUCACAAAAAAAUCUCAUUUCCCUUUGACUAAAGGUCGAGUGUCUAAACACAUUAGACACGGGAAAUUAAUGAAAUUUUUGGUGGCUACAAAUCUUUUUUCUUGCAGUGCUAAUUUCUUAUAGAGUAGAGAAAAGGAAAAUUACCUACCAAAUACCAACAUUUAGAUUCGACACACAAUUUAGUAUAUUUUUUUAAUUAGGGACGGAUUCAGGAUUGAUAUAUUUUUAUUGGACUAAAAAUAAAUAUUCGCUAAAAUUAUAAGAAAAAUUUAACUAUUAGUAACGAAUUGGCCACAAAUAACGGGUGGUUAUGGCUUAGGGCAGUCACCCCCUAGGUCUGUCCCUGUUUUCAAUAAUACAUUUUUGGUACAAAAUUCAAAUCGUACUAACAGAAUUCGGUUGAUUUUGUCGUUGACCGUUAUGGUUAAUCGAGCACUAUACGACAUUAAGAACAUAAAUCAUUGAAAUGCCAUGUCGGACACCACAUAAAUAUUAAAAGCAGUGUACUUUAGAAGAUGAGAACUAAUAACGGAAUUAGAAUGAUCAUAAACACGUACGAGACACUGCCGUGGCCUUGAGAAACCUUUGUAACUAGUAUGUGACAAAAAUCAAAGGUAGUUAAAGAUUGGAAGCAUAGAUUAGUUGAUGAGAAAGAGUGAGAACCCAACAAUGUGGAGUCGAUGAAUACUAAACGCAAAGCACAGAGACCGCAGUUUGCAUGCGCAGCAGCAGCCAUGAGUUGCCGUACUCUCUUUGUGUUAGCUGUUCUGUAAUUAACGAUCGCUGUGGGAACAAAAGUCUAGCUUGCUACGUAUUAGGGGAACACGUAUAUCCUAAACUCCAUGAUGAUGACAGGUACAUAUAUUUAAUUAUUUGUUAUAAUUUUUAUAGCUUCAUAAUUAUUUACUAAUCCAUGCAUGCACUUUAUGCGUCAUAUAUGUUAUUUUGGGAAGUCACGUAUCAGAAUCGAAAAGAUGUACUACUGAUUCAACUUUGAAUUGAUAAUUUUUGUAUCGAGUAACUAAUUUAAUUAAUAUAUUUAUGUGAACAUAAUAAUAUUAAGUUAAAAUAUAUCAACAAAAACUUGUUUUUUGUACGGUUUUAGUUAAAACAAAAAUAGAAUUCAUCACGGACGAUUUUUUCCUAUAUUUGGAUUGUUUGAACUAAAGUUAUGAUAAUUUAUUUAUUAAUAUGUUGAUUAUAAGUUUAAAUUUGAUAAAUUAUUUAGUCUAAACAAAUAAAUAGAUGAGUAGAACUUGAAAUACCAUUGGUCGAAUUACGAAAUCAUCAAAAAUUGAAUGUUAUGGACCAAAACUGAGGUGAUCAUCUCAUCCUCAAUUAUGCCCCUGAUUUUGGGUUGGAUCUAGAUAAUUAAUAAUGACACAUAUUUGUAUUGAGAAAGAAAUUUCGUCAGGGCAAGCCAAGGGAAAAGCUUGGUAAUUGUAGCCUUGGUUUGACCGUAUCUUUGAAGACUGCGAUAUUGUGCAUUUUGAUUAUUAAUUUAAUAUAACGGGCNNNNNNNNNNNNNNNNNNNNNNNNNNNNUAUGGAGCUUUUAAUUAAUUAAUUACCAGCUUCUACUCUCUUCCAUUUCCCCAACUCUUAAUAUUCUCACAAAAUUUCAUAAACGCACGUAAUUUUGUUUCAUUAAGACAUUAACUAAUGGCGCUGCUCCUCUGUUCAAUGUUUCAUUUAUUUUAUCAACACGUUUAUUUUUUUAAUAAUAAUAAUAAUCUUGAUUUUCCCCAUUGUUUAUCCAAAUUUUCACACCUUUGUCUUCCUCCGCAUUUUCCGUUUUUAACAAAACUCUGUUUCUCAUUUAUUUUCUCAACUCAGUCUUUCGUCGUGCGAUGUCACGGAUUUUAAGAAGCUAAUUGUUCUCAAAUCUCAACUACAGACUACAAAUCUACAUUAGUGUUUGGAAAUAUCAUCUGCUAAGAUGAAACCAUACACAACCUAAAACCAUAUUAUAAAUAANNNNNNNNNNNNNNNNNNNNNNNNNNNNNNNNNNNNNNNNNNNNNNNNNNNNNNNNNNNNNNNNNNNNNNNNNNNNNNNNNNNNNNNNNNNNNNNNNNNNNNNNNNNNNNNNNNNNAAAAAUUCUUAACUAUAGCUCAAGUACAACAAUCCCUAAAUAACACGCACUUAACUCAAGCGUAAUGUUUUGACAUUAGAACAUUAAUAAGCAUUCUCACCGGAUCAGUGACGAAUUUAAAGAGAGCCUUUCCUAGACCACGACACAUUCCAUUUUCGAAUUCAAACUUUAAUAUUACAUAAUUUUUUAUAAAAAUUAAUAAAUAUUAUAUAUAACCUAGUACAUUUUAAAUUCUAUACAAUCUAACCUAAUGUGCGAAAUCAUUCAAUCCGCAAAGAUAUAACUUUUGACAAGUGCUCACUCCUGUUUAGUUUUGAAAAGAUGUGUACUUGUUUAUUCAUCACAAAGAUGAAGAAUUCCUGCCCACGGCUUUGCUUGGCCAAAUCAACGUAAAGACAUAUUUUUGGAAAAGAAAACAGAGGAGAUCACCCACCCAUACAUAGAAAGUUGGAAACUCUGAAUGGCCAUUUCACCAAAACAACAGUUUCGAAUGACCAUUUAGCAAUUUCAUGGCACUGACAUUUCCCAUUCUGAUUUUCCAACCCAUUGCAUUCAAUUUGUGCAAGUAAAUUCCAAAAUCACCUAAUUAUUAAUAAUAACAAUAAUUUUCGAAAUUAAUUAGCUUCGCGUCCCGAGAGCUUACGUGACGGUUUAUUCUUUAUGGGCCUUGGAGAUGUCACUGUCAGGUCCAUAAACACAGCCCAGUGGGAAACGGGCCCACCUCAUUUUUAUUCCUCCUUUCUCCCCCCCCCCCCCCCCCCCACCCCCAACCAACACCAACCAUUAUAAAACCAAACCAAACUCUUUGCUUUGCUUUCCACAAACCCAGACUUCAACCUUUUGAUUUCUUUCUCCGCCUCUGCCUUUAAACACUUUGCUUCCUCUGUUCCUUUGCCAAUAUGGAAGAAAGAGAAAAAGUCUCAGACAUGAAAGCAAGCCUCCAGUUCUUGCAAGGUAUGAAAUUAUAUAUGUACAAGGUCAACCCACCUUACAUUAACUCAUCACUUUAUGAAAUGAUUGACCCAAACUUUGUUUUUUGCAGGUGAUCUCGAGAGACGAGCUGUUGCUGCUGCUGGCUGCGACGAACAAGGCAGGUUCGUGAGGGUUUGUUCGAGUUGAUUUCGGUGCUAUCCUACCUGAGCUUUUUAUAAUCAAUUUUUUAGUUUUGUUUAAGUUAGUUUUCCUUUUCUUGACCUUGUAAGACCUUUUUCUUGACCUUGUAAGACCCCAUACAUAGUUAAAUCAGUUUAGGUGCAUGACAGCUACCGGCUCUAUAUCUGAAUGUCGAGAUAUAGAGUACGAGAGCUGCAUUUUCCUGUAUCCGUCUAACGCAUCUUCUCCUUCCUUGUCUAUCCCUCCUGAGCUUGUUUGACCCUUUUAGUAACUAGGACUCCCCAAAAUCAAAUAAAUGAUGUAAUAUUUUGUACUGUGUAAUAUUUGAUGAAGUCAUGGAGCAGAAGCUGAAGCAAAGCAGCAGGUUUUAGCAAGCUGUUGUUGUUUUGUUUGACUUUGUGUUUCCAAUUAUUCAAGGAAAUAAAUUAUCUGCAAAAACCAGACACAAACAACAUUAGCAGAAUUAAAUUAUAUGAUGGGAAAAAAAGCAGCAGAUUGGUUUGUUAGUUGGUUGGUUGGGAGGAGAAAAGUUAAAAGAAGAAAGAUAGGAGAAUAAAUGUUAUUCUCUUCAGUUCUGUGGCCUGGCUGCUGCUGCUGCUGCUGCUGCUGCUGCCUCUACUGGUCCUCCUAUGGCUUGUCUGUGUGCGACAGAGAGUAAGUAAUGAUCACUUGAAGAGUUUUGUAUGCAGUUAUUUGCUUUCUCUCUGUUAUUUGUACUGGUAUCCUUUGUUUUUCUUCUAUUUUGUACCGGUACUGAAUCAACGAUAGAACCAGUAUAAGAGUUAACUAAUUCUUGAAAGGUGGUUUAGAUUAGUCUACCCAUAUAAUUCCUCUAUUUUUCUGAACCCAUCUCUACAUAACUGGAUUUCGGGUGAUGCUCCCGUGGUCAGAUAUUUGGGUCCAAAACCGUGAUAUUGUAUAUAAAAUUUAGGUAUUUUCCAGUAUCAAAUAUGAUAGUUUCCAUUCUUGAUCAGGGCGUAUUCCAGUUUGUAAAACAUUAAUCAAAACUCAUAAUCAUCAUUGACUUUCAUUUGGGAACUUGAAAUUCUGAUCAGGGUAUCACCGACUAUUCUGAAUCCGCCACUGCUAACAGAGGCACAUGUGCUUGAAGGGAUCAAAGCUUUUGAACUAUAUAAGAACUAAGUUUUGUAAAACAGUGAAGUAGUCCAAAAAGGUGGGUGUGUUUGAAAAUUGAAAUGAAAUCAUAUAUCUCUGAGUCAGUGAUGGAAAUGCAUAUUAAUGUGGGGAAGAAGGGACAGAGUUGAAAACAAAAAAAAAAGGCAGGGAGAGUGAAGGAAGAGGUGUUUGUUUGUUGAGAGCAGAGCCUCAUAAAUAAAGAUGAUGAUGCAUGAUCAUGAUGAUGAGCUCAGAAAAGAGAGAUGACUUUGCAUUAUUCUGGGCACUACUCCAUGCACAGUGGUCCUGAUUUGUACUCUGCCACUCUCCAUUUUCUUUCUUUUAUGUUUUUUAAAAACUGUCAUUAAGAGUAGAGGUGUUCAUCACAGAGGAGGGGUCGAUCUGAAAAGGACGAAAGAUCCCUCCCCAGCUGCAAUUCAAAGUAGUUGCAUAUCCAGUCCAGCUAAUGAGCCAAAAGGAACACAAAAUGCUGAUAAGGUUUGGUUUCUAGGGGUGGCCAUGAGAUUGGAUCGUUUUCAACGGCUACCCAUUACUUAUUUUCAUUAUUAACUUAUAUAUUUGAAAAUCGAAUCGGAGAUUGAAUCGGUGAGAUUAGAGGUUUAGGGGUUGAUAGUUCGAUCGGGUCCGACUGUUUGUUAAACCAGACAGGACGUUUUGAAUUAUUAGUUAAACAAAUAAAUAUGGUUCCAAACAAUUUCGGUUGAACCGGUCAAAUUUUACGGUCAAACCAGGUCAAUGACCGGCUUUGACCAAUCUCACAAACCGCCAAAUCAAUAUUGAGGUUGAACCGGCUGGUCCGAUUGGGUUUUCAAAACAACACAAACUUGUAGGACGGAUAUCUUGGAAAUUCGUUAGGAUAGAAAGCGAAGACAUCUUAUGCUCAAAAUUCUUUCCUUGUCUUGAACUAUCAUUCGCUUGUCCAUCCAUUCACUCACCUCGAUCGCCAUUGAAUUGGACAAAAGGUAACCAUGCAUAACAACUUGAUGCAUGGUUUCUUUUCGAGGGGCGGUUAAUGAUUUAUAUGUAUGAUUAUUCUCGAAAUGAUUUUUAGAUACGUUGGUUGAAUCGGUACAAUCGGGCCAUUGCAGUAAUAAUGACAUGUUUCUAUAUUAUAUUUAUUUUGUGGUUGUGGUAAUUAAUGUUAGUUAUGUGGAUCACUUGUGAAUGAUUGAGCAAUGUAUACAUCUGUCCCAAAACAUGUCAUGUUGAGAUGACAACGUACCAUGUUAAUGUUACUGUUAUCCUAAUAUUAGGUUGGCGAAAGAGAUAUGCGAAGGGAGUGUAAAUUGGUGAGGAUAUACGUUUGCAUAAAUACAAUAAAUUUGAGAAAUUUCAAUAUUUCAUACUUUCUAUACAUUAUUGUGUACUCCGAUGUCCAGCUUAGCAAAGAAAAGUAUAAUUUAGAAGGUUCAAACCAAAUAAAUGGNNNNNNNNNNNNNNNNNNNNNNNNNNNNNNNNNNNNNNNNNNNNNNNNNNNNNNNNNNNNNNNNNNNNNNNNNNNNNNNNNNNNNNNNNNNNNNNNNNNNNNNNNNNNNNNNNNNNNNNNNNNNNNNNNNNNNNNNNNUUGAGUAAUAAAAAUUGUAUUUGUACUCUUUGAUUUUCAAAAAAAAUAAAUAGUAUAGGAUAAAACUUUGAUGGAUCUUUUGGAUAGGUGAUUUGGACGGGCGAUUUGGACUUUUGAAGAGAUUUCGUCUUAAAUUAUCCGUUUAAGACAUAAAAAGGAGAAAAAAUUUGGGGAGAUUUGAAAUCACCUUGUGGGCCCGGAGAGAAUUUCGUUGGAUGAUUUCAAAUCACCGGUAGAGAUUUCGGAGGAGAGAGAAGAUUUGAGAAUUUUAACCAAAAUUACUCCUUAUUUCUUUUGGUAAUUGGUAUGACCAUAAAUAAACUUGAGACAUUUUUGUAUUUUUAUUUUUGUAUUUUUUUGUAUUUAUUUUUCUCUCUACAAUAAUUGCAUUCAAAAUCACCAGUGAAUCACCCAUCCAAACGAUCUAUUUCGAAAAUAGCAAGCUUUAUUCAAAUCUCUUCUAUUUCAAAUUUCUUUUAUUUCAAAUCACCUACCCAAACGACCCGUAAAUUUAAAGGACGAAAAAAUAAUUAACUUUACUUUGUUUCAAACACUUAGACUUUUUAUUACACAACUCAAAUAUUUUCUCAUUUCAUACAUCAUAAUUCAUAACUAUAAAAAAGUCAAAUAAUUAGCUAUUUUCUGAACACACAAAAUAUCACUAUAAAUGUAUACUUUAAUUUUGUAAAUAUGAACAUUAGUUCAAAUUAGAACAAAUAAUUAGUAUAUGGCUACUAACAUUAGUUCAAAUUAGAACAAAUAAUUAGUAUAUGGCUAAUAAACAAAGAAUUUGAGUCAAAAGGAGGGUUUGUGAAAAUGGAAAGCAAUGAUGGGAAAAUAUCGUCCCAAUAUAAUUGAUUAGAAGAAAUGUUUGAGUCUUCUUUUUGGAGAAAUUUGAGCAAAGGUGGGGGCAUGAGAUGCACGUUAACAUGUUCUUACGCACAAUGAUGGUGUCCACAAGUGGACAUUUUAAAAGAUGAAUGCCUUUAUUAUAUAUUUACUCUUCNNNNNNNNNNNNNNNNNNNNNNNNNNNNNNNNNNNNNNNNNNNNNNNNNNNNNAACUUCUUAAUAGAGCUAAAGUUUACACAAUUUUAACAAAUCAUGCGUAUAGAUUGAGGGUUUACGAAGAUUCAAAAUAAUAAAUUAUUUUUAAUUAUUUCUGAUAUCAUAUUAUGAACAGUUACAUUCUCAACAACUUAAAUUGUUAAAAAGAUUCAUAGUUAGUGUUGAUAACAUUUCUUUACAGAAUUAUUUUAUAGAUAUUCAUGACAUAACAUAGUAGAUAAAGUCGUUACCAAUCACGUAACUACAUCAAAACAACAACAUAACUAAAAGUCACAAACAUCAUAUAUGAAAACAUAAAGAUAAAGCAUGAUUAAAAUCCACAUGAACAAUGAAUUGUUUUUACAGACCAAAGUUGAAUAAAAUUCUGAGUAGUUUUAAAUGGGAAAAUGGUGGCUAUAAUAUCGAUGUUUAUGAAUGUCCAGCAUUGGGGGCCAGAUAGUGUCAACUUUUUUGCUCUCUUUGGCCAACAACCCUAACAUGGGGGGUUCACUUAUUACUUAUUAUUACCUAAUUUUCUCUCCUUUAUGCUUUUGCCUUCCCUGCCUUGAAAAUUCAAAGAGGAAAUAAAAGUAGUUUGCAAUCUAUAUAAUGAUUUAACACUUAAAAUACCUGAAAUAUAUCUUUAAACUGGGAGGCCAGUCUAUCUCUAUCAAAACUCUUAUUGAUUUGACUUUUAUAGACAUUCCAAACUCUUGUCUUUCUUAUUAGCUAAUGGAAAACAAACAUUAAUUUCAGGUAUGAUCUUAAAAUUGCGACAUCAAAGUAUACAUGUAUUUUGGUCUCUAAUAUAUGUAGGUCAAGCUGAUACAACAGUGUUUGUCUGUUGAGAUAUUUACCCAACUUGGCACCUUCUCUGUAUCAGUAUUGAAUCAGAGCCCAGCCGACCACCCAUGGCCCAGUGGACUUUGCAGAACAAAACUAUCCGACCAGUUUGGAAUGGAAAGUUAAAAGAAACCCGAGUUCCGAAGAUAGCUGGGCCGGAUCUCUCAUUUCCUUAAUUGGGCCUUGAAGACUUGAAUGUCCCACACAAUACAGGAAUCCUUCUCGGUUCUCAUACUUCUUCAUCGAACUCGCCGGCAACGGCGGCGGCGACAAGUUGCUCUCUCAUUCACAAACCUGAUUCCCUCGCUGUCGGCCCUUAGUCCCCAGGUUUCUUUCAGUUAGCCUAUCCCUCAUCUCACCAUGGCGGAUUUCCAGAAUUCGACCCACCGCGCCAAGUGGAUCUUCACUCCUCAAGAGCUAGUAAGUGUUGACGCAUCAAUCCCCCAUCCGAAUGCUUGUUCUUAUCGAUGCAAUUUUUCCUUAUAGAUUUCAAUUGAAUUGAAUUGGUCGGAAAUAUCAGGUCGAGAAGUACAAAACUACAAAUCAAAGAGCUAAGCAAAUGCUGGAGAAGGUGAAUAAAAUACUUGCAUCUUAGCUGAUUGAGCUAUUUAAUUUGUUCUAUGGAAGCUCCUGAUUGAGUGCUGAUUUUUGUUUUCACUGUUUUGAUUGCAAGUGUGGGACUACAAAAGUAGAAGUAGAUGCUGAUGGAUCGGUGACUCACCCUGAACCUCAAGCCCUAAACACAAAAGAAAGUAAAAUUAUUGCUUCCCUUUACUUGUUGAAUUUCAGUUUUUCCAUAGCAGUAUUGCUUUGGUGAUGAGUCCUCUACUGCUUGCUUCGUCAGGUGAUAAGCAUUCUCGUCCGAAGUCCCUUAGUGUCGAGGAGGAAGAGUUCAUGCGCGUGUACUACGAGUCUAAGCUUCGAGAAGUAUGCGGUGCUUUCUACUUCCCUCACAAAAUCCAGGUAAGAUUCAGUCCUGAUAUGGAGGCCAGGGAGAGAAUGGUGAAAGUCUGUUAGUGAUGGUUUGGUGUCUUGCAGGCAACCGCGCUUACGUACUUCAAGAGGUUCUAUCUUCAAUGGUCUGUCAUGGAGCUUGACCCUAAACACAUAAUGUAUAGAUUUUCGUCUCGAUUUUCUAUUUUUGUAUGCGAUUAAUGGUAGAUGCAAAACUGUGAUUUCGAGUGCUUUUAGAAUGGCUUACUGUCGCAUGGUUAUUGCUUGAUGUGCAUCAAUCUCGCUGACUCGAUGUACAUAUAUCCUCACGGAGCUUUACCUUCGCACAAUGCUUGGAAAUGGUUUUAUUUUCUGGCAGUAUGAGUUUAAUGGUAGAUGCUAAACUAUGAUUUGGGUUGCUUUUAGAAUGGCUCACUAUCGAAUGGUUGAUUGUUUGUUGAUAUACAUCAAUCUACACUACCUCCAAUAGUCUGUAAUGGACCUUGACCCCUAAGGACAUAAUGUAUGGUGUUCAUCUUGUUUUCCUUCGUAUGAAUUUUGACGGUAGAUGCAAAAGUAAGAUUUUGGAGGGUUCUUUUGGAAUAGCUUGCUGUGAAAUGGUUGUUUGUCGAUAUAAGUCAAUCUCACUGACAUGAUUUCGACUUGUGAAAGGUUAACGUGCAUAUAUUCAGCGUGUAAGAUAGAGGAAAAUCACGUAUCGGCUGAGGAGCUUGGUAAAGGGAUUUCGCAGGAUCAUCAAAUGAUACUCAAUUUUGAGUUGAUAGUUCUUCAGGCAUAAAUUCUCAUUAGUCUUCUAUCAUUCCUGGAUUCAGUUACUUCCCGUUGAUUUCGACUUAAUCAUCCUCUUUGUGGCUGUAGAGCCUGGGAUUUGACCUUAUUGUCUAUGCACCUUACCGCCCGGUUGAAGGUUUUAUACACGAUAUAGAGGUAAAGGACCAUAAACCCUGAACCAUAAUUUCUUUUCCUAGAUUCUAAUCUUAGUAUCUUACAUUCUUACUCUUGUUUCUGUAGGAUUCCUCUCAUGCAGCAGACGACCAAAUUCAGAUGCUAAAGGUAGUCAAAUAAUUCGCAAACUAUGCUGGCUUGUUACGAUUAUACCCCCCUGCUACCAUAUUUGUACGAACUUGCAGGACAGUGCGAUCGCUGAGGUUGACAAGAUCAUGUUUACCAAUGCACCGCUUCUGUUCACUCCGGGGCAGGUAGUUUCUUAUAUUGGAAGUCAGAAUCCCAGAUUUUAAACCUUUUUAGCUCACUUCUUGUCUAUAUGAUCCAGUUAGCAUUAGCCGCUUUGCAGAAUGCGAAUGAGGUCCACGGGGUUGUUGACUUCGAAAGGUUCGGCCUUGUCUCAUUUCCUUGAAUACGAUCAGGAUCCCUAAUUGUGUCUCAUAUUGCAUUUUUGUUCUCUCGAUCUCACGCGUGCUUGGCAGUUACCUUCAUAACAUUCUCAUACGCCAGAGUUCGGAGCACACCGUUUCAGAGCUUCUUUCGAUUUUAGAGGCCGUAAACAGUUGGGUACGCAUUUCGGAACGACCUUAGCUGUCGUCCCUCUCGUAUUAUCCAAGCAGAAAGUGUCAUGCAAAAUUUGGCUCUUGCAGGUACAGAAGUACAAAUUCCCUACAGAAAAGGAUAUGAAGCACAUUAAUCGCAAGCUGAAAUCGUGUUGGGGCCAUGGCUCCCAUGAUGAGUAAAUUUCUUUCAAGCCCUCAACUCUUAUCAUACAUAAGUUCAUUUCUCGUGUCCGCUAGUUUCUCUUAUCCUAUGAUGUUCAAUUCUCUUGGAAGCAGUAAAAAACGGGAGAAGAAAUCGAAGCACAGGUCUCAUAAGAGCUCACACGAUUCAAGACACGCCCCAGCUCCUGCAUAAUUGCAUACUCUUUGAUUGGCAAUGAGCUCAAAAUCUCCAAUACCAGAUUGCAGAUAUACUGAACUGGAGGCCCUUAGGUCGAAUCCUUUGUUGCAAAGAUUCGGUCUGCAGCCACAUAGAUAGCGGCAGAUGUCUUCCCUGUCAAGGAAGAGAUGUUUUUCAAGAGGUUUUUCGAGAUUGGAUGUUGUAGCUCAUAGCUAGUAUUGCUUUACCGGCAUUUUGGUGAUCAUCCCAUUGUACUUAUAACAUAGUUGAAUAUGUGACAUAUUUGACAGAUUUGUUGUGUUUGCAAGGGAUUGAAUCAUAGCUAAUGAGAUUUAUCUUACAUGAUACGUUCAUGUCCGACAAGUAAAAUGGCUGCGAACAAUGCUGCUGAUACAAAAUAUAGCGUAAUAGUUAUACCUUGAAUGGACCCAGAGAUGCAUAAGACCUCAGAUUAAUACAUUUGUACAAUCGGCACUCAGAUUAUAACAGCAGUUGUAGAAAACAGUAUUGUUCUGUUAUCUAAAUUACAGUUUACUGUAUACACAAGCUCAUGCACAACUUAUCUGUCCCAGUCUCGGACCUGUAAGCUUCUCCAAGUUCUCCAAAAUCGAAGCCGUCAAAUUUGGAUCCUCGAAGCCAAUCUCUGUACUGAAUCUACAAUUCAUUCGUUGAAAACGUCGUUGUUAAGAAAUUUCUCAUGGACUUCAAAACAGAACUUAUAAUAGCUAACAUGCUCACUUUGGAUCAAGCACCAAUUUCUGGACUUCUUUAAUGGAUGAACUAGCAGCAUACAGCGAUAUCUUCCCCACCUGCAUUCGAGCGAAAUCGACGAACAAAAGAAACAAUUAGGUUAAGGAGAUAGCAGAAAGGAUGAGCAACUUCAUUUAAAAUAGAAGAGGACUUACCUCCAUAACUUGAAUUUUAGCUUCAUGGUCAUUUGGCAAGCAACGAAUUUCAUCCCCUAAUCUCGCAGCCUCUCCCACGCUCUCAGGAGAUAGGAAAUCAAAGGCCAAUUGAACGGUGGACUGUGAAUUCAAAAACAAAUCAUUCCAUCAUAAAUUACAUCUCUCACUUGGAAAAGGAUAUAGUCGUAUCGGAACUCGAAUCGAUGAAGUCUAUACAUGUCAAGGAUCGUUAUAGAACCGACCUGUAGAUUCCUGACUUGGAAUGGGCAACCAGCCGGGACGAAUAUUGCUUCCCCCAAAUGCUGGUCAAAUGACCAUGGCUCCACUCCUGAAACAAAUACGGAGAAAGAACAUUGUUCAAUUUGUCACCAGAAGAUCGGCACAGGAUAAGAAAGGCAGAAGCGAUACGGGAAAACAUGGCUGAAUUUAAGAUUCCGUAUCGAGAAAGAACAAAUUGAUUAUCAUUCUCACCUGAUUCUUCCUUCAGUUUUUGUUUGUGAUGUUCAUUCAAGAAUAUUCUUCCAUCAUAAAGCAAGUGCGUAGCCUAUUAUACAAAAACAAAAAUGAUCAGCAUGUAAGGUAGACACCCUAACCGAGUUAACAUGUUAAGGCGAGGAAGAGAAUCUAAAGAUGAUCAUCUCACCAGAUCAGCAUUGCACGAAUUCCUAAACUCCUCGAUGUGGUUUCUCAAGUAUGUGACGACCAGUGGAAGAUCCUGCCUACGGAAAACAUCCCAAUGAACUCCCGGAUGAGCCUCGGUUGCUAUACUACCACCCAAGUGUUUCUUGGACUGGCGAUGCUUCCUCCUCUCAACUUUGUCACCAUCGAUGGGACCAGCAACUCCUGGCUCUUUCAUUCUCUCGUCACCAUCAACAUCGUUGGAAGUCCCAACCUCUUGAUCUCCCGUAAUCCCAUUGUCAUCAGCAAUUGUGUUCCCAAUAUUUAGCAUAUCAGUUCCAUCAUGAGAUAAAUGGGGUAGUAAUCUUUCGUUUGUGCUUGUUUCAGAAUCAGAUGACUCAUUCUCAACCCAAACCUGUGGCUUCACCUCAUGCGUAUGCACCAAAAGAUAAACCUAUCAAACGAGUCGGUGAAUCUUAAUCCUCGUUCUUUCUACAUAUUAUUCUGAGAUGGGAAAAUUGGGCAAAAAUAAAGUCGCAUAAAUUUGAUAAACACCACCACAAUAGCAUCUCAUAAGCUCCGAUUUAGUUGUGUGGCUCCAAAACAUGAAAAUGAUGCAAUGUUCAUGUGAGAUGGGAACCCGGAACCAUAACCUACAUUCAAAGAGGCAACUAGCAUGCAUUCUAACAUCACGUUUUAUGCAUUAACAAAAUCUGACUUGCAUGAGUUCAGCAAGCUAACGAAGCCUUACCAUAUCCCGCAUUUUGAAAUGAAGAUUGGCUACAGAAUCACCUCUACCGAGCUCUUCCGCAGUGCCAUAGGACAAAUAAAUUUUAGGUCCCACGUCAUUCUGCAAAGAGUAAUGCGGCAACUUUGCUGCGACAUUCAAGAGGCCCAACCUUGAAUGAAUGUACUCAAGCAGAGGCAGUUUACUGAGAAACUCGGGUCGUUGGUACAGUAAGAACUCUUCAGAAGCACUGGGUGAAGGCCAGUCUUUCAACUUCAACAUCUCGACAGAACCAUCUUCACGCGCUCUUCCUUCUUUGUAUCCUUUGAUAAAUUGACCGAGCUCAACAUCGACCUGCCAGGAAAUCAAAGAGCAGCACACAAUCAACCUGACACACCCUCCUCUUGCUCUGGUACCACAGAAAAGAAAUGGCGAUAAAGGGAAAUAGCAACCUCAGACCAGCUUAAGCAGUCAAUGGCCUUGACCACUCUACUCUCGUCUUUCAUUUUUCCAUCAGGUGCUUCAAGGAUUCCUCUCCAUAUAUCCAUUGGAUCCCAGCUGGCCAUGGAUGCCCAGUCAAAAACUUGUUUAACAAGGACAGGUUCACCCCUGGCCCAAUGCUUUCUGAAAACAUUCACACCUUGAGCUUUAAUAUCUUCAGGAGAUGGGAAAUACAAGAAAUUAUCUUCGCUGUCCUCUCUGCAAGCACACUGGGAUAACGUGGGAUCAUCCGUCCAAAGUUCUUCUGGACUGCUAGCAUCAUUUACUUUGCAUCCACUGACCAUUUCCUCCACGUUCUUGACCAGCUUUGCAACCCAGUUCAUCUUAAAUAUGCGGCUCAGACCCGUCGAAGUAUAAUUGCAGCCACCGUAAUCUCUCGGAGGACAAGGGAUGCUGCCGUCACUGUUUGCCUUCCAGCGAGGAUAGUCAUCUGAUAUGUCUAGUCUUAGUCUAGAUUCUUUAACUUGCUUAGCCACGAUUCCUUUAUCCAGGCUUCUCACCUCACCUUUAAAACUGCAUUCAGAUGCUUCUCGGAGAUCUUGACAGCAGUGAAGGCACAGAUCAAAUGAGCAACUAGGACAAUGCCUAUGAUAGUCAAUUAUCGGUGUCCUGCAUAUGUUGCUGAAAAAACACAACUGUAAAAAAGCAUCCAACUGAAAACAUUAUUGAUAUGUACCGGAUCAUAAUUCAACCUAAUGAACUGAACAUCUCAAGUUCUUAAGGCACUGAAAUUAAGCAUUUCUACGACUGCUAAAUAGGAAAGGUCAUACAAAUCUGAGCAAGGUAGACAUAUUACCAACACAUCUGCUCAUCUACAUUCAACUUGACUCGGGCAAGAUCUAUAUUAUCAGUUCCUGAAGAAGUACAUUGUGGAUUAGAGAGAAUGAUUCUUGAAUUGAAAUUCAAACUGAUAAAUGUAUUCAUAGUUCUCGGUCUUCAAACUUGAAUUAAGGACUUUACCACGAAGCCUCUUCUCCAGCUCUACUUCAAAGCAUUGCACGUCGUGGAUCUGCUUCACUACUGGAAGUACUGAAGACAGUAGGCAGUAAAGGUAUUGCAACUUGUCUAGGAUUGGUAUCUCCCGUAUUCUUACCUGAAAACAUAGUUUUAAGAGGAAGAAGCAUAAAUUACUGUACAGAUUGAACAAUUCAAUCAAAAUAUUUACUAGCCAAUGCCCCUUACCUUCACCAUAUUAUCCCCUCGUAAACACGCCUUGCAGUUGCAGAGACCCCGACAAGCAGGACAAACUUUCUCAAUUUCUUCCCAUGGAAUAUCAGGGUACCUAUGGUAUCUUUAACUGCUCAUUAUGAUUGAAUAUGUAAAACGAAAAUUUCCCCCAAGAACCAUAGACUCACCAUGCAGCGAUGCAAUUGUCACAGAAGCCUCUCUUGUCACAUUUGAGACACCAAAGUACUCUGCUUCGAUCUUUUCUUUGGCAUUGAUGGCAAGUCUGCCCUCCAGUGUCUUCAGAGGAUUCCGUGGUUCCAACAGAGUAUUCCUGAAAAGAUUAUCAAAACUUAGUUUCCAUGGACCACACGAUUGGAGGAGUUAACAAAAACACUGCCAACAACAAUUUCGAGAACUAUACCGUCACAGGCACGCCAUCAAAGCUCCUUUGCAACCUACUUCUCGGAGAAUCACCAGUAGACAAGGGUGGAGUAUUAUUGUAUGAUCUCCAGUUGUCUUCGUCUUCAGCAUCUCGUUCGAAUCCGUCACUGUGCCUUUCAGACAAACUCCUCGCCGCUCUGUGCUUCUUGGACGAGACUGAAACACUGUGGUCCUCAGCUUUCAUGCUUGCAAGAGGCGUAUCGAAUUCAUCGCCACUCUUGCUCUCCAAGUACCCAUCGCUCUCAGCUGCAGUUGACUUCUUCUUGGCCUUCUUCAUACUAGCCCUUAGGGCCGAGUUAGCUGCCCUCCUCUUAGCCUGGACGUAAUGCUUCUCACAUACUGUCUUAUCCGGCAUCGACAUUGCAGUGCAUCUCCAUUGCUUCCCAUCAGACCUCUUACACCGCAGAUCGUCCGGCAUAUCUACAUUGUCCUCCCCGUUCGCUGACGACGAUCUAGGGUUUUCCAUAGCCGUUUUUCCUUUUCAACACCACAAAGGUUCAACUGUGAUCACACUACUCACUUAAAGCAGUUCGUCAUCCAACAAGUCUCCAAAAGGAAGAACAAACAUUCAUCAACCAAGCUGGAAAGAUAUAAAAAAAAACCCGGAAUUACGAACAUAGCAGCUAAACCAAUCAGACUCAAAAGAAGAAUCCAAGUAAAAAAUCGAAAAAACUGGUACAAUGGAAGGAACCACACAAGCGAAAACAAACUUUUACCUGGAUGGGCGAGAAGCGAGGAACUGCUACAGCAUUUGCAAUAGCUCAGUUCAGUUCAAGUUUAUGAAGAAAGAAGCCCACAACUCAUUUGGUUACGCCGAUUCACUGUCACAAACCAGCGAGCCGCAGCGAAGAGCUUCCCCCGGUUAGCUGCGUUGUUCUGUUCUUCCUUAACCCUAGAUUUUGGGCUUCCUCUCGAUAAAAAGGAAAAAUUGCCGGUGUUUUUGAAGGUUCAGAGUUCAAAGUCAACAGAAGUUUGAGGAAGUGGCCGCAGAGGAGCUGGGACUUGGGAAAAACUUGGAAAUCUAAGAAAGUACGGUGAAAGAGGAAGAAAGGGCAAUUCAGUCCUUGCAAUUUCUUUCUUUCAUAAACAGCAAUGGGCCAAAACUAAGGCCCAGGUGCUAAUACCCAUGGACCAUCUCCCGCCCAAUAUCGAUUUCUGGUACAUUCGAAUUAAACGACGCCCUACAUUCGUUAUGAGCUAAAUGUCCAUUUCGUAAAAAUGAAAAACUUACUAUUUCAAUCCAAAAAACUCUUAUUUAUUAUGUUUUAGUAUGUUAGUUUGUCGAAAACAAUCUCGACGAACCAUGAAUCAAAAUUCGAAAAGUACGAAAUUCAAUUUUCAAUCUGAAAAAAAAAAUCGGACGGACCGGCGUUCCGUCCGGUUGGUCCGUCCGUUUUUUUUUAAUUAAAUUUUUUAAUUUAAGUUUUGUUGUUAAUUGUAUGUUGAUUGAUUAACUAAUUUGGAUACUUAAAUAUAGGGUUUAUGCACGCGACAUGUCAACGAGUACCAUGGUAAUUGUUUGUCCAGUUAUUGUAUCAUUAUCAAUUAAUAGGGUAUGUUAAUUUCAGUGUUUUGAUUCAUUUCGAUGUUGAUAUUCCGUAGGAAGUGGAUGCCGGUGACGGAAUUGAUUAUUCCGACUGGUUUUUAUCCGAUAAUGUGUACGACACUAUCGGUGAAGCGGCGCAAGCAGCAAAACAGAUUGCUUUGACGCUUAAUUUCCAUCUGAUCAAAGGGUCAAAUAAAAGAGUAUUUUAUUGACGGAGUCGGAGAUAUAAAGAACCCUGAUCGGGCGAAGGGGUACCACAAUCAUCCUCUGAUUCAUUUCACUGAAGUAAGCACGGAAAGCAAUCCGUUAUCAGAUGAGGCGAAAAAAGAUAUUCGGGAUAUGGUGGCUGUUCACACACAACCGAAUAAGAUCAGGUAUUCUUUGAAUAAGAUUAGAUAUUCUCUGAACAAGAAGUUCAACACUCGUCACAAUAUGAAUCAAAUUUACAAUGAGUCAUACAAGAUUAGGAAGGAUAAAUUAGAUGGUUUGGAUCCGAUGGAGUGGACUUUGCUUAAAGGUGCAUAACUAGGUUUUUUUGUUUAGUACUUAAAGGAUGAUGAUGAAAAUCUUGUUCAUCUGUUUCUUAACCACCCCGAAUGUGUCCAGAUGGUUAGCUCAUGAUAUUUCGUGAUUAUGAUUAACUCAACUUUCAACACCAACGUCUAUAGGAAGCCAGUGAUCCAGUUGGUUGGUGUGACUCCGGUGCGGAAGAACUUUAACAUCGGGUUUGCAUUCGUUGAUAACGAAAAAACAGAGUCUUAUAUUUGGGUGUUGAAAUGUCUGGAGUUGAUGCUGGGUAGGCGACAACCCACUGCAUUUGUCACUGAUAAGGAGCGAGGUCUGGCAGCGGCUCUCCGCACCGUAUUCUCAAAGACUCCUCAUUUACUAUGCAUUUGGCACAUGAAGAGGAAUAUCGAGGCAAAAAUUAAGUACAUCACGAGUAAUGCAGAAAUGGCUGAGGCUUUCGUGCAUGGUAGGUGGAAUAAAGUGUUGUAUGCACAAACAGAUGCAGAGUUCUUCAAGGAGUGGGAGGAAGAGUUCUUCAAGGAGUGAUUGGGCUAAUGUCGGAGGAUUGAUGGAGUACUUAGGAAGCGAGUGGUUACCGUAUAAGACUCAGUGGGCCCAUUGCAACACCAACGAGGUUUUCCAUAUUGGGUGUACGAGUACGAACAGGGUGGAGUCGCAGCACUCGUCCCUCAAAACAUGGUACAACUCUUCCAAUCAGGGACUUGAUACACUAUUUGAGGGAUAACAUGCAUCGAUCGAGGGUCAAGUUAUAGAAGUGCAGCGGGCUAUCGAUGAAUCACGAAGCAAGGUAUCGUACUGUUUAUAUAAGUACUUAGUGAAUCACUAGUUAUUUGGGAAUGUUGUAUUUAACUAGCUUUAUGGUUUUGUGUAGACUCAUUAUUUCAUCCAUAGACGAUCGUUUACGUAUCUGAAAAAUGAAGUCAGCCUCUGGGGUAUUGAGUUGGUGAACGAGGCGUUAUCCAGUAAGGACGAUUGUGAUUGUGUGAUCGAAGGCACGCAUGGCCUGCCCUGUACUUCUAGGCGCGCAUCUCUCUAGCGCGAGGGGGGGGAGCCGAGGGGGGUAGAGCGAAACCCAUCCCACCUCCACCACUUUUGGCAAUCUUUGGAAUACCGUCUUCUUGUAGACAGUGAGAAGUGGGAAGACCAUGACUCGACAGACCGCGCCAUCCUCAGCGAGAUGGUGCAUACCAUUUGUGAUAGAGGUGGCCCCGCUAUAUGGGCCUUGACUUCACUGGUGCGGUCCCAAUAUCAACCAGAAUCUGACGGAGUGAAAGAGCCGAAGAAGUCGGACACGCCUAAAGGCAGGCCCCGUGCGCGAAAGACUGAUGGGCGGCACCCUUCGUACCACGAGCAUGCGAGUGCCCAUUGCACCCCACCUAAGGGCAAGACCAAAUCAGGUUUCAUACAUGUUACAUUAUUCAUUAAGUAUCGUAUUUANNNNNNNNNNNNNNNNNNNNNNNNNNNNNNNNNNNNNNNNNNNNNNNNNNNNNNNNGUGAGAGGAACGGCGCAAGCGGCUGAACCCACCCCAAGCAAAUCUAAAACCUCUAUUCCUAACAUAGGUGUGUAGUUUUUCCUUACAACAUUUUUUCCGUGAUGUAGUCUCGUCCGUAGUCGUCCUAAUUACAUGAUUCGACAUCACUUUCAGUGCUUCCAUAUAUGUCGUAUAUCCCUGCCGGGCUCUGGCCGUUGGCAACUACGGUAUUCGAUGUUAUUGGUGACGGCCAUUGCGGGUUUAGAUCUGUAUCCCACUCUUUUACCGGCGGUGACCAACAUCAAUACGUUGCCAUGCGUCAGGAGCUUAUGGAUCACNNNNNNNNNNNNNNNNNNNNNNNNNNNNNNNNNNNNNNNNNNNNNNNNNNUGGAUACUGUCCUUACGAGACUGGGGUGGCUUUGGAACACACCGUGUGAGAGACCAUGGUGGUUAUGGAAUCUGGACCUUUUCGGGUUCGCCACUAAGCACAAUUGGACGUACGUGGUUUUUGGCAUGGGGGGUCGUGGUAUUCCGUACGGAGAGUCAUUUCUCCCGAUGAAAAUCGGGGACACACCGGAGCCGGGUGGUGUCACAUUUCUAGUUUGCACUGGUGACCACUGGGUACGUUUAUAUUUGGACGUCCAUGACGCGGUACUUCCGAUCCCGCCGGUCAGUCAAAUGUGGCGUUAUUGAGCAGAUGACAGUGCGAAAACAUCAUGGCUGGGCACACUAUACCGUCGGGAGAAUUUAACGUACCAAAUGUUGGUACAAUCUGCACCAUAGUGCAUUACAUUUGUGAUAUCGUCUAUGUAAUGUACUAAGAUUGUUUACUUCGGUGUUGUUAAGUAUUUUGUGGUAUUGUUAAGUGUUUUGUGGAUGGUAUUCCGUACGGAGAGACGUUUCUCCUGAUGAAAAUCGGGGACACACCGGAGUCGGGUGGUGUCACAUUUCUAGUUUGCACCGGUGACCACUAGGUACGUUUAUAUUUGGAUGUCCAUGACGGGGGACUUCCAAUCCCGCNNNNNNNNNNNNNNNNNNNNNNNNNNNNNNNNNNNNNNNNNNNNNNNNNNNNNNAGUGCGAAAGCAGCAUGGCUGGGCACACUGUACCGUCGGAAGAAUUUAACGUACCAAAUGUUGGUACAAUCUGCACCAUAGUGCAUUACAUUUGUGAUAUCGUCUACGUAAUGUACUAAGAUUGUUUACUUUGGUGUUGUUAAGUGUUUUAGGGUAUUGUGUUAUAAAUAAGUGUUCUUAAACAAUGAACAGUCGCGUUUAUGGUCGAAUGGUAUUGUGUAAUAAAUAAGUGUGUUCGAAAUCUGGUCGCGUUUAUGAUCGAAUAAGUGUGAAAAUUACUGAAGGCUCAAUAGUGCAUAAUAUCAUGAGUGCAUAAUAUCGAAAGUACAUAAUGUCUCAAGUCUGAAAACAAAAGUACAUAAGUCUCAAAACAAAAGUACAUAAGUCACAUUACACAACAUGGAAAGAAAUGAUAACAUAUGACAGUCACAAAGUCUAACGGUACGGUCUCUGGUGUCGGAAGUCCACGUACAUGUCAGCAACACUGCAUAAACACCAGUAGUCAGGGGCCUGAGGAUGCGCGGGUGGGUGUGGCGCCGAUACCAGUACAUGUAUCGGGGGUCAACGUCGAUCACAUCAUCCGAUACCAGUACAUGUAUCGGGGGUCGACCUCGGUCACAUCCUCUGCACGCCUAAACAAAGACUGAAACGGCAUCAGCCUGGACCAGUCCUCGUCCCUCCACGCUCUAUCUGUGGUGUCAGCCCACUCAACUGUAUACCCGUUAGGUUCAGCCGCCUUGUAUGCCCUGGAAGGCACCGGGAUAAGACCCGGAAUCAUCUACACGUAGCCGAACUGUGUAACCACACGCGUCGGAUCAUAAUACUCUGUUAUCGGACCGAAACGAAUGACCCCACGGAACGUCGAAUCGGAAACCUCCACCUCGGGGCGUGGCUCAUAUGGCAGCCAGAUAACAUCCCGUGUGGUCAUCUCAUCUAGCAGAUGACGGUAGUACUGCAGACGACGGUGCAUGAAGUCGUAUGAUCUAUCUGGCUGCUCGAUACUGCUCCACCGCCCAACCAAUGUCUCGGUAUCACCCCGCUCCCGAGCCACUACUCUAGCAGCACGAGUACUAGGGAAGUACUCGUGAAUCCAGGACUGAAGUAGAGACACACUCCCCGCCAUCCCCUUACACUUAGCCCUGGUGGCCUUACCCAACUCGUGGUACAACCAUGCUACUCGCCUUACCCAGCUCAUGGUACAACCAUGCUAGAGCCCAGUCCCCCCAAGCAUAUCUCGAAACAGUGGACACGCCUCCCAUAAAAUACUCCCACAGCACCGGACGAGUACGAUCGGCGGGGGGGGGGUGGAGGGUGGUGCAAGAGGGCCAUCCCACAAAAAAAAACACACGCAGAGUAACAAGUGAAGAGAGUCGACCCCAGCAGACAAAACAUGAAGACCCUGUAUGCAUCCUCAUCCACUAAACCGCUCCCCAUGGCUAACAUCGACUUCUCGUGCAUCGCAGCACCCUUCAGCCAAGGGUAUCGUGCAUCACCACCUGCAGCGCCUCCAACUGGCAACUUCAAAUCCUCGGGAUGGAUACAGAGAGCUCGCGCUAUAUCGACCUGUAGAUCAACGCUGGAUCGAGGAACGUGAAGUGGACGUCUAUGUACCGGUAUACGGAGAAUAUGCCACACAUCAUGAAGUGUGAUGGUCAUCUCUCCGAAGGGCAUGUGGAACGUGUUAGUAUCCGGCUGCCACCUCUCUAUAAAAGCGUGGAUCAGUGCCUCGUCCAACUGAUCAGUCAUCCCGAGAGGACCCAAAUGGAGAAGUCCCGAGGUGGACAUCAUCAUCUCCAGAUCCGGUGUCUGUGGCUGAACCACCCCAAAUUGAGAAGUACCGAGGUAGACAUCAUCAUAUCCAGAGUCGGUGUUUGUGGCUGGAAUCUCAUCACAUGCCUGAGAUGACCUGGACGGGUGUAGAACCUGAAAUCUCGAAUGUUACGGUAGUCUGCACCGAGCUCCCACAAAUAAUGCGCAAUGUGACCCCGAAACUAGGAAUCACAAUGGUCGUAAUAGGGCCUCCAUCCUUUAUCCUCGACUCGAGCUGCUAAGUGCAGGAAAGGUUUCCCCUGACCCCAGUAGUCUGGACCUUCUCAUCCAUCUCCCCGCCAUGUGUACUCGUGGCAGGAGCAAAACGAGCAUCUCUCCCAGCUGCAACACCAACGCUCGCUGAAGCGUGAGACGAACCAGUGGAAGCCCUAAAUGGUGGAGGCUGAUAGGUAUCAGACUCGUAGCCACCAAAUAACUCCUCCUCGCCGUCAUCUACCAUAAAUCUCCGUGGUUAAGUCAGAAAGGGGGGAAGUCUAACAGGUCUAGCGGGGGAUGGAGGUUUAUCCUGGCAUAUGGGAAUUCUAAUUGGGGGAAAAGACUCGGGGGUUUCGUAGAUCUUCUGUGUUUUCUUCUUCUUAUCUGCUUCUCUCCUAUUAGAAGCAAUAAUCGCACGCUCGGCAAGUCGAUUCAUAGUUUCCAUGGACUUGCCCUUCCCUCGCAUUUUCUGAAUUCUAUCAGUCUCUUCUUCGACAGGGUCGGUGCUAUGCUACUUGCCUCCGCCUUUUGUCUUCGCCAUUUUUAUUCAGAAACUAUAAUAAACGAAAUUAUCUAAUUAAUCACAUACUUAUAAAAAAUCUAAUCAAUUAAAUUAACACUAAUUAUCAUAAUUCAUAUAAACCCUAAACCCUAAACUAAUUCAUAAUUCAUUAANNNNNNNNNNNNNUUUUUAUUCAGAAACUAUAAUAAACGAAAUUAUCUAAUUAAUCACAUACUUAUAAAAAAUCUAAUCAAUUAAAUUAACACUAAUUAUCAUAAUUCAUAUAAACCCUAAACCCUAAACUAAUUCAAAAUCCAUCUAAACCCUAAACUAAUUCACAAUUAAAUAAAUUUAAUAAUUGAAAAAAAAGUGUACCAGACGGACGGACCCGCCCUCCGUUUGAUACACGUUUAAAAAAAUGAUAAUAAUAAAGGAACCAGACGGACGGCGGCUGACGGACCCGCCGUCCGUCUGGUUUCUAUUUUUUUUAAACAAAUGCAAUUUAUGAGCUGAAAUUGAGGGUUACCUGAUCGAAAGUCGUCGAUUUUCGUUCGGUACUUCAGUUUCUCGUCGAAUCUUCGAGUUAGGAUCUUCCACUUCUGACGAAACUUUGAGCUUUUGUGUUUUAGAUUGAAUGUGUUUGUCGAAGAUUUAACUUUUUAUAAAUUUUGAAUGUUUACGGAAGGUGAAUUUAGUAAUUUAUCGUUUUAGAGGGUCGUUUAAUUCGAAAACUAGGGCGUCGUUUAGGGAUUCAGUUCCAAAGCUUCCGAUAUCUUGGAAUUUCGCGGGUAUGACUCGGCCGAGUUGUGAAUCAGCGGAGACUCAGCUCGACAUCAAUCAAUUUCACUUGCGGAUGUGCGCCGGCGCCAUCGCCAUGAAUCGGUUACUGGUAAAACCUUGAACCUCCUCAUAUAAGAGCUUCGAAGCUUUGCUUCCGAGUUUUUUCCGUUUCCCUGAUAUCUUGCGUGUUUCUACUUCGUGCAGAGAAAAGCUUCGUUCUUUCGGAUCGCUGCGGCCGCCGGCGGUGGAGCAGUUCUUUUUUACACUAAUGAUGAUCCUAUUUCCAGUGGGCUCUCCGGAUUGUGAUAAUUUGAUCACAUUUAUUCAAAUAGUGUUUUUUGCAUUCUUCACAUUCUCAGUUACGUUUGCUGAAUUGAAAUUUCUUCAGGACCGAGGAUAUCAUUCUCAGUUCCUGAGCAAUGGCGCUUAUCACAAUACUUGAUUUCUUCCAUUUCAGCAGAACGCUGGCAGUUUGGUCUGUAAUGUUUCUCGAAGCUUUCGUUUUCGUCUCCCUUUCCUUAUCCUCUACCUCCUGAGUCUGUGUAUUUUGAAUUGAUCGCGGACUUUGCAGGAAGUCUUUCGUUCUUUUCGUCUAGAUUCAAUCUUGUUCCUGACAUCAGCAAUGGAAGGAGUAGUGAAAGUGUUGGAGAUGGCCACAAAGCAAGCCGUGGGUGUUUGGGGAGGGAUACAAUUGCCAAUGCAGCUGCUAGGGUUGCCCCAGCUGUUGUUAAUCUUUCUGCUCCACAAGGUACUUCAGAAGAUUCCAAGGCUUCCCUUAUUGUGUCAUUGUUGUUAUUGAUAGAUAACUGGAAUGGUGAUUUUAUAGUUCAUACAUGGUUUAUGGAUUUCUGUUUUGUAGGGUUCUACGGGUUCCCUGGUGGAAAGAGCAUUGGCUCUGGGACGAUUAUAGACGCAAAUGGCACUAUCUUGACAUGUGCUCACGUCGUUGUUGAUUACCGCGGCAUGCAACCCAUGAAUCCCUCAUCUAAGAGAAAGGUUAGCAUAUUGUUGCUAUCAGAGAAUGGUGAGAUUGCACAGCAAUGGUUGAACUGUGAAAUCUACAAUGAACACUAGAACAUUUGAGCGUAUUAAAUGACUAUUUUCUUGAUGGCUUAGUUUGUUGUCUGUCGAUUGUGUCUGUGAAAAGAGUCCUAGCUCUUUCAGUGUGGUGACGUGUCCCUGUGAUUUGAUGCUUCACCACAAAAUGUGGCGGAUUUUCAGAUAGGUGUGACGUUGCAAGAUGGCCGAACAUUCGAAGGUACAGUCCUGAAUGUUGAUUUACAUUCUGACAUUGCCAUUGUGAAGAUAAACUCCAAAACUCCAUUGCCAACCGCCAAACUCGGUUCAUCAAGUAAGAUCCGACCUGGGGAAUGGGUGCUGGCCGUGGGCUGCCCAUUGUCUCUGCAGAAUACUGUUACAAUGGGCAUCAUAAGGUGUGCUGAUUGCCAUACCUGCUAAGUUGAUUGCUUUUCUAGGUUGUUUGAGCUUGGUUAUCUGGUUUAACGCCUAGUCACGACAAAACUGCAUAUAAUGAUAUUUUGCUACCCGCAUGUCUCUAGCUGCGUUGAUCGUAAAAGCAGUGACCUGGGUCUUGGAGGAGUUUGGAGAGAGUAUCUACAGACAGAUUGUGCUACCAAUGCGGUAAAUUUGAAAUUCCCCACCUCUCUCUUGACCUCAAUUGAUGAACUAUGUUGUUAUGUUCCAGAAAAUGGCGUUAACAAUCAAGUGUUUGACCAAUUGAUCAUGCUGUCUACGCGGUGCAGGGAAAUUCGGGUGGACCACUCGUUAACAUCGAUGGGGAAGUCGUCGGAGUCAAUAUCAUGAAAGUACUGGCCGCAGAUGGGCUGAGUUUCGCUGUUCCGAUUGAUUCAGUUGCCAAAAUCGUUGAGCAUUUCCGGAAGAGUGGGUAUGCGCCAAGUUUUUGCAAUUCGUUCUUCAUUUGUCAGUUUUCCAUUCGUCGUAACAUUUUCUCUUGCAGAAGAGUCGUACGACCUUGGCUUGGCCUGAGAAUGAUCGAACUGAACGACAUGAUCAUUGCUCAGCUGAAGGAGGGAGAUCCCACAUUCCCUGAUGUGCACGAUGGCAUCUUCGUACCUAUGGUAUGUGCUCCAGAACUAGUACACAAUAGCGCUAGUUUCCAGCCAAAUACUCAAAAGCUAACCGAGCCCGACCUCUAAUUUCCUUUCCAGGUAACACCAGGAUCACCUGCAGACAAUGCAGGAUUCCGACCGGGUGAUGUCUUGGUCCAAUUCGACGAAAAACCCGUUGGAAGCAUCAAAGAGGUAACUAACUAACUAUAUAGUUAGAGUUCUCUGAUCUUUUGGGUUCUUUGUUGCAACGCAGAUUUGAAUUGGUUUUCCGCUUUGAAAUUAACGGUGUAGGUGAUCGAUCUCAUGGAUGAUAGAGUAGGCGUGGCUUUGAAAGCUGUAGUGAAGAGGCCAAAGGGCGUUACAGUCACCUUGACGGUCAUCCCUGAAGAAGGAAACGCAGACAUUUGAUGCUAGCUGGGUAAAAGUGUUUCCUUCAUUUUUUUAUACAUCUCUAAUCUAUCUAUCCUAUGGCCUAGUGGACUUUUGUUUUACUUUACGAAGAAAGAGAACUAAGAUAGUGCACCAACUCUAAGCUAGAAGAAAAAAACAAGGGCGUCCGCAAUUGACUAUGGUUAGUAUCGAACCAAGAAUCUCCAAUGUACCAAACAUUCCUACCAGCUGUGAUACACUACUUGGACUUGUUGUUCAUGUAGGUAGACUUCGUGGUAUUUAAAGUUUGACAUCCUACCUUGUUUUCUAUAUUUGAAUACUCUCUCGAAAAUGAGUAUUUUUGCUUGUAAAUUUUGAUACCUCUUUAGACUCGCACACUUGAAGAAAACGGUUCUUGUUUUUAGCUAGAUUCUCCUUUAAAAUACUAGUUUUUCUAUCUAAAGUGUAUAUAUAGAGACAAUUGGAUUUUGAUCGAGAGGUUGUUGAUUGUAUUAUAAUCAAACUGAGCACCCAGAAGCAAGGUCCAAAAUGAUACAGGGCAAUAACCAAUAAGCAAAGCAGAGAAUGGAAAAGCAGGAGAAGGAAACACAACAGCCUAUUGCAGAGUGUAUAGCCAGUUUGGUUCAAGGUUUCCGAGUCUUGCUUUCUUGGCGAUAGAAUCCGCGGCUCGAAGGCUCGUCCUGGGACCUUGCUGAACAACUAUCAACCUGGGAUUGCGGCAAUUAGCAAAGCACAUUCCCACAGCCGAAACAGAAGUAUAUAUCUCUGUUUCUGUUGGUAGCAUAGUAUGGUCAAUAAUUAAAUGUUGGGAAGAUGAGAUAUUAUAUUUUCUCACGCUUCCUUCCAUAUCUCUCUGUCUCUCGUUUCGAUUAUUAUUCAUUCACAUGAUUGAUUCUUAACAGCCAACUGAAGCAAUAACGUAUAUUCACCUUCUUUCAUUUCCAUUCUGCAUGUUACGUACGUUAUAAUAUUUUCAAUGCUUCAUCUCUAUGUAUGGCUGUCACUAUAUUUUAAAAACAAAAACCCGACCCAUACAUAAGGAGUUAUUUAUUUGAACCCGAGUUAGAUCAAACAUGAUAAAGUUCAAAUUUGAUGGGCUGUGUAGUAAAAUUAAAUUUAAAAACCUAUAACAUGUGGAUCCGAGUAGGUAUGGAACAUACAUUGAUACACAUAUAAAUCUGUUCUUUAAGCAUUAGAAUGUCCAAUUGCUAUUUUACUAUUAAGCAGUAUUACCUAAAUUAAUCAUCAAACGACUUUUCAUAUGCUUUUAUUAAAUCAUGCCGGCCCCCAACACAACAAUCCCACUAGCAUAAAACUCGGUGGACAUGUCCCGGAUCCUAAUCAUAGCAAAAUGAAAGUGAAGAAAUCGGCUUCCAUAACCAAGAGGAGAGGAAGUAUGAUCUUCAAAAGUUUGGCCAAACUCUCGACCACUGAAGUGAAACCCUGGACUGAAGAACACUAAUCCUAAGACACAGCCAGAGACCAGUAGUGUGAUGGUGAUUGAUUAUGAUUAUUAUUAUUAAUGGGAAAAACGUAUCUCAGCUCAAGUUGAUGUCGUGCAAUUGCAAUUGUUUAAACAAAGAGAAGAGAUAUGAUGAAAUGCAAUUAUGGAACAUUACGUGGGGAAUGAUGUUUGAGUGGUCGGGUGCAACAAAAUUGUAAAUUGAGAGAGCUAAUAAUGGAGGAUGGACUGCCCAAUUAUUGGCUACGUAUCUCUAAUGUAACCCAUUUUAUUUUGAUUUUUCUUUUUUGCCUAUAUAUAGUGGGUUUUUUUAGUCUAAAUUGGCCUAUAAGGAACAGUUAAUGUGGGUUUUUGCAAAAGAAAAAGGAUAUAUUAUUAUAUACAAAAUUAAUCGGGUUUUUGUUGGUGGGAUCGCGUGGAUAAACAUUUAGGGUUAGUUUCUUAUAUGAGAAAUUUGUAUGGUUAGAUAUAUUAAGUUUAGUAAUAGUUUGGUUUGGUUUGAUAGCCGAUAUAUGUUCUUAUUUAUUAUAAUUAGUUAUAUGUUAUAUAUAACGGUUUUUAAAUUUACCUAUAUCACAAAUAUACGUAAUAUAUAAUGAACUUUGAUGUUAUUUUAUUUGAUCGGUUCACAUUCAAACCUAUACCCACAAUAACUAAUAGUUAGGAUUGCCAUCCCUAUUAGACAUAUUUGUGUUGUUUAAUGAUACAUGAAGUUGUUCCAUCCCAUGAGUGUGAGUUAUCUUCUUGACCUCAGUGAACUUGUUGGUAUUAUUAGCAAAGCAAUCUUAUCCCCAACAAUGUAGUUUGAUGGAAUCUAUGAAUCUCUAUCUGCCCACUUUUAAUUACUUUCCAUUAUUGGUUACAACUGAAAUAGGUAGGUACGUCUAUGUCACCAGAUUAGAAUUCUGGGUCAAUUACUCGAUCCUCGAGUUGUUUAUUUUAUUUUGUUAGGUCGGCAGCCACUGGUAAGUCUUAUCCACUACUGUUGUGAAAUUGUACACUAAAACAGUUGUUUAUGAUAAUUUAGUUUUAGUGCGUUUGAUCAUCCACAGAUAGCACGACGGAGUUUAUCCGCUUCCUUUUAAUGUUCCAAUUAUUAAUGUAAUGUCAUGAAAAUUAAAACAAGAAGGAAUUCAAAGAGGCGUGCAGUCGAGGCGGUGACUCUAGUCAAACUAUGUAAUGAAACUGCAGAAAGGAAGGAUGAUGGUGACCAUUACAAUACUUUAAUUUGAUCCAAUGAAGGGGUUACUACCGAUUGCCCAGUUGAAGUGGUAGUUUUGUCGGUUUUCGGCAUUGAGAUUUUAGGUUUGAAUCAUAGCUAGGGAGUGUAUUCAUUACUGUAUCUUUGUAAUACAUUUGAUCGUCUUAAAUAAGUAUCAACAUUCUUAAAAUUUACCUGUGAAAGGGGUUCAUUCAUUGUCAUACAAAAAUUGGAAUGCUUGUAUACAUCAUAUAUAAUAUUAAUACAGCUCCCGAUAGAUAUAAAUAAUCUCAAUUUCAUACGACCUCCUAAUAAGCUCUUGAAACGUCCCAACAUAAUUGCUACAUGCUUGUGAUUGAUAUCUCACCAUCCGCACCCGGCAGGCUACAUUUAAUACAUUACCCGUGGCGGCACAAGAGAGAUUUGGGGUUCGACUAAACCACUUUGGCUGGUCGAAGAAACACCACUUUAUCUAUAGGCUUAAUUUAAGUCAAAAUUCAAGUUUCAUAACUCUGUUUUAUCAUCAAAUCGAAUAAUUUGAUACAGACCUGAGUUUUAUACAAAAGACAUCUAAUCCAGCACAUGAAGUUGUCGACUAUGAAUGCCCAGAGUUCAAUUGAAAAGAAAUAUUGGAUUAUUGAGCGUUCAAUUAAGAAUGAUAUAUAUUCUUUGAUCGGUCGGUUUUGUACUUUGUAAUUCUUCAUAGUGUAUUUAUGGCGAAAGCUAAGCUAACUGAUGUGAGCAGGCUGCAGGGGGGUGGCCCCGACCAAAGUCAUUGGAAGUGAAAAGGGACACGUGGCCAUCGACUGGGGAGGCUUUGAGAAUCGCAAUUUCUCCACGUCUCCACGCCAACCCACACAUCACGUACGACCCCAACGAAUGGCGACUUGGUUACACUCUCCAUCACAUAACUUCGAUUCACUAUUCCACUUCCUUUUUUUCUCCUACGCAUCAUUUGUGUUUUUUUGUAGCCAAAGCUACAUUUUAAUUUUCAUACGCAACUUGUUAUUCUUAUGACGAUCACUUUGUUAUUCUUAUGACGAUUUAGAAUUUUCAUCUUUAAUAACUACGGUGUAUAUAGAAUAAAAAUUUAAUGUUCAAUUGAUGUAGCACGUAGACCCAAUAAUCUUAUAAGUAAUACUUAAACUUGAUAAUUUUUGUACUAAAUAAUAAAAUAACUAAAACUACAACGGACAUAAGUAAUGGUUAAUCUCGAUAACAUCAUAAUAAAAAUGGAUGGUAUUGAAAGUCUGAUCGAUUGAACAGUAAACCUCUCAUUAAUACCGUCCGAUAAUAUCGUUAUAACGCAAUUAAAAUUUAACUUUGAUUUAUAAUAAUUGAAACGGCUUAACUAAAUAUUGUUAUACUCCUUAAUUGAACAUCAUCAUAUACGCUCCUAGUCACCAUGAUUAGUAUACAAAUAAAAGAUAAUUAACAUGGUAAAUAAAUACCUCAAGAAAAGAGAGACAAGAAAUAAAUAAAGGAGGACGCUUCCUUUAUGGUUGCAGUCGUGCAGAGGAAAAAUGAAAAAAAAAAAAGAAGGUUAAGUUGGUACGGUGCUAUUUAAUGCAAUACAAAUGGCUGUAAGAAGAGACAGGUCAAACCACCCCCCUCCCUCUUUCUAAACGUAAAGUCAAAUAAAUAAAAGAGCUGCCUUUUCCCUCUUCUCAGUCUUCACUUUUCACAGCUUCCUCCUCCUCCUCCUCCUCCUCGCCCCGUGUGUAUCAAUCAAUGGAAUAAAAUAACUGCACGAAAUUGCAAACUCGGUUCAUAUUCAAAGACCACAACAAAUUAUGAGACCAUCUCAAAUCGAAUCCAUUACUCUACAAGAAGAAGCAUUAGCUAAUCCUGAAGAACCUAUGAUUCCUAGUACAAGUUCACUUUAAUUUGUUACACAGCUAUGAACAUAUGUCAAUAGGUAUCGAUUUCAGAAUAGUAGGAAUUUUCCUAAUUUCAUAUUUCAAUGUGGGGUGAGAAUAUCCUUUUUUUUUAUUCUCACCGCCAUAACAUCUAUAUAUCUACACCAUUUAAUUGUAAUUCGAAUCUGAUAAUUUAGAUUAAUCAGAUAAUCAUUUUAUAUUUGCAAAAAGAGUAACUGACUAACUGUUGUGUAGAUUUUAUGGAAAUUAGAUAAUGAAAAUUCCAUAAUUCUUCAUGUAUGUGGACAUUUUUCUUAUAUCUUCCAAGUAGGCUAGUAAAUACACUAAAUUGGUAUAUCAUAUAUGGAAUAAUAAUUAAAUCAGUAUACGAAACAAUGAAUUAUAAAAAAAUGCUGCAAGCUCUCCACCUCGGUUACCUAUAUAACUACAUUGACUUAGCUGUAAUGUGUACUUUGCGAGAGAAGCAGCAAACCCAGAGAUUCUCCCUCCCCUCCGCCCUGUCCCUUUCUCUAUUUACUUCUCUUCCUCUCCACUCCUCAAUCCUCUUAUAUAUANNNNNNNNNNNNNNNNNNNNNNNNNNNNNNNNNNNNNNNNNNNNNNNNNNNNNNNNNNNNNNNNNNNNNNNNNNNNNNNNNNNNNNNNNNNNNNNNNNNNNNNNNNNNNNNNNNNNNNNNNNNNNNNNNNNNNNNNNNNNNNNNNNNNUUCUUCUUCCAAAUCUCUCUUAUAACAAAUACCAAACACAAAAAAAACAGAAAAAAACCAUGGUGGUGGCAUCUCCUCCGCCGCUCUCCGGCAGCGAGAAGACGGCGGCACUCCCCCGUCUCCCAACGGUUGACAUGUCGGGCCCACGCGAUGAGGUGGCCCGACAAAUAGUGAAGGCGGCCGAAGAAAACGGCUUCUUUCAGCACGGUCACCACGGGGAUCGUAAACCACGGGGUGGCCCCCACCGUCAUUUCCCGUAUGGCUCAGGAGGGACUCGGGUUCUUCGGCCGACCCGCCCAGGAGAAGCAGCGGGCCGGACCCGCCGACCCGUUCGGGUACGGGUGCAAGAACAUCGGGUUCAACGGCGACGUCGGGGAAGUCGAGUACGUGAUGCUGAAUACCGAUCCUCGCUCCAUUGCUGAAAAGUCGUUGACCAUCAACUCCAACGACCCGACGACGUUCAGGUAAAUAAUAUUUAAUUUAAUUACAUUGGCGCGUCAUUAGCGUGUAACGUAGAUAUGGUCUUGCAGUCAAAGCAAUUAAAUGACGUGUGUUGGUUGGGUUGAUUCGGUUAGUAAAUGUGAGAGGUGGGUCAACCGGACCCGGUGAGUUAAUGAAGGGAAUAAUGUGCAAAACGUGAAGAAGGAUAUGAUACUGUGUCGUCGGGGUAGCUAGGAUUGAGUUGCUGUAACUGUCUGUGCCAGAAAUGGAAGCAUCUCCUUUUACACCCAUUUCUGCUUAAUCAUUUCUCUAACGUCGACGUCAUUUUGGUCUUCUUGCCCCCCUCCCCAUGAAUUGGUCCCCAACGACGCAGAGUAUGUCAAUCGGAUGAUGGGGUUAGUUACGAGGGCGAGUUAGACAGGUCACAUGUUUAGUUUCAUUGCGCAAUCGGGUUGUAGGUAGGUUUUAGUGCUUGAAGUACUUCAUUUGUAGGUGUUUUUCAUAUUGCGGUUUGAUGAGUUGUGAGUACGCACGGUCUAGUUGAGAUUGUGGUAAAACAUCACAAAAUAUUCGAUACUGGACUUAGACACCAAACCUAGUUGGAAGCAUUGUACAUGUGUUGUUGAUCACAUAAAAGUGAUUCUUAUCGAGUCACAUCUCAAUAUAUGAACGUUCUAUAUUAAAUUUUUCUUUAUUUUCUAUUUUAUUAACAUUUAUACCUCAUUUAUUUUCAAAAAACUUCUUCUUAUGAAUAAAUUAUUUGAUGGAAAUGACUUAGCAUAGACGUCAUAACUUGAGUGGUCGAAAUAGGAAUACAAUUCCAUUAUUUAAAAUUCAUUGAUAACGACCUUAAUCGGUCAAUUGCCGGAUUCUUCAAAAUCUUUGUAUCAAUUAAUGUCAAAACUAAUAUUUAUUCCCCUGAUUAUUUAGCAACUAAAUUAACGUUUUUUUGUGUAAAUUGUGGGAAGCAGUUCGACUGUGAGCGGGUAUAUAGAAGCGGUGAAAGAAGUAGCAUGCGAGAUAUUAGAUUUGAUGGCGGAAGGGAUGCAGAUACCGAAUACGUCGGUAUUUAGUGAUCUAAUCAGGGACGUCUAUAGCGAUUCCGUUCUUCGUCUCAAUCACUACCCUCCAUUUCUCCUCCCUUCACCACCAACUGUCGAUCACGACGAGGCCCAAGUUGCCACGAUAGGAUUCGGAGCGCAUACUGACCCUCAAAUCUUGACCAUCUUAACAUCCAACGAAGUUCCUGGCCUCCAAAUCUACGUAAAUCCGGACACGUGGGUCCCCGUAUCGCCUGACCCCACCGCCUUCUUCGUUAAUGUUGGUGACGUAUUACAGGUUCGUUUUUAUCAUCCCCACCUCAUUAUUUUAUUUCCAAUAAUAUGAUUUUAAUUAUUAUCAAUAAUUGGGAGGUCCCAUUUGUUUGGUUGGAGGUGUUGAGCUCAGUUUUGAACUUAUUCACCUUUCCCUUCCUUCCACUCAUUAUCAUUAUUAUGUGUUCUAUUAGGAUUCUCACUUAUAGCCUACCAUAAAAUUUCAACAUUAUAUAAUGAGUACGGAGUAUAGUUGAGGUGAUAGCUAUAUCAAUUUAUAAUUUAAAAAUUUCAAAUUUGAAUUUUGUAUGCACUUUCUCUUAUUCUUUUCUGGUCUAUUUAAAUAAGUAUUCGGGCUAAAUAUUAACAACCCUAAAAUAAAAACUUACAUAACUGUACGUCUAUAAUACCACAAAGUGACACCUAAUUUCUCAACACAACACAAGUGGGGCUUUUUAUGAAUGAAAAACACAAGUAGGUUGAACAAUUUUGUUUUUUUGUUUUUUUUGAUAAAGGGUUGAACAAUUUUGUUAGUGAUGUGAUAUGAGUCAUGAGAAAGACGGCAUGGAAUAUUUUACAAGUGAUUUUUUUUAAUGUUCCUUGUACUAACAUGUGAAUCUAAAAAGACAAGGAAGAAAUUUAGUUACAUUGAAAUACGAUCGAAUCAUUGACUUUAGGGUUCAUAUACUACAUCAAAUCUCAACUACUUCCUGAUUUACAUAGAUAAUAAAUAAUAAUAACUUAUAGACUAAUUUUUUUUAAUAAGAUACACAUUUGAUAGAAGAAUUGAAUAUCUAAACGACGUCCUAAUUUUCAAAUUAAACAACGUUUUAGAUAGAGUGAAUUGCGUUAUUGUCCUUGCGUAAAAUCGAAAUUUAUGUAAGAAGUUGUGUAUAUCGAUGAACUAAACACUGUCACACACUCUCAAACACUCUCAAGCGAAGAUCCAAAGAAGAAAUCGAAGAUCCGUCGAGCCUCCGUUUAGAUCCGAAAUCGAGAAAAAAAAAUCUGGCAGUGUACUUGCUUCGGCCGGAAUCGCCGGCUUGGCUGGGUUGGUUCCCAGGCCGGAACUGGCGGCCGGCCCAUUUUUUUAAUUUUGAUUAUUUUAGAUCAUUGAUUAGUGUAAUUGUUAGUGACUAAUUAUUUGACCCGAAAACCGACCAGUUCAACCGAAAUUAUUUGGACGGUUGGACCCAAUUUUUGUCACCACACUUCUUAUUUUUGAAAAAUGUGGGAGUGGGAUUCAAACUAUAGUCUUUUAAGUAAAAAGACAGAAUGAUUACCAUCACUACUAAUAUCAUAAUUUGAUUAAAAAUACACAUUUAGUUGAUAAUAAUAAACAUUAUGACAACUAAUUAAUACUAAAAGUAGCAUCUUAUCAUAAAUUAAAUAAAUUGGACAUUAUAUCUCAAUUAUUUGAUCAAUAAACACUUCAAAUCAUUUAUAUAAUUUGAAACUUCUUAAAAAUGAUUCAAUAACUAUAGUUUUUACCAUCUAGAGUAUGAUAUUGAACUCUCUAUACUAUCAGGUUUAAGAUUCAGGUUUUAGGGUUUAGGGGUUUAUCAUUUUAGGGUGUUAGAGUUUAGGUUUAUGAUUUUAGGGUUAAGGGCUUAGAGUUUUAGGGUUUUAAUGUUAGGAAGUUAAGGUUUAGGGUUUAGGGUGUUAGAGUUUAGAGUUAAGGGUUUUAGCGUUAAGGAUUUAGGCUUUAGAGUUUAGGGUUUAGAGAGUUAGGGUUUAGGGUUAAGGAUUUUAGGUUAAGGGUUUACACCGUUAAUCCAAAAUUUCGUUGUAGGAUUGUCGGUUUUUCUUACACUGCUAAUCCAAAAUUUCCACGAGCCUUCUAUAACCAUUGACAGGUUUUAGGGUUAAGGGUUAAAGGUUGAUGGUUUAGAGUUUUAUGAUUUUAGGUUAAGAGUUAAGAGUUUAGGAUUUCGGUUUUUAAUGUUUAUAUUAACCGUAUAGGGCCAGCCGGUCGGCGGUUCCGUUAUGUGGCAACCGGAAUUUCGGCCUGAUCGGCAAAAAAUUAUCGAAUUUUAUGGAAAAAUGUACCGUAAAAGAGAUUUUCGAAUGAAUAAAUUUGGAUAGUUUCAUCUUUAUGAAGGUUAGAGCGUUGUGUUAUUAAAAAAUUAGGACGUGAAAUAAUAACCUUCUAGCAGAAGUAACAUAUAACUAAUUUAUUUAUGUUUUUUAAUAUAAAAAAAAUCGAAAUGUUAAAAUUUAGUAGUUCUAUCAAUCUCGUUCCUUGAUUGAUGAUGGUCCGAAUAACAACUGGCAAAGAUAGUAAGUGAAGGAAGCAGCUGUGUACAGCUAGCUAUGUAGUAAAGCUAAGGUUCUGGAAAAUGUGGUUGGGGCUAGCUAGCUAAUCUAUCUAUAUAGUGUCUGUUGCUCCAUUCAUUAUGUAAAAGAGCUAUAGCUACUGUGGCCCCCCAUAGAAAGCUAGCAGAUGGGAUGAAAUUAAUACGAGAUAUAGUCAACAACGGAAUCAAAAUGGUCAAAAAUAUCUGUCGCAAGAUUUUAAAUAAAUUUAUGUUAACUUAUCAAUAAUUUAGAAUGAAUUCCAAAAUUACACUACACAAAAGCUUCAAUUUAAAACUAUUUUUUUAUAGUUUUUUCUUAUGUUGGAACUCGAGAACCCUUGAUGGUCUAGGGUUCGGCCAUCUCUGAUUCCGAUGAGAAGGACCAAAGAAAAAGGUGGUGUUUUGCCAGUUUCAGGCCACAUCCCCUCUUACUCUUCCUGGCAUCAUCCAUUAUUACUUGCUAGCUUCAAAGGACAAUGACUACUCACUCAGUCUUGUUCAUUAUUAUGGGAUUAGAGAGGUAGUAUUCAUAAAAAAAAGCCCCCCCCCCCCCCCCCCCCAUACCUAACCUCUACUCCAUAGUGUACGACUGACUCCUCCAUCCCAUCGCCUCUGCGGUGGAAUCGUGCCGUCCCUCCCCCCCCCAGUGCCAACCACCACCUUUCGUCUUUGUGGGGGAGUGUCUCUGUGUCUCUUACGUGAUAUUUGUUGUAAAGUUGAGUUUUGCACAACUCGGUACAACAAUAAUGUCGCUUGCUAACAUGGUCUAUAUUGGUAUCACAAUCAUACACUUUUUUCGAUCAUGUUUGGUAAAAAGUAGGCUGCAGUGAAAUGUUUUGCUUAUUCAAAUUAGGGGGGGAUUUCGUCAGGGUAGGGUUGUCAAGUUGAGUUUUACACGAUGCAAUGUGGUUACGUCUAACAAGUGAUUGACUAAACUGUAAUUUAGUAUUCUAUGCUACUCCCUUUUAGUCAAAAUAAAAAACAAACAGGAUAGUCCAUUCGAACCCGAUAUUUUAAAGAAUGAUUGCUAGUCUUUUGCUACAAAACAUAAUAAAAAUCAUUGCUUUGGAGUAUCAUACCACUAGAUUCCAUAUCCAUGGCUCUUUGCACCAAAAUGAUUAUCCCCACUUGCAUUUCCAUGACAUUGUUUGCUAGAGAAAAACCCAAAGCAACAUUGAAAUAUCCCUUUAUGAAGAAGUCCCUUAUUAUCAUAACAAAGUGGACCAUUUUGCCAAAAAAACAAAGAAAUGUGUGUGUCUAAUAAGGUGGUGAUCGUGGCAAAAUGCAGGCGAUGACAAAUGGAAGAAUGAUAAGCGUAAAGCACAGGGCCCUCAACCUCAACUCGCCAAAGUCCAGGAUGUCAAUGGCGUAUUUCGCAGCCCCACCAUUGGAAACCACCAUCUCUGUUCUGCCUCAAAUGAUUACUCCUUCCAGCCCCAAUUGUCUCUUCAGGCCUUUCACUUGGGCUGAUUACAAGAAGGCAGCUUACUCCCUUCGCCUUGGAGAUUCACGCCUCGACCUUUUCACUGUUCCUAACUCCUAAUUAUUUUUGGCUGGUGGGUUUGGCACAGAGUGUGAUAGAGACAGAGAGAACAAGAUUCCUUUUCUUUUCUUUUCAGUUAGGUAGUUUCUCCCCCACUGUUGGAUUACAGUGCUGAAUAUUUGCAAGUUUUGUGGGAGAGAACAAGUUUUGAGGGUAAAUUGGGUUCAUAUGAUAGCUUAGUGUCUUAGGGUGUUCGUGGUGUUUAAGAUGUAACAUUGUGAAUUUAUGUUUUUAUAUUGGUUCAAUUGUGUAUGGAAGAUCAAUCAUGUUUUAGAUUUGAGUUAUUUGUAAAUGUCUUGGUUGAAUUUUGAUUUUUUUUGGUUAUGAACAUGGCUAGAGUUGAAGGAAACACGUAGUGAGGGAGAGUUAAUGAAUCUUUUAGUUUCAAAGAGUUGAGUGUACUAAUACAAUUCGGUCUGGAGAGUUGAUUUCGGUUCUGGGUGGAGUGCUAUGCGGG
rnacentral:lncRNA from 1 species